rnacentral:lncRNA from 1 species
UGCAGAAGGGCGCGCGCGUAUGGAAUAACAAGUAGGGACACUGCAACUAAUCUACUCUGCUCGUCCAGUCCCUAGCCUAUAAAUAGAUGCCAUGCUAGCUCUUGUUGUGCUCACAAUUAAUCCGAUUACACACGAGCUUCUCUCCCUGGCCAAGACACAACCAUAGUAUGAUGAAGAACAUGGCACUAGCCGGCAAUGGUAUGAAGAAGUUAAUCCUCGCUGUUCUCUUACUGUGUCUAGUUAUAGGGCAGAUACAAGUGGAAGCUAAGAGCUGCUGCCCAUCCACCACUGCAAGAAAUGUCUACAAUACCUGCCGUUUCACGGGUACAUCCCGUCCAACGUGUGCAAAACUGUCAGGCUGCAAAAUUAUCAGCGGGAACAAAUGCAAGCCCCCUAACGACCACCUCACCCUUGACCCGGACACUGGUAAAUAAUAAAUUUAUCUCACUUGAUUUCUUCGUGAUUUGAGUCGUUAAUGUAUUUUCCAUCUGAUGAAACGUAUUGGUUUUGCAUUGAAGAGGAAGUUAAUGUGCUUAACUUCUGCAAGUUGGGGUGUGCGUCGUCUGUGUGCAACAACAUCAACGCUGGUAAGCAACUUUUGCUCAGACAGAGAAAACAAUAAUCAUUAAUUAGCGGCAGCUAGAAUCCUAUAAUCUAAUAUAUAUAUAUAUAUAUAAUUUUAUCAGCUCUGGGAAAUGAAGAGGCGAACGAUGCCGUUGAGAGUUGCGACCAAGCCUGCUCUAGCUUCUGCAGCGUGCAUGUUGGCAGCGCCACCGUGGUUGCUUAAGCAAAUGCAUCCAACUAGAUCGUCCUUGUGCUGAAUAAUUGGAUAUCGUAUCCACUUAAAGCUGCCUUGUGUAGUACGUCUUUGUGUCUCUCUUUAUAUUCCAAUAAGGUCGGUGAUCUUGAUGCCACACACUCAGAUGUGUGUUCAUCUCCAGAUACUACUCCAUGCUACCUGCCCUUUGUGUUUUGUUCAAUAACUGGGUAUCAUAUCCCAGCCAGUAUGCCGUCUGUUUUGUGUUUGUUUCCUUCUAGUUCCAAAGGGGUCAUCAUGAUGUUACCUUCUUUCAAUAUGGUGCUUUGCAUGACUACUGUUGUAUGGUACCAUCUUGUGGCCAAUAAGUACAUCUUAUCCUAUGACCUUUGCUAUGACCCUUUGCAAAUAAGUAGAAGAUUGUUAUAAGCGUCAAUACUCCGUAUAAAUUGAUCGCUGCUGUGAGUUCCCUUUCAGCUUAUCGUAGGCAUACAUUAUUGCUAGCACGGUAAAGCCAACCAACACGAAUGAUGAAGUAAACGUAGCGGUACUUCUGUAUACCAACACCCUUACUUAAAUGUACCGGUGUCAUUCCCUACUGGCACAUAUAUUCUUAUAUGCUAGCCAGCUUGUAAAAUUAACCAAUUAAAAUAAUUAUUUCAAGAUAGAAAUAACUUAUCGGUUUCUGGAAGCAUGUGUAAUGUGAAUUCAAGGACUCGACGGAAGUUGAAUCACUUCAUCUAUAUUGCUUUCAGUAUUUUGGGUAACUAAAUUUAACAUUUGCACAUACAAAUGUUAAAGUACAAAUGUUAAAUCUAGUUACCCAAGCAGAAUAUGAAGAUAGUUUAUAGUAUAUAUAUACUAUAUAAAUCUAGUUAACAUUUAGUCUAAAUGUUAAAUCUAGUUACCUAAAAUCCUGAAAGCAAAAUGUAUAAAUAUAUAUCUUUUAAGGCAGUAUAAGCUUCGAUUCCUAUUGCUGCUCUGUUAAAUCUCAUCUUUCGUUGUGGCCCAACACUCUAGUAUGCAUGUUGCACCAAGCUUCUUUGAGCCGCUCUGCCCUCUGAUUUUGCUGCGUAGGGGAAUCUUUAUCAGGUUGGGCUACUUCCAGUUGUGCGAUGUAAAGAUUCGUAUUUUCUAGAAGGUAGACAAAAAACUCGCGUUCUCUUAAGGCAACAACCGGAAGAUUCUGCAGCGCACAGGGCAUACCAUUAUUGUAGAAACGACCUUUAGUACCGAUCUCCAACCCCCUUUAAAACUGGUUUUGCAACCGGUACCGUUAUGUCGGUCCUUUAGUACCAGAUCAAAUAAGUACCGGUUGGUAACCAGUAUCAACUUGUUUUGCGGCCAAAAAAAUAAAGAAAAAAACAGUCAGAAGGCUCGCGCACACGCGCAUCACAUGAAAUAUGCGUGUGCGGGGUCCAUGGGAUUCGAACCCAUGAAAUCAAGCUGCGCGCGACCCUUCGUUACCAUCUCACCUACAUAGCGCAUAUGCUUUCCUGAAGUAACCCGUGGAGGAGGCUUUAGUACCGGGUCAUAACACCACCCGGUACUAAAAAUGACUCUUCAGUACCGGGUCAUAACACCACCCGAUACUAGUAUCGGAUGGUGUAAUGACCCGAUACUAAAAGGCCUCUAGGGACCCUCAAAUUUGAACCCGGUACUAAUGCUAAUAUUAGUAGCGGGUCAAAGUGCAGCCAGAACUAAAGCAUGGGAUGAAAGGUCAUAUUUCUAGUAGUGUAUAGUUGUUGUGAAGGACUGACUUGGCUGUCCUCUCUCUUCUCCAUCCCCUUGGUCUUACGCCGCCGCUCGCACGCGAGCCGGUGCCCAACCAGAGGAGUGAGAGCUAGGGGCAGGUUGGGAGGUGGGGAUAGUGACUGGUGGCCAGGGUGAUGGUUGAUCCUGGUGGGGUUAGGGUUUUAGGGUUUUCGAGCUUCCUAUGGUCGGCGAACCUAGAGGAGGAGCUCAACAUCAGCUGCAACCCGCGAUGGUGGUGGUUUGGCCGGCGCCCGAGGCGAGGCAGCGCGGGAGUGCUGCCGGUGGGUUGGUGUUGGCACUCAUUAUUGACAACUAUUUUGUUCAUAAAAUAACACUCAAACUUGCUGCUGCUGCUGCUGCUGCCAUCGCCACCCUAGCCAUAAUAUAAAGGCAAAAUUUGCUAAAGGACAUGCAAAAUGAUGCUAGUUUGCUGGCGGGCAUCGUUGACCUUGUAAUAUGCUACAAGACACUCUAGUUGUGUAUCAAUUUGCUGAAAGACAUUGCUAUGACUAAAAUAAUGUUUCUGGACUGAGUUGGAGAGAGAGAUGGAGUGAAAUGUCUGUUUUGCCCAUGACCCCACUGGUCAGAUCCUUCUUCUUCCACCCUCCUUUGUUCUUUCUUCAACCAUUACCCAGCUCCAGCGUGUUGCAGAUCUACGAGGGUGGCGGCCUGGGGCGAGGGGCAUCGCUCGCCCUUGGAGGAGCGCUGCGAGCGACGGCGCGGGGGCGGCAACAGCGCGUCAGAACCUGACUGUUCGUUAGCUCCUCUCGCUGCUGGGGAAGGAGGGGGAUGGGCCAUGGACGGGGUUCCCUUGAAAACCUCAGCGUCGAGCUCGGGCGGCUACGCGCAGGCAGCACUAGGCUGCUUCACGGGGAGGGGGCGCGGCCAAUCAUUGGCACCCCACUGGUCCAAUGCUGAUGAAGAUGGUGCCAGCGUCGUGUGAGGACAUCUCAUCUCCUCGAGUUCCAUGGCCAGCACAGGUGAGCUGCCGCUACCACAAAACAGAGGUUUCGUGAGAGUCAAAAAACCUUAUGAAAAUAGCUAAAACCAUCAUGAAAAUAAUCCGUGACAUGACACUCUCACGAAAAUCCUCUCACAAAUAUGGUGCCAUGAAAAUACCAUUUUCAUGAGAGUGAACUGUCAUGAUUUUAUUUCGUGAGAGUAUUUCCUAUCAAUGACCUCCACGAAAUACUUUGUGCCACCAGGUCUUCAAGAUCAUUUUCAUGAGAGCUGAACAUCAGGAAAAGUCCGCCACAAAUGUUUUUCUUGGAGCCCCUAACUCUCAUGAAAAUCAUGCGGGCCGCCACGAAAAACAGCAUGACCAAAUGACAAAUUUCAUUUUCAUGUGUUCAUACCGCCAUGAAAAUGGUCAUUUUCAUGAGAGUUGAUGAAACAAAAAAUAGUGCCAUUUUCAUGAGAGUUCAAGCAACCAGGAAAAGACACUAAUAAACAUCCAGAUCCCAUCCAGCACACAUCCAUGCACAUAUAUAACCCACAUAUUGCUCCAGCACACAUCCAUGCAUAUACAAGAUCCAAAUGUUAAUAUAGUAGACAUCCAUGCCUGAACUAGUCUGCCACACAAGUCAUUGAUGCUACAAAUCCUACAAUCGCAGCAUGUGCAUACAAGUCACAGAAUGAGACAAUGUACCCAAAACUAAAAGGUUAGCAUCAACUGUGCUUCAACCAAAGUUGUCAUCCCAACUCUCCUCUUCAUCCAUGCCAUUCUUGUCGUGGCCGUCACUGUCAGUCCCCAUGGCAUUGCCAAUGCUGUGCAUGUCUUGGUAGGAACCUACAUGUGAUGAACUAGUAACCUGCAAAAAGAGCUCAAAGGAUCUUGUUCUCAUAUUGUAGCUGUGAAAUUCUUACAAGUAGUGUUGCAAUCAGUUCACUUUGAACCAAAAGAGCUCAAAGGAUCUUGUCCUAAAAGUUCCUCAUAAAGCUUAUGGGUUUGCUGGUGGAACUGGAAGGGCUUGAUGCAGCAGAUGCCAUUCUGCAAUAGAGAAAAAUUUAGAGAGCAGUACUAGUUAAAAUUGGAUGCAGAAGAUACACAUGAAACUAGUAUUUAUACAAGUCUAUACAAUUAAAAUCUAAGGAGACUUAUCAUCGUUUUCAUGUGUUGUGAAUUAAAAUAAUGAAGGAUACACUGUUAGGUGAAAAUUCAAGAAACAAAAUUUUGCAUAGAGAUAAAGGUCCAACAUUAUUACAAGUUAAGGUAGUUUUAAAUAUCCUUGUAAUCUUCCUUUGGUUUCCUCAACGAUUCGAAGACAAUAACCUUGCUUCUAUCAAUGAUAAUUAUAAGGAGAAUCCAGUGGAAACUGUGUAUUCGUAUUAGAACUACCUAAGGUUAAUUAGGUUAGGAAAGGAAAUUGAAAAUAGAUGGUACCCACACUUACUUAAAGUUGUCGGGCAAUAGUAUGUAAUGCUUGUAAUUCCGUUGCUCCAAGAAUUUGUAUAUGUGGUCCAAUGUAGACUUUGGUUGAUCCCGUAUCUGCUGUUGGUUAAAUAAGUGUUUCUAGCCAUUUCUAGCCAUUAGAACCGGGACUAAAGGGGGCUCUUUAGUACGGGUUGAUAUUACUAACCGGGAUUAAAGAGCCCCCAUUAGAGUUGGUUUUUGGAUGCGGAACUAACAACUCCUUUAGUCCUGAGUACGAAAACAACUGACAUAUUUGUUGCUGGAUGGAAGGUCCUUUCUCUACCGUGAAUAUUGCCAGAAAGAAUUGAAAGAGACUGCUUGCUAAAAAUAUGUCAUAGAUGUAGACCAAGCUACCAAGGAGGUAGACCAAACAUGAUACACACCAUGCGUACCUUGCUGUGCAGACUAUGCAUUGACAAGAUACCCGACCACAUGUUGGCCUCGGUCACAUCAAAAGAAUCAUGUAGGCCACCAAUAAACUACUUGAAGCGGCAUUCCGUAUCGUAUAUGCAUUGCCGGUUCAUCUGCAUUACAUUACAUAAAGCACUAUUAACUAUUUGAAUAAAAUGAACCAAUUUAAAAGUAAUGUGUUGUACUCUACUAUAGAAAGCCCUAUCACUGCCGGAUCCAAAAACAUCAUUGUUAAUGGUGGUUAAGUACCAAAUAUGACGGUCAAUAUUCUCAAGAAUAAUGGAGAAUUAGCAUUUCUUAGACACAUAUUUGGUUUUGAACAAUGUAGUUCCACAUGUCUUUGGAGAUUAUUUGGGUGUGGGUGAAAUAAUACAAAAAUAAGGAGAAAACACACUCCCAUGGCGAAGAAACACAACUCCAACCAAUGAGAGAUAGCCACAGGGGCAGCACACGGAUCCAUGGGCCCACUAACCGCAUCAAACCAUCUUACCAAGGCAGGUAGCACCCACAACCGUCAUUAGGACCCACCUGGAAGUCUACCAAGAAGAAGGUUGCGAGUGGGGCCAGGAGGGGUUCGGUUGAAUCAUCUCUAGCUAGCUCCCCUCAUCCCCAGCUGGUGGGUGGUGGUGGUUGAUGGUGUCCCUACAUCAGUUAGAGGAGAUUCCCCCAAAUAUUCCUCCUGUAAACCACCUCUAUGGACCUAUACAUAGAGGGGUGUGCUCUCCAUUCCAACACACACCACAAGUUGAAUCACUCUCUCCCUCUUUAGUUUCCAAGUUUAUGGAGUUAGGCUAGAGUAGCUCUGCUCAAGGUUCCAAGUCCACUUGGAGUUAAGCAUAUGUCUCUUGUAUCGUUAUUUCCUAAAUUGACUUUAUGCUUAGUUCUUAUAUGCAUGAGUUAGUCUAAUACCCUUGCUAUAUUGAUAUGCUCGGCUUAUAUGCUCGUAUGCUAGUCAUAUACCCUUGCUGUCGUAGUAUAGGCUUAUAUGCUCUCAUGUGUGCCUGUAGACCUUGCUAUAGUAUAUACUUGUUGUGCAUACAUACCAUGUAUAGGCUAGUCGAUCUAUACCAUGGCAUUGGUUCAAUAGCCAUGUUUUUGGUGGCUCCAACCCUAGUCACAAUAGCUCGGGACAGCUGGAGUGUUGUUAAAAAUGCAAGAGUGGUGCUUGGGUUGUUUAGCAUCGUUGGAUAUGGGUUUGCCCCACGGGUUUCUAACGGUAGGCGGCAGCUAGUGACAUCCCUGUCCGUCCUUCGUAAUCCCCCCACAUUCAGGUACGCCAUAAAUGUUCGUAAAUUAGCAGUAACUACGCCGGUACACCUGUAGGGUAUUGUCUCCCUGUAGUACCUUGGUGCAUAGAACUAAGUCCUAUACACUGUGUGUGUAUGUUUACGCUGAUAUGAUCUGUGCAGUAUAUAGGAUGUAUAUAUGAACCUAGAGCUAACUCCUAGUCCGUUCUCCAUAGCUUAGUUAUCUUGAGAUGAUUCUUCUGUAUGUGUAACACUACCCAUCUUAUCAUUAUCCUUGAUCCUGUCUUGUGUAAUAUAUCUACUCAUCCUAUGAUAUACUCAUAUGCAUAGUAAACUAUUUUGACCUACCCGCCUUCCUUUGGGAAAUAUGAUACCUUGGAAUAAUCCUAGGUGAAAUCCUACAACGGUAUAUCCAUGUAAAUGCGGAUUUAUUCAUGACCAUUAAAUAUACCAACAAUCAUCACUGUGAGUUUUGGGCGUCGUUAGUGAAGGGUUGGUAGUGAUGGGCAUCCCCUUCACCAAUGGACCUGGAACCGGCGGUGAUGGCUAUUAUAAAAAAGGGGACACCACCCAGCGUACCCCACGACCCGGCCGGCCGCACCUCCCAUCAUCCCCGCCAGCCGCCCUUCCUUUUCGCCGGCCGAGCAUGGUCCCGGCCUUUGUCCCUACCACCUCGCCUCCACCGCGACCCCCCGCCGAUGCCCUCGUGCCUGGCCCCCCUCAUCUUGCCGGCCACCCUCCCGAUGCGUCCACUGGGGCCCUCGCACCACCAACCGCCCUUGCUUAGAGAGGGAGAGAGAGGAGGGAGGUGAGGCCACGCACCUCGUCCUACACCGCCGCUGUUUCUCCUCGGCCCACCGCGCCUCACCCCACACCACAGCCGCGCCUUGCCAUCUUACCGGCUGUGACGCCUCAUCUCACCGGCCACCGUUCCUCACCCCCACUUCGGUCGUCGCCGCUCCUUGCCCUACCGCUGCUCUUUGCCGCUGCGAAUGAGCGCCGAGUGGAGGAGGAGGGAUGGGGCAGGAGGAGGGCAAGAUCCGGGAGGAAGGGAGAGAUCUCGGGAGGUGGAGAUGGAAGGAUAUGGCGGAAGGGAGAGAUCCAGAGGGAGAGAGCAGGGGAGAGAGGGGGGCGUGUGGGGAGAGAGCGCGUGUGGGGUGGGGCCGGGCUGGUGGGAUGGAAGGGAGAGGGGCUAGACGGGCGCAGUGCAUUCAACUGGAUGAAGUAAAUAUUUUGGAUUCGAGACCCCAGCUUUAUUAUCACCGCUGGUCCGUAGUACCAUCCGGUGCCUGCUCGUAAUUUAAUUUGAAUCUGCGGUGAUGUUUUAUUAUCACCAUCGGAUCAUAUAAAAAUCCGGCGGUUAAAAAUCCGCUGGUUUCGAUGAAAACCGACGGUGAUAGGAUGACUGUGAUAGUCUCUUCUCUAGUAGUGGUAUAUUAGUACCGGCUGCCGGAUGGUGUUGCCGACCAGUACUUCUCCGGGGGCGAUUCAGUACUGCUGUUAGCAAAGCUUGUUCUCUAUGAAUUUGGGGAUGGAAAGCUAGUUCUCUAGUUGUGAUUUGUUACAUAUAUAUCUAUGAUAGUCUAGAAAUUGCAUGUCCUUCGUUGACAUAGUUGAAGCUGCUUCAAGAAUUUACUUCGUGCAGUCGUGCAGCAUAUUGGAUUAUCACCUAGACAGGAUACAUAGGUGAAGCAUUGGAUGUGAUUGUGGCCGAUAAUUAUGCAGGACGCUGUUGCAAUCAACCACCAAGAAGUCUGGAGUGAUGGGGUUGCCUCAUCAAUAAUUUUUAUAUAUGGCUGCAGUAUUAUUAAGCCCACGUCAAUAAUUUUUUGUCCGCACCAUAUAUCGAUGGGGUUGCCUCAUCAAUAAUUCGCGCAACCAGACAAGCUGCAGACUCAAUAUGGUACGAAGCUAGUUGCUCAGCCCACAUGCUCUGAUAUAACAUUGACAUCUGCUGAUCUACAGUAUAUAUGACCAGAAAUAUUGUGCCCACCUCAAUAACUUUCUGAAGUAUCGUGGGGAAGAACCUACGCGUACUAUGCCUCGGAACUAACUGACAUAUCGGCCCAGGCGGUCUAGGCCGAUUGGACUGGCUCUUCCUUGUGGCUUCUCACAUCCCCUUCGUCCCCAAGUAAUUUCAGGUGUUCUGUAGUUUUCUUUUCACUUGCAUCUGAGCCUCCUAUAUCAAUAGCUUCGGGAUAAGAAUGCCUCUUGAUAACCUUCCAAAUCCUCGCUUGAUUCACAUUGAUUCCGAAAUCAUCUUGCCAUAUCUUCAGAGACUUAGGUCCUAAGGCAUCAUGGAGGAUUGCUCGCCAAGAAUGAGCACCAUUGGGCUCCUGAGGACCCUAGGCCGAUCAGCCCGGGCUCUAUAGGUCGAUUGGCCCAGGCCCUCUCUGGGCCUGUUGGCCUUCAUCUUUCUUUGAGUCGACGCUUAUUCAGGGCUUUGUCCAAUUAUAGUCCAUUAUAGUCUAAUUUCCUAAAAAACAGAAUGUCCUCCAAAAUACAAUGCAUAUGUGAAAACAACCCAAUUAUUAGGUAUGAUCAAUAGUUUAGGUAUUAAAUUAAUAUUAUUAUUUAAGAUAAACAGGGGUAAAGGGUGUCAUUAAUAACAAGCGCCAACAAGCGUCCUAGCUGUUCAAUAAAUUUUUUCUAGUACCGAUUGGUAACACUAACCGGUGCUAAUAUGUACCCUUUAUUACCGGUUAUUUUACCAGGUACUAAAGGAGACAAGAGCAUCCUAACAUAAGGUUAAUAUCAUCCAUUUCAUGAGUAAAAUACUAUGAUUCAAAAAUAAUUCAAAUCCCUUAAGACAAUACCUAUCAAAUGAGUAAAUUGUAAAUAGAGUAAUCUUGAUCAAACAAUGUCCUAAUGAAACGGAACACUUCUGGUUCGUGUAGAGCACAAUAUAGAAAACAGUAGGGUAGCUGUAUGAUUGACACGUGGUCCAUUAAUUAUUGAGCCAACACUAUGGACAUGUCUUCAUGAGUAGUGUACUAGUCAUAAUACAUGGUAUGCAGUAGGUGGAGGUAUUGACUUAGCCAUGCUAUGAGCACUUAGUUACAACAAACACUUUGCCAUUAUCGAGCAUCCCAAAUCACUACAAAAUCCAUAGUUUACCAUAUACUACAAAAUCUGAGUUAAAAUAAGAGCAUACACGGAAGAGUCCGAAUGCACGGCACAUUGAAUUACUAGACAAAAUUUAUGGGACAAGGUUUUGGGUAACCGCAUGAAAAAUAUUGGAUUUUACUGAACACUUAGUUACAAUUACCAUGCCCGUGAGCACUUAGUCACCACAAACAUUUAACCACUUUAGAUCAUCCUGAAUCCCUAUAAAUUCUAUACCUUACACCGUACCAUGAAAACGACAAGAACAGAGACAGAUGCGGUGAAAAUCUCCAGAGCAAGCCUGAAAUUAAAAUAAGAGGAGGCAGUCACUAUCGACAGGACACGGAGAUUGCUAGCCAUGACAGAGGAAGACAUGAUAUGAUAUUCACCUCUGAAAUGCAGCGUAGACUAAAUGAAGCACAAUUGCAAGUGAGUGUGGCAGAUAAUGGACCAUCGAGACCAUCGAAUGGUAUGAAGCAUGAUUAUCACCUAGACAUGAUAUCCUAGACAGGACGGUGAAUUGUAAAAAGAGUAAUCUUGAUCAAAGAAUGUCCUAAUGAAACGGAACAUUUUUGGUACGUGUAGAGCAAAAUAUAGAAAACAGUAGAGUAGUUGUACGAUUGAAACUGCAUCCAUCGACGUGGUGCAUGAAUUGUUGAGCCAACACUGUGGACAUGUCUUCAUGAACACCAUCUAGUGAGGACAGCAUGCAGAAAAAUAUAAAAACAUGUCAUAGGGAGGCAGACCAAUCUUGCGAGGUAGACGAAACGUGAUACACGAUCUGCCUACCUUGUCGUGUGGAUACCCCAAGUGAAGAUGUCAUAGAGGUGCAGACCAAGCUAGCAAGGAGGUAGAUGAAACGUGAUACACGGCCUGCCUACCUUGCCGUGGAUAUUAGUCCUGAUAUCAUUCUAUUGUUCAAGGAAUAACACUCAAUGCUGCUGCUGCUGCUGACCUGGCUCCAUAAAGUUAUAUUCCUCUAGCCGCUUGCACUAACUUUAUCUGAAGUAUUAUUCUCUCUGCACUGUAUAUAUGGUUACGGAGUUUGCUGGAGUAUCCGGGGGGAAGAACCUACAUAAUAUGUCUUGGAACUAACUGACAUUGAUUCACAGACAAGGUGCUGUUGUUGACAUGGUACAGUAAAUAAUAUAGUUUACCAUAUACCGUAUACCAUUAUAUGUUAGCUAAAAUAAGAGCAUAACAUGUCGCAGGAGUCCAAAAGCACCGGUUGAGGACCAGGUACAUUAAAUUACUAGAAAACAAAAGGGGACAAGGUUUAGGUAGCCACAUGAAAAACAUUUGAAUUUACUGUACCAUGAACACUUAGUUACCAUGCCGGGAGCACCUAGUUAACACUAACAUUUAGCCACUUUAGAUCAUCCCGAAACACCAAUGACCCUCAAUAGCGACAAAUUUUGGUUUAAAUGCCGUCACCAAUGAUCCUCAAUAGUGACGUGUUUAGGUUUAAAUCCCAUCACUAAUAACCCUUGGUAGUGACGUGUUUUGGUUUAAAUCUCAUCACCACUGAUCCUCACUAGUGACGUGUUUUUAGCAACACACGUUAUGAAUGACUUGUCAUUGGUGACAUGUUAAACGCGUUAUCUCAAUGGCAAAUCAAUGGUGACGUGUUUAAAAAAACAUGUCACUGUGAGAGUUAUUGGUGAAGGGUAAUUAAAAUGCAUCACUAAUUUUGUAGCAUUAGUUAUGAUAUAAUUUUGUAACGCAAAAAUCUACCAUAGUAAUGAGGUUUAGAGCCAUCACUAAUGUGGGUUUCUUAUCGUAGUGAUGCAAGCUCUACAAGGUGCUGUUGUUGCCAUUUUAAAGCAUCCCAAAUGACUACAAGAGUCCGGUUGAGGACUAAACAAAUUGAAUUACUAGAACCAAAUGUAUGUCCAGAACAAAGAAAGGGGUCAAGGUUUGGGUAACCGCAUUAAAAACAUUGAAUUUUACUGUACCAUGAACACUUAGUUACCAUUACCAUGCCUUGAGCACCUAGUUACCACAAACAUUAAUUUAGCCACUUUAGAGGUUCCACAAUCACUAUAAAUAAUAUACCAACACCGUACCAUGAAAACAUCAAGAAGAGAGACGGGUACAUGGACCACCAUCAAGUGAGUAGUGACAGCACGCACAAGAAUACCCGGAACCUUUUAGCUUGUCUGUAGUGAUCUGUUUUCUUCGCCACAAAUAAUGAAAGAGGCUGACCAAGCUAGCAACGAGGUAGAGCAAACGUGAUACACGUAGGUUUCAUUCAAGACAUCCAUGUAAGAUUCAUUCAAAACAUUCAUGGAAAUUUCUUGUAAGUUUUCAUGUAAAUUUCAUUCAAGACAUUUGUUAGAGGUGUUGUAUAUACACUUAACGUACAUAUAUCUAUGAUUUCAUGGUUGUUAGUGAUGGCAGAUGAGGAGCAUGCAAGGUGUUUAAUGGAGCAGAUUAUUGCUAGUGGUAGUGGCUCCAACCUGCCCGUAACGUACACCGACGAAGAGGGCAGCCAGGCGGACAUGUUCCUCAACAUGUCCGGUGAUGGCAAUGAAGAGCCCGAGCAAAACCUUGCCGUGACGGAAGGUUCCAUCGAGGUAUAUAUCAUUUCCAUUAUUUUACCCCAUCUAUAAUUUCAUAUUCAUUAUUACUAUGUGCUAAUUAAUGAAUCUUGAACCGUUAGUCCUCUAGAUCAACGAACCGAAAUAAGCCCCGAGGUCUUACAAAGAUAAUGCAGGGAAGGCUUCACAUCAUGGAAGUCACAGAAGAGGGCACAUCGGUUGCUCCCGAACAUGUGGCAAGAAAGUACGUGAGUCAAACCGGGGCAAUCGUAAGGGACAACAUGCCCAUCAGCAUCAGGGAAUGAAAGAGCAAUAGAAAUGAUCUAUACGCACCCCCGGAUACACAAAAGGAUAUGUUGUGGGCAAAUAUCAAGAAACACUUCACAUUUCCCAAAGGAUAUGUUGAAAAAUAUGUGAAAGCGUGGAUGUUGAAGAAGAUGGCCACCCAAUUCCAGACAUUCAAGAAGAUGUUGGAUGCCAACUUCAUCAAGAAGGGUCGAACUCCGGGUUUCAAUGAGUGGCCAAAGUUAAGGGACCACUGGGAGUCGUUUGUCGAAUACAAGACGAGCGAAGGUGGUGCGAGUAAGGUUCACAUCAAUGUUGCCAAUGCUAGCAAGGAGUACCAUCAUCAUCUAGGGCGACGUGGUUACAGCUCUGCAAUUCCCAGAUGGCGCAAGAUGGAACAAGACCUGAUCGAUCGGGGUAUCGUACCAGCAACUCUUGACUGGAUCGAUUGAAAAAUUGGUAUUAUGCUCAUGAAGGCAAUCUGAGCCAAGAGGAUCCGACAUUGGUCUUCAAUAAAACAAUACGUCAGAAGGUCGGAAGGCUUAUUAGGAACAUUGAAGAUGCUAAAGCUGGGAGGUUCAAGGUGGAUAGAGAGAAUGAUGAACUCACAUUGGCCCUCGGGACUGUCAUCUCUAGCACUUCCAGCUCCAGGACUAUCGUCACCACCGGGACCGUCGCUUCCUGCUCGAUCACAGUCUCCAUCUCCAGCACAUCCUGGUGGUGCGAGCGACGACGACAACAACACCCCUCCCUGCCCACCAUUGCCGGGACUAAGACCCGCAUUGAGUAAGGAACCUGCAACACCACUGAAGAAGUCGCGACCACCACCUUCAAGGCAAGUCAGCAAAAGAAGAAAGCAGAGAAGCCUAAACCCACUGAGAAGCCAGCGACUGAUAUGACCGAUGCGGAAAGAUGGAAGGCACUCAAAGAAGAAUGCAGGGAGUGGUUCAGCGAAGGCGAAGGUGAGAAAGUCGUAUGAAUCGAAUUCAAGGAUAUAUAUGAAGUGAACCAUCAGGAUGCCCUUGAUGUCUCUCUCAUCAGCGCCUAGGUUCUGUAAGUGUAUGUUUAUCUAUAAGUAAAUUUUGGCUCAUAUCAUUAUUUUUUUUGCGUGCGUCACCCUACUAACUUCGUCUUCCAUUUUAUGUAGGAUGCUAAUUCAGACGUGCCGCAUAGAAGCGUACUUCCAUGUUGGAUUCAUGGAUCCAUCCCUAGUUAACCAAAAGCCGAUACGGAAGUAGCUAGAGAAAACGUUGGAGGUGGUGUACAACCUCCUGGACAAACUAAACUACAGAAUAGGGGCAAUAUGUGAGGGUCUUGUAGGAUUCCUAGUGGACGAGGUGAUAAAUCCAUAAGGAGAAUAUCAUUCCAACGGACGAGCAUUAGACACACUGAGCAACACCUAGAUGGGAGGAUCCUAGGAAUGACCUCGACAGAUUUUGGUAUAAAUAGUAAUUGUGUAAAUACUAGUUUGAUUUGUAUAGGAAUAUACUAAGAAUUGUAUAUAUAGUAAUUGUACAAAUACUAGUUUGAUUUGUAUGAAUACUAGAUUGAUUUUAUUAUAAAAAAGUUUUAAGUCGUACGUGCAUGCGCCUACAAAGGCGCGGAUGCCUUUUAAUCCCAGUCGGAAAAACAAACUGGUACUAAAGGGGCUCGUGCCGCACCUGGCAUGACCACCCCUUUAGUCCCGGUUGAACGACCCAGGACUAAAGAUCUCCGCGUCUCAAAAAUUUUAUCUCGGAUGCUUUUUAGAGAGAUUUGAGGCCUAUCAACCAAGACUAAUAUCGAGUUUUCUACCAGUGAAACUAACUAACGUUCACAUGGUUUUGACAUUCACCUGCCAUUUGGUGUAGACAAGGGCACCCUAACAUAUGGUUAAUAUUAUUCUUGAAAGAAAAUCCUUUGAUUCAAAAUACUUCAAACCUAAUAAUACAAUACUUCUCACAUCUGAAAAAUAUGAGACGGCCCGACAGUAUUCUAAUCGACGCAAUAAUAUUUUGAGGGCAGCACUACUACAGCGACCCUCAUUCGUGCCGGUGCUGGGACUCCUAUCACGACCCUGAUACAAAUGAGGGUACAUUAUUGGUGCCAGUGCUAGAACAGCCACGAAUAACUUGCUAAACGUGCUGUUACACUCACUACAGGGACCAAGAAGGUAGAUAAAUUACACGACAUAGCCUUGGUUGCCGUGGAAGCGCCAAGAAGGGAGACAAAUUACAGGGACCACACCAUCAAGUAGAUAGUGACAAUAUGCAAAAGAAUACCCGCGCCUGUUAGCAUGUGAACUGACCACACCACGAAACGUGAUACACGGCAAGCGUACCAAGGCCUUGCUGUGCAGACUAUGCAUGGACAACACAUGGUACCUGACCGCUUUUGGCCUCAGACACAUCGAAAAACUGCAUCGUUCCACGUUGUACAUCCAUUGCUAGUUUAUCUAUAUUACAUAAUAUAUUAUUAGCUAUUUGAAUAGAAUGAACCAAUUAAAAAAUUGCGUUGUAUUUUUAGUACCGGCUGCAGGAUGGUGUUACCAACCAGUACUAAUUGGCCUGUAGGAGUGAUGGUUAUUAGACUUGGUACUGUUGUUAGCAUCAUUAACCUAAUUGUGCGCCGUAUGAAUUUGGGGAUGCAAAGCUAGCUCUCUAUGAAUGUGAGGGAUGGAAAGCUAGUUCUCUAGUAGUAAUUAUAUAUAUGACAGUCAAGAAAUCGAACACUAUGCUGCUACGAGUCACCAUCAUUUCCUUCAUUGACAAUCUGACAUAGGUGAAGCUGCUUCAAUAAUUUCCUUCGCGCAGUCGUGGAGCUUAUUGGAUUAUCACCAGGACGGGACACGGAAAUGGCCAGCAAUGAAGCUGAUUGCCGUCUGAGGAAGACUACAUACUUACCUAUGAAAUGAAGCGAUUGCAUAGACUAAUGAAGCAUUGCAUAUUUGCAUGUGAGUGUGGCAGAUAAUUCUGCAGGACAUGAUUGCAAUCCACGCACCAUCGAGAAGACUGGGGCGAUGGGGUUGCCUCAUCAAUAAUCACGUGGAUGCAUGCAUGCAUGUUCCCGCAACCGGACAAGGGUCUGAUAUAUGGCUAUAGUAUUACUGAGCCCACAUCAAUAAUUUCCACUGGUGUAUCGUGUGGGAAGAAUCAACAUACUACACCUCGAGUUCUUGGAACUAACUGACGUUCACAUGCAACCUCCACAAGGUGCUGUAUGCUUUUGACAUUCACCUGCCAGUUCGUGUAGAGAAGGACACCCUAACGUAUAGUUAAUAUUAUCCAUUUCAUGAGUAAAAUACUGUGAUUCAAAAAUACUUCAAAUCCCUUGAGACAAUACUUCUCACUUGACUAACCACUAACCAACCCCGAAACCCUAACUCAACUCCGAACCCUAACCCCUAACGGCAUAACCACUCCGUUUUGCCGGCGAGAUGGAGGAACUGGCUGGAAGGUAGAGAGGGCAGCGGUCCAGGGUUGAAAACGACGGGCGAGCGCAGUAACAUGUGGAGGAGGAAGUGCCACGUAUUCGUUCACCGCUAUUGGGCAGCGACACACGACACGCCCAAUAAGAUCUUCGCACGGUAGAAGGACGUCAUGUAUUCAAUAAUGUUAUUGGUCCCCCAUGUGCAGAAGGGCGCGCGCGUAUGGAAUAACAAGUAGGGACACUGCAACUAAUCUACUCUGCUCGUCCAGUCCCUAGCCUAUAAAUAGAUGCCAUGCUAGCUCUUGUUGUGCUCACAAUUAAUCCGAUUACACACGAGCUUCUCUCCCUGGCCAAGACACAACCAUAGUAUGAUGAAGAACAUGGCACUAGCCGGCAAUGGUAUGAAGAAGUUAAUCCUCGCUGUUCUCUUACUGUGUCUAGUUAUAGGGCAGAUACAAGUGGAAGCUAAGAGCUGCUGCCCAUCCACCACUGCAAGAAAUGUCUACAAUACCUGCCGUUUCACGGGUACAUCCCGUCCAACGUGUGCAAAACUGUCAGGCUGCAAAAUUAUCAGCGGGAACAAAUGCAAGCCCCCUAACGACCACCUCACCCUUGACCCGGACACUGGUAAAUAAUAAAUUUAUCUCACUUGAUUUCUUCGUGAUUUGAGUCGUUAAUGUAUUUUCCAUCUGAUGAAACGUAUUGGUUUUGCAUUGAAGAGGAAGUUAAUGUGCUUAACUUCUGCAAGUUGGGGUGUGCGUCGUCUGUGUGCAACAACAUCAACGCUGGUAAGCAACUUUUGCUCAGACAGAGAAAACAAUAAUCAUUAAUUAGCGGCAGCUAGAAUCCUAUAAUCUAAUAUAUAUAUAUAUAUAUAAUUUUAUCAGCUCUGGGAAAUGAAGAGGCGAACGAUGCCGUUGAGAGUUGCGACCAAGCCUGCUCUAGCUUCUGCAGCGUGCAUGUUGGCAGCGCCACCGUGGUUGCUUAAGCAAAUGCAUCCAACUAGAUCGUCCUUGUGCUGAAUAAUUGGAUAUCGUAUCCACUUAAAGCUGCCUUGUGUAGUACGUCUUUGUGUCUCUCUUUAUAUUCCAAUAAGGUCGGUGAUCUUGAUGCCACACACUCAGAUGUGUGUUCAUCUCCAGAUACUACUCCAUGCUACCUGCCCUUUGUGUUUUGUUCAAUAACUGGGUAUCAUAUCCCAGCCAGUAUGCCGUCUGUUUUGUGUUUGUUUCCUUCUAGUUCCAAAGGGGUCAUCAUGAUGUUACCUUCUUUCAAUAUGGUGCUUUGCAUGACUACUGUUGUAUGGUACCAUCUUGUGGCCAAUAAGUACAUCUUAUCCUAUGACCUUUGCUAUGACCCUUUGCAAAUAAGUAGAAGAUUGUUAUAAGCGUCAAUACUCCGUAUAAAUUGAUCGCUGCUGUGAGUUCCCUUUCAGCUUAUCGUAGGCAUACAUUAUUGCUAGCACGGUAAAGCCAACCAACACGAAUGAUGAAGUAAACGUAGCGGUACUUCUGUAUACCAACACCCUUACUUAAAUGUACCGGUGUCAUUCCCUACUGGCACAUAUAUUCUUAUAUGCUAGCCAGCUUGUAAAAUUAACCAAUUAAAAUAAUUAUUUCAAGAUAGAAAUAACUUAUCGGUUUCUGGAAGCAUGUGUAAUGUGAAUUCAAGGACUCGACGGAAGUUGAAUCACUUCAUCUAUAUUGCUUUCAGUAUUUUGGGUAACUAAAUUUAACAUUUGCACAUACAAAUGUUAAAGUACAAAUGUUAAAUCUAGUUACCCAAGCAGAAUAUGAAGAUAGUUUAUAGUAUAUAUAUACUAUAUAAAUCUAGUUAACAUUUAGUCUAAAUGUUAAAUCUAGUUACCUAAAAUCCUGAAAGCAAAAUGUAUAAAUAUAUAUCUUUUAAGGCAGUAUAAGCUUCGAUUCCUAUUGCUGCUCUGUUAAAUCUCAUCUUUCGUUGUGGCCCAACACUCUAGUAUGCAUGUUGCACCAAGCUUCUUUGAGCCGCUCUGCCCUCUGAUUUUGCUGCGUAGGGGAAUCUUUAUCAGGUUGGGCUACUUCCAGUUGUGCGAUGUAAAGAUUCGUAUUUUCUAGAAGGUAGACAAAAAACUCGCGUUCUCUUAAGGCAACAACCGGAAGAUUCUGCAGCGCACAGGGCAUACCAUUAUUGUAGAAACGACCUUUAGUACCGAUCUCCAACCCCCUUUAAAACUGGUUUUGCAACCGGUACCGUUAUGUCGGUCCUUUAGUACCAGAUCAAAUAAGUACCGGUUGGUAACCAGUAUCAACUUGUUUUGCGGCCAAAAAAAUAAAGAAAAAAACAGUCAGAAGGCUCGCACACACGCGCAUCACAUGAAAUAUGCGUGUGCGGGGUCCAUGGGAUUCGAACCCAUGAAAUCAAGCUGCACGCGACCCUUCGUUACCAUCUCACCUACAUAGCGCAUAUGCUUUCCUGAAGUAACCCGUGGAGGAGGCUUUAGUACCGGGUCAUAACACCACCCGGUACUAAAAAUGACUCUUCAGUACCGGGUCAUAACACCACCUGAUACUAGUAUCGGAUGGUGUAAUGACCCGAUACUAAAAGGCCUCUAGGGACCCUCAAAUUUGAACCCGGUACUAAUGCUAAUAUUAGUAGCGGGUCAAAGUGCAGCCAGAACUAAAGCAUGGGAUGAAAGGUCAUAUUUCUAGUAGUGUAUAGUUGUUGUGAAGGACUGACUUGGCUGUCCUCUCUCUUCUCCAUCCCCUUGGUCUUACGCCGCCGCUCGCACGCGAGCCGGUGCCCAACCAGAGGAGUGAGAGCUAGGGGCAGGUUGGGAGGUGGGGAUAGUGACUGGUGGCCAGGGUGAUGGUUGAUCCUGGUGGGGUUAGGGUUUCAGGGUUUUCGAGCUUCCUAUGGUCGGCGAACCUAGAGGAGAAGCUCAACAUCAGCUGCAACCCGCGAUGGUGGUGGUUUGGCCGGCGCCCGAGGCGAGGCAGCGCGGGAGUGCUGCCGGUGGGUUGGUGUUGGCACUCAUUAUUGACAACUAUUUUGUUCAUAAAAUAACACUCAAACUUGCUGCUGCUGCUGCUGCCAUCGCCACCCUAGCCAUAAUAUAAAGGCAAAAUUUGCUAAAGGACAUGCAAAAUGAUGCUAGUUUGCUGGCGGGCAUCGUUGACCUUGUAAUAUGCUACAAGACACUCUAGUUGUGUAUCAAUUUGCUGAAAGACAUUGCUAUGACUAAAAUAAUGUUUCUGGACUGAGUUGGAGAGAGAGAUGGAGUGAAAUGUCUGUUUUGCCCAUGACCCCACUGGUCAGAUCCUUCUUCUUCCACCCUCCUUUGUUCUUUCUUCAACCAUUACCCAGCUCCAGCGUGUUGCAGAUCUACGAGGGUGGCGGCCUGGGGCGAGGGGCAUCGCUCGCCCUUGGAGGAGCGCUGCGAGCGACGGCGCGGGGGCGGCAACAGCGCGUCAGAACCUGACUGUUCGUUAGCUCCUCUCGCUGCUGGGGAAGAAGGAGGGGGAUGGGCCAUGGACGGGGUUCCCUUGAAAACCUCAGCGUCGAGCUCGGGCGGCUACGCGCAGGCAGCACUAGGCUGCUUCACGGGGAGGGGGCGCGGCCAAUCAUUGGCACCCCACUGGUCCAAUGCUGAUGAAGAUGGUGCCAGCGUCGUGUGAGGACAUCUCAUCUCCUCGAGUUCCAUGGCCAGCACAGGUGAGCUGCCGCUACCACAAAACAGAGGUUUCGUGAGAGUCAAAAAACCUUAUGAAAAUAGCUAAAACCAUCAUGAAAAUAAUCCGUGACAUGACACUCUCACGAAAAUCCUCUCACAAAUAUGGUGCCAUGAAAAUACCAUUUUCAUGAGAGUGAACUGUCAUGAUUUUAUAAGCGUCAAUACUCGGUAUAAAUUGACUACUGCUGUGAGUUCCCUUUCAGCUUAUCGUAGGCAUACAUUAUUGCUAGCACGGUAAAGAGAACCAACACGAAUGAUGAAGUAAACGUAGCGGAACUUUUGUAUACCAACACCCUUACGUACCGGUGUCAUUCCCCACUGCCACAUAUAUUCUUAUAUGCUAACCAGCUUUGAAAAUUAAGCGAUUAAAAUAAUUAUUUCAAGAUAGAAAUAACUUAUCGGCUUCUCGAAGCUUGUGUAAUGUGAAUUCAAGGACUCGAUGGAAGUUGAAUCGCUUCAUCUAGAUUGCUUUCAGGAUUUUGGGUAACUAAAUUUAACAUUUGCACACACAAAUGUUAAUGUACAAAUGUUAAAUCUAGUUACCCAAGCAGAAUAUGAAGAUACUCUAUAGUAUAUAUGUACUAUAUAAAUCUAGUAAACAUUUAGUCUAAAUGUUAAAUCUAGUUACCUAAAAUCCUAAAAGCAAAAUGUAUAAAUAUAUAUCUUUUAAGGCAGUAUAAGCUUCAAUUCUCUGUUAAAUCUCAUCUUUCGUUGUGGCCCAACACUCUAGUAUGCAUGUUGCACCAAGCUUCUUUGAGCCGCUCUGCCCUCUGAUUUUGCUGCGUAGGGGAAUCUUUAUCAGGUUGGGCUACUUCCAGUUGUGCGAUGUAAAGCUUCGUAUCUUUUAGAAGGUAGACAAAAUACCCGCGUUCUGGAAGAUUCUGCAACGUGCACGUUGGCGCUGCCACCGUGGUUGCUUAAGCAAAUGCAUCCAACUGAAUCGUCCUUAAGCUGAAUAAUUGGAUAUGGUAUCCACUGCUUAAAGCUGCCAUGUUUAGUACGUCUUUGUUUUUCUCUCUUUAUAUUCCAAUAAGGUCGGUGAUCUUGAUGCCACACACUCAGAUGUGUGUUUAUCUCCAGAUACUACUCCAUGCUACCUACCCUUUGUGUUUUGUUCAAUAACUGGGUAUCAUAUCCUAGCCAGUGUGCCAUCUGUUUUGUGUUUGUUUCCUUCUAGUUCCAAAGGGGUCAUCAUGAUGUUACCUUCUUUUGAGGUGUCUAUGAUGACUUCGUUAAUAUCAAUAUUAACCAAUUCAAUCUGUCUUAACUAUUUGUAAGGGGUAUGAUGUAUGCAUGAUUAUAACAAUGAUUGCGCAUACAAUCGCCGCCAAAGAAACGGUCAAUACCAUUAAGACAUAUUACAGACAAUUCUCAUAAUCUAUAAUGAAUAUACAUAUUCACUACUGCAGAAGACUGUCAUUUGUAUCGGCUCAUACGUGCCAGGGCAAAGGUCACCCUUGCAUUAAGUACAUUUGCACGGUAAAGACAACCAACACGAAUAAUGAAGUAAACAUGCCGGUGCUUUUGUACACCAACACGCUUACUUAAAUGUACUGGUGUCAUUCCUCACCGGUAGCCGGCUUGAAAAUUAACCAAUUAGAACAAUUAUUUAUUGUAUCGGUGUGAUUUUUGACCUAUUGGAAUAUGAAUUUGACCGUUACUGCAUUCGUCAAGACUCAAGAGAGAAAUAACUGAUCGGCUUCUUAGAGCGUGUGCAAUGUGAAAUCAAGGACUGGAUGGAAGUUGAAGCGCUAGCACUAGUAGAGAAACGACUUUCCAUCCACCCCCUUUUGUCCCGGUUUAAAGUUGGCUCGGGAUAAAAGGUUCACCAACCGGGACUAAAACUCAGUCACUGGUGGGAGGCUCACCAACCGGAACCUUUUAUCCCGGUUGCAAAGGCUAAUGGGAAAAAAAGACUCUGAGAGGCCUUUUAUCCCGGUUUGAAACACCAACCGGGAUAAAAGACCCCCCUUUUAUCCCGGUUGGUAACACCAACCGAGAUAAAAGGGUCAAGAGCCUUUUAUCCCGGUUGGAAACACCAACCGGGAUAAAAGACCCCCUUUUAUCCCGGUUGGUGUUUCAAACCGGGAUAAAAGGGCCCCCACGAGGUGACUGGAAGGUGACUGGAAGGGGAUUAAAUCGUGGGGGACCCUUUUAUCCCGGUUGGAAACACCAACCGGGAUAAAAGGGGGUCUUUUAUCCCGGUUGGUGUUUCCAACCGGGAUAAAAGGGUCCCCCACGAGUUAAUACAAAAGGAUAGUAUCCCCUACAUAGUCAGAUGUGGUGUGUAGGUGGGAUGGUAAGGAAGCUACGCGCGAGCUCCGGAAUUUUUUUUUUUUUUUUUUGCAGCGUCGGCGCUCUCUACCCUUUUAUCCCGGUUGGUAUUACCAACCGGGAUAAAAGGGGGUCUUUUGUCCCGGUUGAGUGACCCGGGAUAAAAGACCCCCCCUUUUUUCCCCGGUUAGUUUAUCCCGGAUGCAUUUUCGGGAUAAAAGCACCCUACCAACCGGGAUUAAAGCUCACUUCUCUACCAGUGUAGCUUCAUCUUCCGCUGCAAGUUAAUUGCUUGGAUAAGAAGUUGUAGCCGCUGCAAGUUAUAAAUAGUCCCGCUGAUGCUGUGCUCCGAAGUCUAUACUAUAUAUGCGGAAACUAGAUUGCUUUCAGGAUUUUGGGUAACUAAAUUUAACAUUUGUACAUAAAAAUGUUAGUUUACGAAUGUUAAAUCUAGUUACCCAAGCAGAACAAGAAGAUAGUAUAUAGUAUAUACUAUAUAAAUCAAGUUAACAAUUAGUCUAAAUGUUAUAUCUACUUACCCAAAAUAUUGAAAGCAAAGAAAGAAUAAGUAUAUAUCUUUUGUUGGAAAAUUGGUCCACGGAGAGGCCCAUUUAGGCCUCGUUCGUUUCACCGGGAUGGGAUUCCAGUCAGGAUUACUUCCAAGUUCGGUUUGAGUGAUUCCACCCGUGUCACUCAAUCCGGCUAGGAUUCAUUCUAUGGGUGAGGAGGUAUGGUUUCAAUCCAGGCCAUCUAAUGUAGAAGGAUUCCAAUCCAGGCCGGUUUUCGUUCCAGGCCAGACUAAAACGAACAACACUUUCAAUGCAAGUCUGGUUUCAAACCGGGCCAUUUCAAACCACCCGGAAUGGACCUCGUUCCAGGCCAAUCCGGUGAAAACAAAUGAGGCCUUAAUGGAAUCCCAAAGCAAGAGUUCAGUGGCAUUCUAUAGUCCCAUGCUGCUAGUUUGAGUUGGUCGAAGCCAACUUAAAUAGGAGAGCUCUCUCACUUCUCUAAAUACGUAACUGAAGGAGAGAAGGGGGCUUGGGUUACACAACGCACGCACGCACGCAUAUUUGCGUUCUUUUCGCGUAACCAACCGCGUGACUUGAAACUUGCGACGUAGCGUGCUGCUAAGUCAAGUUGAUAUAACCUUUUUGCCGUUUGCAUGUAAUCUUUUGACAACGGUCAUUGGAGGUGAUAAGCACGCAGUCAAUACCUUAAUCUUGAGUUAAUAGGGUGGUUACUACUGCCAAUUAGUGGGGCAAUUUUGUAGGGGAAACGGUUAGCAGAGGGCUACCGUCUUCUCUAUAAGAAGUUCUGGAGACGUCCAGGAACACACAUGUACAUGUGAGAGACCCACAAAUUCCUUCCCUUCUCCCUUUUCCAUGUGGUGAAGUGUGCUGUGGUACUGAGCUGCUUGAUCUCGCCGCUCUUCUCCUUGGCAUGCACCGAGGAGGAGGGUGAGCGGUAUCUCCGAGCUAUUGCCGUCAGGAAGCCUGCACGAGGGACAACAAAAAGUUUUUGGGUAGCGCAACUGCCAGCACAACUCUCCCUCCGCCUCUUCUUCACGGUUGAUGGCCACCACAAGCAUAAACCUCGCCUUCGCAUCCACGCAAAAGGGUCGCUGGGGUGCCUUCUUGCAUCGCUUCUCAGCCUCCUUGACUUGCGGCCAGCCAAGAACUGCGCCACCACCUCGGGUGCACGCCACCACUCCAGGGCUGCUACCCCAUGCCUGCGGCCGCCGCCGGCCACCACGCGUGUGCAACCGCGUCGCACCGCUUCCUUGCUUUGUGCCACCACUGCUGCUGUACCACCAGCUCCACCACCUUGGGCUGGUCGCCAGAGUGACUGAUAACUUAUUAUCUGUAACUACUAUUAACUCAGGGAUACAUGCGUCUUUUGCUUCUCCUACUAAUAUGUCCUAAAAUAUCUAGGAUGCCUUAUAUUUCUGGACAGAGGAAGUAUUUGAAUAAAAUGAACCAAUUUAAAAAAAUGUGUUGUACACUACUACAGAAAGACCUAUCAGUGUCAAACCCAAAAAUGUUGUCACCGCCAGUUUUGGGCAUCAUUGGUGAAAGGUUGGCGGUGAUGGGCUUUCCCUUCAACAACGGCACUGGAGCCGACGGUGAUUGACAUUAGAAAACAAAAAAGGGGACCCUACCUAGCCACCCCUGCAACCCGGCCGGCCGUGCCUCCCCUCAUCCCCACCACCUCGCCUCCCCAUGACCCCCCGCCGGCGCCCUUGCGCCUAGCCCCCUCAACUGCCCAGCCGGCCACCCUCAUCACGAGAGAGAGGUGCAUGUUGUAUAAUUGCGUGAAUUUUUUAAUGUUUAAUUUCAUGUAAGUUCCGUGUAAUAAAUUGUACAAGUUUUAUUGUAUAUAUGAAUUCCAUAUAUAUAUAUAUAUAUUUAUAAUUUAAUGUAUGGUUUCAUGUGUAUAUUUCAAUCAUGUGUAUAUUUAGUAGAUUGCCGAUUUUCUUUUUCUACUAGACAAGGGUUGAUGUAUAAUUACGUGUAUAUGUUUAUUGUACGGGCAAUUAGGACAAGUUUUGUAUAAAUUUCUUUUAUUUGAUGGUUGUUGUAUGGUUUCAUGUAUAUACAUUUAUUGUACUACUUUAGACAAUUUUUAAUUUAAUGUUUCUAUGAUUAGAUGUGUGUAUAACUAAUUGUAUUAUUAGUUAAGAUGGGAGCUAAAGAGGAUGAAAGGUAUAUAAUGGAGCAGAUUAUUGCUAGCUCAAACGUUGCAAGAACCUACACCGAGGGUGAGGGUAGCUAGGUGGACAUGUACCUCAACAUGUCCAGUGAUGGCAAUGACGAUGAGGAGCACGAGCAUGACAUCUAUGAUAAUGCGGAACAAGACAUUGCAGAAUUGGAAGGUUCUAAUGAGGUGUGCUUCAUGUUGACAAUCUAGUUGGCUUUUUUUCGUUGGUCACACCUUAGUUACCAUAGAACUUCGUCUCGGGAGAAGAUUGGUGGUGGUAUGGUGAUUGGAAUUUUAUUUCCACGAAAUCUGAUUUCCAUCGAAUCAUAUCCCUUGUAUUUAUCUUCUUUUUAUUUGUGAGAGCAUCUUCUUUAUGCUUGCAAAACAAUUCAAGUGCACAUACUACCCCUAGGGUGACGAUUGGGAGUAGAAAUAAUUGCCAACAAAACAACACCACAUCCUAAGAUUCUUAACUUGUGGCAUAAUUAGUCUAGUAAAAAGAAAGAUAAAAACCUAAUGGGUGUAUGUGAGUGCAAUGUGUAUAUGCAUAUGAGUGGAAGGCAUAUAAGCAAAGACAAUAUUUACACAUAGUUCUAAACACCAUGUUUACAGCUAGGUUGCUGAAUUUCUCCAUAGCCAUAGAGAUUAAUUAACCAAGGUCAAAACACGAUGUCUAUCCCAAGAUCAGUAAUUAUUUAUAGCACAAGAAAAAGAAAGCGCAUUGCAAAGUUUAUAAACCAACCAAUACAGCAUGAAAACAAGAUGAAUAGCUAGCAAGGUUUAUUAAACUGAAUGAUGACGGUCUGUAAGCAAGUUUAAACACCAUCUUUACACAAGAUUGCAAAUGGAAAAUGCCCAUAUGAAGCACUAACAUGGAUAUGAAAUCAUUCAUCAUAAAGCGUAAAGAACAACCAAGCCAACCAUAUGCAAAGCAUGAAUGGAAUGCAAUGAAGGUGCAAGAGAACAUUUUUGGAUGAACACAUUAUGAUGAUGGCAAAAUGCAAUGCAUGCAGAAAAAAUAAAUAUGAACAUGAAUAUGAUGAUCAGGGGCGGACCCACUAUUGUGGCCUGGGUAUUCCUCGGCAUACCCAAUAUUUUUGGGAAAAUGUUUAGUAGUUUUUAAUGGCAUAUACAUGUAUAAUAUAGUUUAGGUGUUAAAAUUGAUAUUCACAGCUAUUUUGGGCUCCAAUUCGCGUCCAAACCAACCUGGCCCACAGACCGCACCCGGCCGCCCGGCCCAUCGGCCCAUCUUGUCACUGAUCCUCCCACCACCACACUCAGCCCGUCAGUUAGUCAGGUCCCGAGCUCCUGCCUGACCUAGUCCGCUACCACCGCCAGGCGCCAGGCACAGCUGUACACGCCGCCCCCGUCCACCCACGUCCGCCGCACGGCCGCGUCGCGCCCCCCCCCGGCGCCCGCUGCUGCCAGAACCCAUUAGGCCUCCACCGGCAAGUCCACCCACAGUCCCGCGCGACGCGGCAGCCUCUUGGCUCUCGGCGCUCGCGGCGCGCCAAUGCCUGCGCAGCCCCAGCAGGCGACUGCCCCCCCCCCCCCCGCAUCGGGCCUCGGCCCCUCCCCAGCUCCCCCUCCCCCCUCCACCAGGACUGCCUGCUGGCCCCCACCGCGAGGUAAUCGAAAUGGACUGCUCAAUCUCUCAAUCUGUUGACAUGAUGCACACGGUUGCAAAAAUAGAUGUGUCAAAAUAGAUGUAUUGCCAAUUGCUAUAGAUGCAUAUGGUUGACAUGAAGAAGUCAAAAAUGACAUUUGGUUCCUUGUAGGCAGUCAAAAAUGAAGAAGUCAAACAAUAUUGAUCUGAAAUCAAUGCGGGAAAGGGCUACGAAGACACACGGGUAGAUUCCCUUGUGAACUUUUUAUGUCGUUCGUCUAAAUAUAUUUUUGCAAUGGGCAUACCCUACUCUGAAAUCCUGGGUCCGCCACUGAUGAUGAUGGUCUAAACAUAAAACAAGCCUAGAUUAAUUAGCUACAACUGAAAUUAAGCAAAGGUUAAUGUCAUUGACCCUAGCUCUAUCCUAGCUUUUACUAAAGUCCCGGCACAUAUAGUGGUUGGGCCCACUCUCUCUACUUCCCUCUCUGCUGCAUGCACACACACGAGCAACUGGAGGCCCAACAAAGCCCAGAAGGGUUCGGCCGAACCCGUCCGAUCCAGUCUGAGCGCCGCUCCCUCCCAGCCUUCGCGCAGAUGCUCCUCCAACGUUCCUUGACCCCUCCCUCAGUGUCCCAUUGGGUUUAACAUUGUAGGAGAGGAGUCCCUUUUUUAAAAUCUCAACCACCUCCUCUCCUCAUUCACUCCACUCUCAUCUCCAUCAAACUCACCAAGAUCCACAUCGGAAAUACCUGCUUACCACCAUGGCUGGCAAAGCCCUCGUCCCUUUCACCAACUUGGGCUUGACCAUUGAUCUCGAUGGGAAAAUCACUCCAGCAAAUGUCAUUGUCCCUGUCGGCGAUCUGGCGAUGGAGGAGGUCCAGGCACUAGAGGUCGAGCCCCUAGCCAUCAUACCGCCCAAGGGGUAAAGCAGGAGCAUGACAGGCGCUGCUAGGGGUUCAGCCGAACUCCCAGUUCAGCCAAACGAGGACGGCGUCGCCUCGGCCUCCCGCUCGACUGCAUGCUUCCCCUUGCCAAGGAGGACUCCAGAACAGCGGGCGCGUGCGUCAAGUCCCUACAAAAGGCUGAAAUACAAUGAAUAUCCAGGGUCACCCUUGAAGAUGGGUGAACGCUACGCCGGGUCCUUGUUUGACUAGUACGGCGAUGCAUUCUGCCACCGCUAUGUCGUUGUCGAGAUUAGCGGAUCAAGACUUAGACUAGUAAAUUUCUUUUAUGCGCGUAAGGCUUCAGAUGGUGGCGUGGGAGACAUGGGUUUUAUACUAGUUCGGGCAAUGGAAUACCCUACGUCCAGUGUCUGGAGCUGCUUGUGUUGCCCACGCGGGGUUCUGUAGUAGGGGUUACAGGUGUGCGAGAGAGGGAGCUAAUCCCAGGUCUCUUAGGCGUGUUCCGGUCCUCUAGAUGGGAGAAGUGUGUUCUGUUUGCUUGGGAGUAUCGGUUGUGUCUGAGUUGUCUCCGGAGCCUCCUCCCGUCUCAGGUCCCCGAUUCUCCUUUCAUAGCACAAGGAGACCAUCGGGGUUACAGACGAGACCGAGCGUGGGGAGGAGUAAAGAGAUAAACAUAGCUAGGUAAAAAUACAACAAGAAAGGGGGGAACCAAGUUUCUAGGUCACCGGCGUCCUCGCCGGCCUUCGACUUCCGCCGGCGCAUUUGUCGGAGGAGGGUGGCCGCCAUCGCGUUCUGUCGAUGGCUUCCUCGGUGACUGUAGCCACCGGGCGUGAUGAUGGCAUUUCGUCGUGACCCUUUGUCUGUUGGGGGAGGCGGCGGAUCCUGCCAUUCUGCUGACGGCUCGCGGAGUGCGAACGUCGCAUCCCUGCCGCUGGGCACGCGGGGCGCGAGAACGUGCGAGGCUUCCCCCUACCCCAGGCGGCGCAGGCCAUGAGUGCCCUGUGGCAAAUCGGAGGAGGCCGCAGCUACUGUAGCUUGUACUGUGCAGCCACGUAUGGGUACUUGUGGCAGGUUGCGUGGUGGAUGCGGAUAUCCUUCUCCCUGACAGAUCUGCGGCGCAUUUAUGGCGAGAUCGACAUGGGGACCCACAAGACCCGCGCCCAAGGCGGAUACUUGUCUGGAGGGCCCGGGUUAGCCUGACCCCCUACGCUUGGGGUCGGGCGAGGCGGAGACUUGCGGCGGGGCGUCGGACGCUCCCGACACUAGACCUGCGGUCGCGCAAGGCGGAGCUUGGUCUUCCGGGGGUCGGGGGUGCCGGACCCCAGGAUGCGGGGUCGGGCGAGGUGGAGCGUAAUUCUUGCCUCCCAUGUUGGGCCGAUGGCAGUCUUUGUUACCUCUAGUGGGCUUGGGCCUUUAUGUUUUGUUGUUUCCAUGGGCUUCGAGAGGUCGUUAAUAUUUCCCCCCAACAGUAGCCCCCGAGCCUGUGGUGGAGUGGGGGCGCUCCUCCGGAGGCUACUAUCAUCGCCCCUAGGGAAUCCUCGCAGUUGAUCCGGGAUAGGAGGUGUUGUUUGCACGGCUUGACCGAGGGGGUCGAUUAGGCGACGCAUCCUGUGAGCGACUCGGUGCGGGAGGGUUUCUUGUUGUUCCCUUCUGUCUGAGAGCCUUAAGUCGAGACCACCUGCGUGGCCUUUGGUUGCAAGGCCAGCCCCCGAGCCCCCGCACGUUGCAGGGGACCGGUCGGAGGCUAGGUCGACUUUUGUUCAUUACCCUCAAGCGUCUGUUCGCUAGGACGGAGGGGGCGAGCCGUGCCAUGCUAUCCUCAUCGGACGAACCAUGGUGCUCAUUGAGUUACUAACGGGUUGAUUCGAGUGGGAUCCCGGUCCCCGUUCGGGGGGGGUCCGGCUUGGGCCAAGCUGGUGGCGUACCCCAGGCUCCGGUCGGCCAGUUCAUAUAGUUCCUGAGUCCGUUCGGUCGGACCGGGGGCUCAUUGCCUUUCUUCGGGGAAAAACCAUGAACUUUGAUGCCGGUCCAGACUCGAAUGUGAGAUUGAGACGCCCGGGGCUGUCGCGUGCCCGGGUGAUGGCCGCUAGCGGACCCGUCUCCUCUCACCCCUCACUCGGGGGUAUCCUGAGGCGGCUGUCGAACCCGUGGCGGGCCAGCCUUCGAACCUCUGGAUCGUAAUGGGCCGUAGGGGCGUUUUCAGCCCCGUAUCCCUUUUUACCUUUUGGUGGGCCUUGGGCCGAAUCAUGGAGGAGGUCGGGCCUUGGGCCGGAUGCGGAGGAUGUCGUGCCUUGGGCCGGAUGUGGGGGACGUCGUGCGUGUCUUCCGGGAGACGAAGUGGUGGAGGGUGCCAACCCGCGAAUCGAGGGAGGAGGGGAUGUUUCUACUGCAGGUCAUGCGCACGGUUUCCGAAAAGGCAGCGGGCGUGACGGGACGUACCUCGCGCCGCAUUUAUUGCGAUGGGGGCGUCUGUUCUGCUUCCCUCGUGCCUUCCCUAUAAAACGAGGACUUCGCCUCGCCGGUUCCGCCCGCCAUCUACCUUCAAGCCUUUUCGCCUCCUCGCGCGCCCUUAGCUUUCCUGUGCCCGCUUCGUCUUCCUCCGCCCAGUGCCGCGCCCUUUCUCCCCAUCCGCCGUCGAGUUCUUCUCCCUCCGGCGAUGGGAUCCUGGGCGCGUUCCCACUUCGGCCCCUCACGCGCCGAAGGCCUAGUGAGGAAAGGCCUCCUUUGCGAGAGGACGGAGACGGAUGAGUGGGGGUUCCCUGAGAUGGAAGAGGUGCCGACUCCGCCCACCGGCUACGUCGUUUCCUUUGCCCACUUCCACGAGAGGGGGUUUGCGACUCCGCCGAGCCUCUUCUUCCGCGGGCUUUUGUAUUACUACGGGCUUGAGCUGCAGCACCUCAACCCCAACGGGAUUCAGCACGUCGCGGCGUUCGUUGCGGUGUGCGAGGGGUUCCUGGGCAUUGAGCCCAACUUCUCGCUGUGGAAGUACUUCUUCACGGUCAGCCUAUACCAGAAGGCCGAGAAGAGGGGAAGCCAGCAGCGGUCGACCCCGGUGCCGAUAGGGUGCGUCGGAAUCCACCUCUGCCAUACUCGCGCCAAGGAGUAUAUCGCGAUGAAGACCGCGGCAUCCCACAAGGGGUGGCACCAGCAAUGGUUCUACGUGAAGAACUACUCCAACCCCCCCUGCCGGAGUUCACCGGCCGCAUUAUUGAAGCGGCGCCGGAGGUGUGGGUGUACGGCCCGGUGGAGAAGGAGAAGAAGCGGAUCACCGGCCUGCUGCAGGCCAUCGAGCACCUGAAGGAGAGGGGACUGACCGGAGCCGGAGUCAUCGGGGCGUACCACGCCCGGCGGGUGGCGCCGCUGAUGCUCCGGGUCCGCUCGCUCGCCGACAUGACCCCCGGUGCUCUCACCGAUGGCACUGUCCUCGCGACGGGUGCUCUCGCUGCCUCCGAGAUCCGGCAGCGGAUCCGGGAGGCGCUGGAGGACAAGGACGCCGAUUACCCGGUGCCCGGCCACCCUCCGAUGCGCCCGGACGAGAAUUUCAUUGAUCUGGUAAGGAUUUUGCGCGCCAGUUUCCCUCUCUUGCGUUUCUUGGUAUGCCGUUCUGACGCGAGGCCCUCUGUGUUUGCAGGGUAGCAUGACCCGGGUCGUCGACUUGCGUCCGCCAGUGUCGGAGGACGCCGAGUGGCGGUAGCAGAACCGUCUCCUUGCCGAGAAGCAAAAGUGACGCAAGGACAAGAGACAGCGAAGAAGAAGAAGAGGGCCGCCAAGGAGUUCCAGCGGCGGCGGUGGGGAUAGGUCGUGUCGGAUGACGAUGACGAUGAGAAGGAGGAGGAGGAUGACGAGGAGGAGGAGGAGUUUAUCCUGUCCCCCCGGUCAGGGGCGCUUGUUAUCCGGGAGCCGCGCUCCCAAGCGGCCAUGGGGGACAAGGCGGGCGAGCUGCCUGCCCGGACCCGAUCCUGCGAAGCUUUGGGGGCGCGCCCCAGGGGUCGGCGCAGAGCGCCCCCCGGGGGUCGACGGAGCCGACCCCCAUCCCUACACCUGCAGCCCAGGAGCAGAGGAGCAGCGACAAGCGGCCGUUGCCAGAUGCCCCGGGGUCGGCGUCCAGCUCAGAGGCGAAGCGCGCGCGCCGCCCUUGCGCUGGGGGAACGUGAGUUGAAUUUCCUUGCGAAUCUCGUUCCUUUCCAUGCAUUGUGUUUGUUUCCGCUGAUGCUGUUUGUUGUCUCACAGCACCGCCCCUCAAGGCCUUGUCCCGCCGUUGGCGCCAAAGAAGGCGUUGCGGUGUUGUCGCCUCUGCGGGGCGGACCGCGGCUCCGCCGGCGGCGAGUGGCGGGGUCACUGGUGAGACCGCGGGUCCUACCGCGGAGGUGGCCCCUGCGGCGGCAACCGGUGGAGUGGUGCCACCGCCGGGCAUGGGACAGGGUCUGGACCCCGCUCCGUCCUCCGCCUCUUCGGCCGACCCCGCGGUGCAGAGUAUCGCUCCUGGGGGCCCUCAGGCCGGGGAGGUGAUUGACCUCGACGCCGACGAGGUGGAGGAGACGGCGGCGGUGGAGACGGGGGCGGUUGCCCCAGCGGCCAUGACGGGGACGACGACGGCGACGGGGGAAGGAGAGUCUACCCCCGCGGCCACGGCGGGGACAGUGGCGACAGAGGAGGCGGGGACGCCCGCCCCGGCGGCUGCGACGGAGGAGGCGGCGGUGACGGAGACGGGGGCUUCCGCCCGGGAAGCCACAGCCGAGGUGGCAGCGGCGACGGAGGUGAAAGUGCCUGUUCUGGAGGCCACGGUGGGGGUGGGGACGCCUGCCUCGUGGCCACGACGGAGGGCGAGGCGGCCCCAGGGACACUUGCUCCGGCACCCGCGUUGGAGGCGGUGGCGCCGACGGGUUGGCCCGUGGCGGCCUCGACGGGGGCGGGGGUGCGUGCGCCGGGACCGUCGGUGAGGCCGGCGACUUCCGGGAUGGUGGUGCCCGUCUUGACGGCGGCGGCGGCGCGGUCGGCCCCCGCCCUUGCCUCUACCACUCCCAUUCCCAAGGCGUGGAGCGGAUCCGUCCUGCGUUGGUCGUCUCGUGACGACCCGCAGAGGCCCCUCUUCACGUUGGAUGAUGCCACAGAAUGGGGCAAGUGGCAGGCGCUGCAGGGCGGACUCGCUAACGUCCGCGCCGCUCUAUCUUCGGCGUUGGGGGAGCUGGACGGCGUCAUCUUCCCCGGUGGCCGGGUAUGGUGCUUUCUCCGUUGGUUAUUUUCUUCCCGUUACUUCGUCCCUGAUGGCACAUUGUUCUGCAGGCCCUCCAAGAAUGUAGCCGGGGAAAAUCUGAUUUCCUUUGGCUCGAGCAGGGGCUCUGGGAGCGCUUCAACUUGGAGUUGCAGCGGACCGGGGAGCUGACCAUGCAAGUCGCCACCGUCUAGCAUGUCAUCGACGAUCUGCGAAGGCACGAGCAGGCGGCACAGGAGGACGCGCGGCGGGCGGAGGCCAAGUUCCAGGUCGUUGCCGAAAGGGCUCGCUGCGACCGCGAGGAGUUCCAGGCCGUUGCCGAAAAGGCCCGCCACGACGCUGAGGAGCUCGCACGGCUGAAGGUGCAGCAUGAAGCUCUUCAGAAGAGCGGCAGAGGGCCUGGCAGGACCGGGACGCCGAGAAGGUCCGGAAGGAGGAGGCUGAGAAGGUGGCGGCCAACCUUGGGGCUGAGGUCAGCCAGCUCCAAGUGCAAGCGCGAGAGCUUCAGGCCUCCGUGGCCCAGGGGCUCGACCAGGAGCGCCAGCUGAAGGCCUAAUCCGAGGGUAUGACUCUGUUUAUUUCUUUGUCUUUGUGAUGUUGCGGUGAUAUUUUAUUUGGCGGGUUCUUCUGGAUGAUCCUUGCAGAUGAGCUCAACUGGCUGAGGGAGGUGCUUGACGCGGAGCGCGCUGAGCACGGCGACCUGCGGGACGCGGUCCGCGUCAUCUGUGACUUCCUUAGUGUGGUCCAGGGGGAGGGGACGAGCUCGCUGGCGGCUCGUGUCCUCGGGACGUACCGCCGGACCAGCGAGAUCGCCCUGGAAGCGCUUCGCACCGGCUUGAGGCAAGCCUUUGGGGUCUUCGGCUCCCACUAUUCCGGCAUCAACUUCGCCGGGAUGAGCGGGGGAUACGCCACCGGCUACUACGAGGCCGAGCUGGAUGAGAUCGACGUGUCGGUGCUCAGCCCGGCGGAGGCCUUGGUGAAGCUCCUCGAGGAUGAGGCCGUCCCGCCCGAAGAUCCCCGGACGAGUUAACUAUAUCGGGCUGGCGCCCCAGAUGUAAAUACGUUAGGGAAAGACUUGUUUUUUGUGAGGGCCGUAGAGGCCUUUUCUAUGAAUUGUCGUAAAAAAGUUUUUGAUUCCCUUUCUUGCUUUUUGGACUUGGAAAGUUUAGAGCACGUUGUCGGGCGUGUCAGUAAGCUUUGAUGAGCGAAGGCACCGUAGCCGCUGGGGCGUCGUUUUUUUUGCAGUCCGAUCAAUCUUGCCUGAACACCGUUCGUGCACUUUCUCCUUUUUAUGCCCAAAAGUUCAGAAAGAGGGUCGGCUCGGAAAGAGAAAGCGUUUUGAGAGGGUGUCAAGUGGCUUAGGUACUUGCGGCAGGUUGCGUGGUGGACGCGGAUAUCCUUCUCCCUGACAGAUCUGCGGCGCAUUUAUGGUGAGAUCAACAUGGGGACCCACAAGACCCGCGCCCAAGGCGGAUACUUGUCUGGAGGGCCCGGGUUAGCCCGACCCCCUACGCUUGGGGUCAGGCGAGGCGGAGACUUGCGGCGGGGGGUUGGACGCUCCUGACCCUAGACCUGCGGUCGGGCGAGGCGGAGCUUGGUCUUCCAGGGGUCGGGGGCGCCUUACCCCGGGAUGCGGGGUCGGGCGAGGCGGAGCGUAAUUCUUGCCUCCCAUGUUGGGCCGACGGCAAUCUUUGUUACCUUGGGUGGGCCUGGGCCUUUAUGUUUUGUUGUUUCCAUGGGCUUCGAGAGGUCGUUAAUAUUUCCCCCCAACACUAUGAGGAGGACUUGUGGGCAGAAAGUCAGCUACCACAAACUUGCCUCUGAAUAUUUGGAGUGCAAACAUUGGAUGGUGGUUGUGGAGAGCCCCAGCCAUACCUCGCACCCGUGGAGAGGUAAUUGUCGGAUUGCUUGGUUCGUCUCUAGAAUGCGACAAGGUCAGGCGCCACCUCUCACUGCUGCCAGUCAGAAGGCCGAGGGGCCAGUUUCAACAUAGUAAUGAGAAUCUCCGAAGGCCAAUAUGGUUAAGCAGCUAACCUCCAUGAUCAUAGACUUACGUUUAGAAAAUAGGAGGCUUAGCGAUGCGUUAACAGAGCAGAAGUUAGAAACAGAAGAACUUAAGGACGACUUCCGUGUCCUCCGCCUUGGUCUUUGUGCUAAGAUAAAGCGCUUGUACAAUGCCACGGGGAAUGACGGUCUCUACGAUGCAGCUCAAUAGACGUGCCCCUUGUAUCCUUUCCUUUAGGCACUUUAGAAUAUGUUUAUUUGUUUUCCUUCAUUUUAAUUUCCAAUAGAUUGUUAGCGCCUCCAAUUUAAUUUCAAUAAAGUGUAGACUCACCGGUCAUCCAACUUGAUGGAGUCCUUUUGUCACCUAGUUGUCUUUGGAAGAAGUAGCUGGGUACAAAAUAAGUGUGGGGGAGAGCCACAGACUCUCUAGAGCUGAAACAAUGCACAACACCCACAAAUAGAGAAAACCACGCUGCACCAGCACGUACGUGAAAGUGGAGCCAGAGCUGGACCCAUAGGGGUUUGGCCAACCCAAGGGGUGGCCCACUCGGGCCAUCUUCAUCCACCGCGUCGGUUUGUGUCUCUUUACCCCUGAUCUCCCUGAUUCAUGAGUUUGAAUGAAUUUUAAAUCUGAUCAACUAAUUCAAACUCAACUAAAAUGAAUCAACUGCUCCACCUGCUCUACAUGUUUUCUAUGGUUGGCUUGCAUAUGUUUUAUUUCAUGCUUAUCAUCUUGAUGCUUGUGAACAAAUAUCUUUAGGACAGCAUGCUCAUCUAAGUAGUUGAUGUGUAUGAUAUGGUUCGAUGAUAUGAUCUUCACUCUUAAUGCUUAAGUGCUUGGGAAAAUCUAUUUGAAAAUUUAAAAGCCUUUUUGAAAUCUCCUCUUUGAUGUGCCAAAGUCCUACCAAAGCCAUAUGAUAAGUUAUCUUGAAAAACCAUUUGCAUAUGUUGCUUGUCUUUGCAUUGAGCUUUGUCAAAUUGGUGUGACCCUUGUCACAAUUCUUUUCAUACUUUCAUGAUCAAGACUCAUGUGCACGCCAUAUACCCCUUGCUAUGCUUCUAUGAGAUGUUAGCAUUGUACCAUCCAUUCAUUCCACAAAAUAAAUGCUCCACCAUAUGUGUUGGUCUCCUUCUAAGAUUAUUGUUACAAAAGAGAUAUGGGCUAUCAAAAAAAAAUAUGAAUGUCCAAGAAAGUUGGACACAUGAAUGUCCAAUAAAAAGAAAAAGAAAGAUAGCCAUGUCCUCAGAAAUAUUUACAAAGGGAGAGAGAUCAUACAAAAAGGAGUUUCCAUUCCAUCCACCACAUCCAUACAUGUGCACAUCUUGAUCUGAUUGUAUGACUUAUUUUUCUCUUUGGAUCUGGUCUUUGACUUUGCAAUAUAUGUGAUGCAAGCAUGCCUUAUCCUUCAUAGCCUACCUUGAGCUCCACAUAUAGCCAUCAUUAGAAGUAGGAUGAAGAAAGGCAAGUCUAAUGCCUUGGUGAGGACAUAUACACAUUGAGUGAUCUGAGAGAAUCAAAUGAGGAGCUAAGCAAGGUUUUGUUUUGAAAACUAAUUGAAAAAUCCCAAGCUACUUGGCAUAAGGAGUUGAGGUGACUUGAUUCAAGACCAUUACAUUCCUCAACUACCCAAGAUGGCAUGAUAGACACUCCAAAGUUCACAAGUGCAGGUAUGGUUUGGAAUAUCUUUUAGGCUCGCUUCAUACCUUUGAAAGUUAUGUUUCACCUUAGUCCUUUCUCGUUCACUCAAGGAUAAGCAAAGGCUAAGUGUGGGGGUGUUGUUGAUGGCUCUUAAGUACAAAAUCUGCGCCAUCAACUCUUGCAUAAACACAUAAAAUAUGAGCAUCAACAAUAGUGGUAGGAGUUAUUACAAACGAAUUCCACAAGUCUUGGUGAAUAUUUGUAUGCAAGCCCAAUAGGAGAGAAAAGACACCUCAAAAGCAAGGAAACACACUCUCAACCAAUCAAGAGCAAGCACAUGGAACCAUGGGCCCACAACCAAAAGGAAAUCGACUACAUUCCAAACACCCUAUACCCACAUGAGAACCCAUAGGGCAGUGACCCAGAGCAAAGGUGAUGCCAGAGUGUAGAUGGUAGUUAGCAUGCCAAAUUUUGAACCGCAAGCGCUCGGAUUAGUUGUUUCUUUUCCCUUAGAGAUUCCCCCAAGGUUUAUCAAUCCAUGGAACAAGGGAUUUGCACGUUUCACUAAGCACUAAUCAAUGUAAUUGAAAGCUUUUCGAAUAAGAUAUGAUUAUGCUAACAAAGGAACUAAGCAAUCUAGAUUAAGAUGGAUAGAGAGUACAGGUUGUGAACAAGAUAGAUUAAACGCUUGUAGAUGCAAUCACCAUGCAUGAAUGAAUUAGAUCUAGGUGUUAUUGUGAGUGGUUGUGAACCAUGCCCAACACUUUCCCACCCGCAACAUUGUCACUACAUGUGGGUACUCAACUAUCGGAACAUAAGAACACAUCAAGAUGAUCAUUCUAGGUAAGCAAAUAAGCAACCCAAAGUAGCGCUGGCCAGCCUUUUCAUGAAAGAGCAUCAUCAAGAUAAGAUUGAUAACAAAAUAGAUCUCAACCAAAGGUUCAGCGAUUACAAAUCAAGAUCUUCGUAUAACCCCGAUGACAAAUAGAGGUAUUACCCCCAUGAUCUUACACAUGUUGAUGAAUUUUAGGGUAAAGGACACCCUGUAGAUCAACUGGACCAAAGAUGAUGAUGAACGGGGGCAGGGAAGGCCCAGGUUGAUCAGCCUGCGCACUUUUGAGCCGAUCAGCUCAGGGGGUUUCCUCCUCCCCUGGUGCUCCUCUUCGCGUGGCCUCCUCUGGAUCCAAUCUUCUCUUCAUUUCUCCUACUUGUGGCGGCAAUGGAUGGUGUUUGCAUGGUGAUUUCCUCUUCUCCCCAACUCUCCCUCCUUGAAGUCCAUGAGGGGGUAUUAAUAGUCUCCAAUAGGCGGCAGCUCUGGGUCAAUGUCAGUGAAAAAAUCCUAGAGAUCAUCGUACACUUCAUGCUGAGGAAACAAGAGGUUGACCGAGCCCUGGGAUAGACCAAGAGGAUCAUCCUAGAGGGUCCCAGGCUAAUCGGUCUAGGCCCUUCCUAGCCCUUCUAGUCCUCUCCUUCCUCGUGCUGGCUUUUCUCGAUGACCCUUGUCCAAAUAUCCAUGAAGCUCUAUAUACAUACCCCCUUGAUUAUGUUGUAUUUCCUGUCAAAAUACAAUGCUCCAAAAUACAACACAUAUGCAAUAAUAGGGUUAUUUCAGGUGCCAAUUGGUGGGUUAGUAUACGAAUAAGCAUGAAAAUACUGUUUAAAUGACACUAAAAGUGUGUCAAUAACGAGCACCAACAAUCCCCCCACGCUUAGAUCUUGCUCGUCCUCGAGCAAGUCUAGCGACUAAAAGAUCUUGAAUUAAACCUGAGCAAGCGAGUCAAGUACCUAGCCUUGAAACAAAAGAUUAGAGGAGCAGCAAAGAUAAUCAAAGUCUGGGUGUUCAAAGAUUUAUCUAAGCAAAGAUUCCCCUACAACUAUUAUUCAGAACCAAGUAACUUCAAAAAUCAACUACACUUAUUUUCUGGCUUUUUUCAGAGGGUUUUUCUUUCAUCAUAAAACAAUCUCCCUGCAACAAAAUUGAAAAAAGAAUUAUUUUCAAGGUGCUUACAUGUCGCUUAAAUGAAUGUUGGCUAUCCUACUUAUUUGCAAGCUCUCAUCUCUCAAAAUUCAUUCAAUUAUAUGGUGGAGUUUGGGUAAGGUUAGCUAGAAUCAACACGUAUAUUAUUGAAUUAAGAAAACCCUCUAACGGUGGCCUACCUUCCGAGCCAUUGAUCAUAAGAAUAUCCACAUAAUGUGAAGUUUUCAAGGAUGAGAAGAUAUAGAAUGGUGGACAUGUGCAAAGGCAAAGAAAUAUAGUGACUCUGAGGCACAAGCAAUGUCCUCGUCGUUGGAUUGCAUAUGGUUGUAAUGAAAAUAUGUUCCUUAAACAAGUCUAUCUUUUCUUUGCACCACUCUUGAUCUUCAUGACAGUAAAAACUCCUCCUUUAUUUCUUUCUCUCUUUUCCUAUUAUUUCUUUUUAUUUGUCUCAAUACUUUUAUUUCUUUAUUUCUUUAUUUUAAUCUCUUCUCUGAACCUCUUCUGAACACCACAUAAUAAAAAUAAGUUUUAGAUCCUUCCAGAGACCUUCCAGGAAUUUGCUACAUGAAAACCGAGGCAAGGAGACCCCAGGCCGAUUGGCCUAGCCACUCCUUUGCUCUCCUCUAGCUCUUCUUUCUGGUGAAGCUUCCUUAUCUUGUAUCUUUCCAAAAAUUUCAUAAAGCUCGACUAGAAACGGAACAGAUCUUCAUAUAAUGAGUUGUGUUCAAGGAAUUGGUAAUAAAAUUGAGAAAUUUGUGGUUCGGGUUUACGAAUUCAGUACAAAAAUAUGAUUGUUCCAAUGAAGAACUCUCAUUACUGAAUAUUGACGAGGCAAGCAUUCAAAGAUGGUAAAAAGGAUAUGAUCAAUUCUCAAAAUUAAAGCAAACCAAGAGAGAGCGAUCCUAAUUCAAUUCAAAGUGUCAAAUGUUGCUUAUGGUGGUAUGAAUAAAUAUUUUUAGGCAUUGGGUAGGAUAAAUAAAAACUCUCAACCUGGUUAAAAGAUAUUGAUCAAUCUUGUUUUUGCAGAGGUUUUAAAUAAAAAAUAAAAUUUUAAAUCACCUCCAAUUCAAAGCCUUACUCAUAAAUCAUAAUCAAAACUGAAGCACUUGAUCAUCAUAAAGCAUGGGUAUUGCAUAAACAAAUCGAUUACUAAAACUCCACAACUACGAUUUAGAAUUCAAGACAAUGCUCAUAAUCUAAAGUUGCAAAGAUAAAAUAAAAGACAACCAAGCCAAGGUAGACACUAAAAACACUUGCACGAUCCUUGAAUUUUAUUCAUGCUUCUUCUCACAAAGACGCUAAAGUAGCCAUGUAGGCCUAAGUCUUCCCAAAAGCUUAAGAAAACUACUACUUUAUCUACUUUUGGUUGAAAUAAAAAGACUAAUCUAGACUCUCACAUGAUUCGACUCGACCAAAUUAGAUCCAAAAACUCAUACGAGCGACGAUCUCCCCCCCCUCACGCUUAAAAUCUACGACCUCCUCGUCGUAGCCAUAUGGAGUACAAGGAAAAGAAGCUUGUAAACGCUCUAAUGACGCUACCCGCACUACUUGCACACGGGAUGGUUGCUGCUUCCUUCGCUUUGUUCUUCCUCAUGUUGCUGCACAUCCCGAAGAGCUUCCUCACGUUCCUCUGCAAGAACUUGAACUCGUCCUCCUGACGGCGAUCAUUAUCUUCUGCCUUUUGAUCCAGAGCUUGUAAGGCUUGCAUGAUGUCAUCGAACGCAUCGAAGAGGUAGUGGAUGUUCUUCCUGCAAGCUGUGGAACAUGUACGAUCAUGCUCCUCCGAUUCUGGCCCGUCGUCUUCUAGAUCCUUCUCUUUGCCCUUGUCUUGACGGUGGCUAUCUUGCUCCUUGCUCGCCUUCUUGCCUUCAGCCCAAUCCCAGUACGUGUUGUCAUCUUCUUCAUCGUCACGGCCUGCAGCACCCUAUGAUCCAUUGUCUAUCUUGUAUGAAAGAAUCAGAAGCUUGUUCUCCUCAGGGUGUCUUGCGCGGUGCAGCGUUUGCAAGUGCAAGACUUGCUAGUUCCUUUUACACAUUGUAAUGUUCAUUGCAUGCUCUAAUUGUUCUACAUUUGUAAUUUCUUGGUGAAGUUUGGUUACUGAUCCACUGUUUGAUUAACUCUUGGGCCCAAACACUGUACUACUUCUGAUUAGAUAUCUGUAUCUUGACUUUGACCAAAAAAAAUAUCCGGCAGUUUUUGCCAUUAAAGUUUCAUAAAUCAUCUUGCAAAAAUCGUACUAUACAACAAGGGACGGUUUAUUAUAAAAUAUACGUUCCCCUUAUCACAUGCCACUUCCACUCAAAAGGCAACGAAUCAGUUUUCAAUCCUGAGUGAGCAAUUUGCUUUUAUUACCGAUGCCUCCUAUUCCCUUGUGCACCAAGUUUAUUUUGGAUAGGGCUGCAAAAAACGACUAACCAGCUCGGAUUCUCCACCUGCAAAACCGCAUCUGCAGCAACCAACCCCACGCGGUGGAAAAAAAAACAAAACCUAGAAACCGGACGGGGGUGGAUGUGGGGCUCGGAGCCCAAGCAAAAAACGGAUCGGGAGCGCCGGAGCAGGCCAUCACCGGAUGUUAGAGAUAGAAAAUGGUUGAAGUUUGGAGUGGAAAUCAAACAAGCCUUGGAGCAAAGGAAAAAAAAAGAUCAAACCACUCAAGCAUUCAUUUGAUUUAGAAAAGAGAACAUUUGUUAAGGUGGGGAGUUGAAAUCAUCUUUUAAUUAGUUCCACGUAUCUGGUAUCAUUACAGUUGGUUUACUUGUGUAAGUAUAAGUAGCUCUGCCGAAGCCUUUGCUCCUAUAAUUUAGUAACUAGUACAAAUGGAUCAAUAGGAAAAUCAAGUUGCAAUCAUUUCUCAGCCAACCAAACCUAUGUAAAUCAAAUUAUUGUCCAUGCCCGGCAUGCACAGGUGCCUGCCAUGCAUGCAUUGUUGCUCCAUUGUAAUAACCAUUAUUGUCCAUCGAUGUUGCAGCGCAUGUGUGCACUGUGCAGACACCAAGCAUCGAGAUUAUGUACUAGUAAGGUGUUGAAAUAAUGGGCCUAGCCCAUAAGUAAUUUCAGAAUUUCAAAUAAAUCUCAAAGGCCCAUGUGGGCAAGAGGUGGAGUGGUGCAAGUCUUUAGUCCCACAUUGCUAGUCGAGGGGAGGGAUGACCAACUUAAAUAUGGAAGUUGUCUCCACUCCUCCAAGCUAUGUGUGAAGGGCGCGGGCGCGAGGCACUUGCGUGAAUGGUCCGCCGAAAUCUGGCCCCCCUUGCGGGGGCGCGGCUUCCUUUUGCCGUUUUAUUUUUUGGUUACUUGGUCGUUAAGUCAUGGAAUCCUAACCGGUUUAGAUCACGAUCGUGAAGGUUUUUGGGAAGCGCUCUGCGCGACUGCUCGAUCGCUUCUUCCGCUUCGUCAAGUUCUUCGUCGACUCCUUCACCACGGCUCGUCUACCUCUUCGUCGCUCGGGCCUCACUCGUCGUCGCGAACAACGUCAGGCUGCUGAUCGUCGUCGCCUGCUGUAUCCGGUAGUCGUCCAGGAGCCGGUUUUCAUCAAGAAAGAAACGUACGGUCUCUUAACUCACAUUAUGUCUUCCAUACUAGCUAUUAUGAUUGUUGCAGUCUGAUAGCUCUGGAUAGUAUGGUAGAAUGUCUGAUUCUAUUUGCAAUGAUAGACUUGUCUAGAUCUUGCGUAGACAUGUCUAGUUUAAUCUGCUGCUUGUUCAUCAUAUUCAUGAUUUAUUUCUGGAUUAAGUUAAAACUAAAAGUGCUUAUAUAUCCAACAUAAGGUACCAAGAACACGUGAAGCACCCGGGGGAGGCUGCUCCACUCCGCAUGCACAGGUGGGCACGGCACCACUACUCGUCUCCUUCAGGCUGAGGAUAAGUGAUGUACGCUGAUCAACAGACCACGACGGAACCAGCAAUAAUAGUUUCAGCCUGCCUCACAGUAAUUAAUAUAUCCUGUAUCCUCCGAGGACCCCUCCCCUUAAUCUUGGCCUAUUGCAUCCAAUAAUGAUAUGUGUGUUUAUCCAAAUUUACGGCACCUUUGGCGGGGGUUCCACCCAGCUCCGCCCUCUCCACCUUCGGUACUCCAUGGGAAACCAUUCCUUUGGAAUCAAGGAAGCUUGAACAGUAUAACGAAUAAAGUUUCAUAUAUCCAUUUGAUUUCACAUGAAAUAAAAUAUUCUGUCAGAACCAAUGGUUUCACUGAAGCUCCAGGCAGCGAGCGAAGGGGUGAGAGAGGAUAACGCUUACUGUGUGUUACCAUCGCGUGCACCAUGGAUGACCAACGCGCAGCCGAGAUGAAACGGCGGACCUAAACAGGUCCUCGCUAUUUUUGCAGGUUCUCGACCAGGCCAGUUCUUUAGGCCAACCUAUCAUUCACGAGUUAAACAUACGGUGGCUGGAGAAAUGUUCUAUUCUUUUAAACAAUACCAGCUGGUUCCUCCGUUUUUAUUCCACCAAUACAAGCACCACCUUGUAACAUUUCCUAUGUUUUUUUUCCUUUCGUCUGUUUUCUCACUACAUGCGUUGCUCUUUCAUGCAUUUUUUUCCAUUCCUGUAUUCCAAAUAGGUCUACAUGAACACAAAAUGAACUAGGGGACAGAAAAAGCCAGUGAAGUUAGUUUUGAGCUUCACCAGCUACUUGCUACAUAAAGUGUGCUAUAGUCGCAGAAAAGCUAAGCUGGAUCAGACGUGGCCGAAACAAUGCCAAAGAGCUAGGUCCCUAGCUGAUGGCAACACAUCAGAUGACUAGCCUGCUUUUCUGUAAUAAUGAUAUUGAGCAAUACACUGCAUGGCUAACCUGCUUUACAAUAAUUGUCAUUUUAUAAUAUUGGUCAUCACGAGAGAUGCACAUUGCAUACACCGGCCCAUCCCUAUAAAUAGCCAAGCCUUUCAGCCAUCUUGGGCACCUCCUCUCAGGGCCUCGUCUCACCAUCAGACAUCUCGUUCCCAGUUAUAAUUUGCGAGGUUAGAUCAGGCUGCGCCAUGGCGUCCGCAACUGCUGUCAAGAUCGUCGCCACCUUCAUGCUGGUGCUGACCAUGGGCCACCUGAUGGCCGAAGCAUCACCGCAGCCUCGGCGUGUGCUUGCAGAAACGGAGCAUGCUGCGGUGUCCGGGAAUCCUGGCCUCCCAGGUGAUGCUAGCGUCAUGCAGGUCCUCGAACCCGCCCUAGUUUCUCGGCUUGCCUGCAAACCAGAGUGCACAGUCCCUUGGCCUCCUUUUGUAUGUAUCUGCUAGAUCCUCUUCCUGGCUCAACGGAACUUCAGGGAAAUGGCUGUGACGUCGGCCAAAGAAUAAAUUGGAUGAACAUAAUAUACCCCGGGUAGUGUAGCUUGGGCUUUUGUUGAGCGUCUGGUGCUAGUUGUAUUUUGUUUGCUCAUGUGGCUUUGCUUCUGGUUGCAUAUUGGCUUUCCUAUCGCUCUCUGUUGCAGCUAUGGUUUCUGCCAGGUGUGUGUUAAUGCGGUUUGUAAGCGGUGCUUGUUCCUACCUUCUGUUUUCAAUAAAAGAAGUCGGAGUCUCCCUCCGACUCUUGUUAUCAGUCAACAAAAAUGAGUUGUAUCAUAUAUAUCUGCGUCUUUUUUCUACGUAUCUUUGGGCUGCUUCAGCUGGAAGUUUAUCGUAAGUACGUGUAUCAGGAUGAUCGUUUGAAUUAAAACGAAAUGAUAAUGUGUGGCUGCUAGAAAUGGAAUGAGCAUCUUACUAUAUUACUAAUUGGAAGCCUCCACGUGAAGCCACCUAGAAAUUCUAGGUGGACGUUUUAAAAAAAACAAAACUCAUAGAAGCCUCCACCACCUAGGAAUCCUAGGUGGACACUCUAAAAAGAGACAAAUCCUAGAAAUUCUAAAAAAAGAAAAAAAUAAUAACAAUAAGAUUUUUUUGCAGUCAAUUACAUAUAUUUUUUUGAGACACCGUGCUGCUAGCUCUUGCCAUUGCGACCAGUAAAGCAAGCAGAUAGUAAGAUGACAUGCGUGUGGAUUGAUUAAAACAAAUUCAGUUAGUUGAUUCUAAAUCGUAUGUAUCCUAAAAGGAAGAUAUGUGCGUGCAUGGUCCCUAGCGAUGACAUGUAGACAUGUAUUGCAAUUUCUUUUUUAAAAAACAUGUCUAUCUCUAAACCAACAAACAGAAAAAAUAUCAAUCUAAAUCUAAAUCUCUUCCGUUCUCACACGCCUAUUAAAGAGAAGACAACCAAUCCCAUCCAUGUUCCAUAGAAUCCAUCUAAAAGCUUGCUCACUGCGGACGGCAUUUGACGGCAAAUCAAUGAAAGAUCAUCCUCUCCAAAUAGCUGGACGGCAUCACCAUCUUUAUCUCACCAACCUACAGAGCUACAACGAUGUUGUAGAGAUCAACUAGGUAACCUACCAAUCACCCUCCCCUUUUCUAUAUGCUCUAAAGAACACGUGGAGUAAUUAUAGGCCUAUAGGAGCCGACUAACCUAGAUUAAUAUGAAAAAUAUUCCAAUAUUAAAAGCAAGCAGAUAGUAAUACUUGCCUUUGACCAUUUUUCUAGAACUGUUAUUCCUAUUGAAUGUUCAAGUGCUACGGCCAGGCAUCGAAUGCCUGCACGGAACCUUCCUAUUGAAUGGUUACUCUAGAGAUCAACGCACCGCGAGACAUUUUUAUGGAAUUUGUUUGAUUCCCCUUCUACAAUUAGAUUAAUUUUUCAUGGCAUAUAUUACUACUAUUAAAUUAUUUGUUUAUUGUCGGGCCUGCUGCAUGUGUGGUAUAUAUGACUUGCUUCUCACCAUUGUUCUCAAACUAUUAUUCCUAUCGAAUCUUUCUAUCGAAAUAUAUUUUAAUUACUUGAUUGUUGUUUGUGUACCAUAACUUCUGUAUAGAAAAAUUCCAUGUUUGUAGAUAAUGUCUUUUGUAUAGAAAAAUAGCCCAAUUAGAUCCAUCACCAUCUUUUGCUUAUGUAGUUGAACAAGUUGCAAUGUUGAACAAAACUUUAAGUGAAAUUAGACCAGGAAAAGGAAUUGUGGAACAUUAAGGCAAGGGUAACCAGAUUGUGGAAUGCAACCUUACUCAGUAGUGGCGAACAAUUAAGUCUUGACAUGAUCCUUAUUGAUCAAAAGGUAUGAUAGAUGUUCACUUUGAUUGCAUUAUUGGUAUAAUUUUUGGUUUACAAAUUAUUAAUGAUGAUGCAAAAUUAGGGAACCAUGAUCCACGGUGUUAUCAAUAAGCCCUAUAUGAAAAAGUUCAAACCAUUGAUUGAAGAAGGCAAUGUGUACAUAAUUGCAAAUGUCAGAAUCACACCAGAACCACAGAAGUAUCGGCCAGUGGAAAAUGACAGGAUAGUCAACUUCUUACCCACAACUGCACUAAAAACGAUCAAAGAUACUGAAGACAUUCCAAAGUAUAGUUUUAACUUCAUGAGCACGGAUAUGCUUUCAGCAAGAAUAAAUGUGGACAUGUACCUAUUAGGUAAAACAUUACUGGCUUUUCAAUUUUUACACUUCCACUCAUUAAAUGACCAUCUAAUAAUAAUACAUAUUUAUGUUUCAUAGAUGUUAUAGGUAUCUCAGCUCACAUUGGACCGAUAGAAGAAACAAGGACAAACUUCGGAUUUACUAAAAUCCGUGAUAUUGUGCUCCUGAUCGAGUAAUUCUCUUUUCUUUUGUAGAAAACAACUACAAAACUUUCAACAUUUACAUGUAUGUUAUAGAACUUCUGUUGAACUAAAAAAUAUCUUCUACAGUGCCCCUACAAAUAAUUAAUUUCGUAGUUGGAUAUUUAAAAUAUUUAUUAUUCACUUUUAAAUUUGUGGCCAUGAAGUUAAAGUUAGAUUUUGGGGAGACAAAGUUGAGGAAGUUGAUGAUAAGACAAAAUCCCAUGUCAUUGCAAUAACAUCUACAACUGUGAGUAAAUUUGGCAGUAAGUCUUCAUUCAAUAUGAGUUAUUCAAUAUUAGUCAUUCAACAAACUAACCUCGUAAGAAAAAUAAAUAAUUGAUGUUUUAUCAGGGUAUUCUCUAUCGUCAACCAAUGCAACAAAACUUUAUGUAGAUCUACCUAUUCCUGAAACUAAGGAUGCACAUGAUAGGUGAGAAAAAUUAGAUAUUGUUUUUCUAUUUUAAUCUAUGUAGCAUGCACUCUAACAUGAUACAUUCUUUCAUAUGAUAAAAAAAUGUUAGUUCAAUUGAAAAUAUUGUCAAAGAGAUUCAUAUUGAGGACCAUCUAAAAGGGACAUUGGAAGACCAAAUGCAGUACAAUAGAAGAACUUUAGAAGAAUUAAAUUUCAUAUUAUUUGAAACAUCAAAUCAGGUAUGGAUUAGUAUGUUCAUUGUACACUAUACUAUUUAAAGACUUACAUACAUAAUGAUGGUAUUGUUCCUACUUUCAGGAUGAGGUAUUUACUAUUGAAGCAACAAUAAAUGAAAUUAAUGCAACAUAUGGUUGGUUGUCACACCCGAUUUUAAGGACAAAAUUGAGUGCAUUAAAUACAUGUGCACCAGGAUCAAGUUACACACAUCCUAUGAGUACCGUCCUUCUUUGGCACAAAGAUAACCGGUGCUCCCCAUGGUGAUGAACUAGGCCGAAUAAACUAUUUUGCUGAUAAUUCCUCUAGUUGUUGUUUCAAUUCUUUUAAUUGUUCAACCAACAUUCUAUAAGGACGUUUGGAGAUAGGUGCAGUACCAGGUAAAAGAUCAAUAGCAAAUUCAAUGUCGCGGUCAGGUGGCAUACCUGGUAAAUCGUCGGGGAACACAUCCGGAUAGUCACACACCACUUUGAUAUCUUCCAAGGAUUUUCCAGCCAACUGAUUAACUGCACAAUCUGCUGCUGAGGGUAGAGUAGCUACAAACUCCACUUUCUCUCCAUCAGGACCUGUUAGCAGAACUGUCCUCUUGGCACACUGAAUCGUUGCAUCAAAAGCGGCUAACCACCUCAUCCCCAGAAUUACAUCGAUUCCACUGGACUCAAGGACGAUAAGAUCAGCCGGAAACUCUAUACCCAUUAUUCUCAGUUUAACUUGUGGACAGAUGUAUUGAGCCUUCAUUGACCCCCCAGGUGAACUCACUAGCAUAUGACGCCUCAUGGUAUGCAUGGGUAAAUUAUGCUUUGCUACAUAAUGACUAGUGACAAAAGAAUGCGAUGCUCCAGAGUCAAAUAAAACUGAUGCGGGGGCAGAGUUGACAAAGAACAUACCAAGCACUACAUCUGGAGCCUCCUUAGCAGUCUCGGCUUCCAUGUGGUUCACCUUGCCACAAACAAAGCUUUGCUGCCCCUGAUUGCCUUGUGGGGUCUGGUUCCCAUUCCUCGGUUGCUGCAUCUGAUUCUGCCGAGGAGCACUGCUGUUCUGCACGGGGGUAGCUGGCCCACCUCUCUUAGGACAAGAGCUGGCAUAGUGACCAACCUCGCCACACUUGAAGCAGGUAGGACCCACUGGAGCAUUGGGCCUUGUUGGAGUGCCAGUAGGGGUCAUCUGGCGGUUCUGCGUAAAGCUUGGGCGCGGAGUCUGCAUAGUCUGCAUCCCUGGAUGCUGGAACUGAGGGCUAGGGCGCUGGAAUGACUGCUGAGCAGGGCGCGGAAAUGAGUGCUGCCAAAAAUUCCCACUCGGGCCCCCUGCGCGGAACGGCGUCCCUUGCUGUGGAGCAAAGCGAGGGCGGGUGUUGCUUCCUGAAGACUACUGGGAAUUGAAUUUCCUCUUCAUCUCCCCGAGCUCGUUCCUCUUGUGUUCCAGGCCAAUUGCCUUGUCUAGCAUCUUCUGGAAACUGGGGAAGGUGUGCGACAUAAGCUGAUAUUGGAGUGGUCCAAUCAACCCAUCCAAGAAUAGCUCCUGCUUCUGCUCAUCAUCAGCAACAUCUUCGGGAGCAUAUCGGGACAACUGGACAAACUUGUCCCUGUACUCUGCCACUGUCAUGUUCCCCUGCUUGAGAGCAAGGAACUCCUUCUUCUUAAGCUUCAUCAAUCCGGAAGGAAUAUGAUGACUUCUGAAGCUAGUCCUGAAUUCAUCCCAGGUGAUGCCAUUAGCAUUGGCAUGGGUGGUGGUGUAAGCAUCCCACCAAUCAGCAGCUGGCCCUUCCAGGCGUCCUGAAGCAUACAGGACCUUCUCCCUGUCAGUACAUUGGGCGAUAUCCAGCAUCUUCUCCACUGUUUUCAGCCAAUCAUCAGCAUCUAAUGGAUCCGGAGAAUGUGAAAACGUCGGGGGCUUGUGGCUCAUGAACUCCCUAUGCCUGUCCCUUGGCGGCGGCUGCUGCUGGUUGUUGUUGUUGUUAUUGUUCAGCUGAGCUUGUAAAGCUGCCACGGUGUUGGUCAGUCCGGCGAGAAGCUGAGUCUGAGCUGCUAGAAACUGCUCCAUCCCUGCAGGUGCUUGUUGGUUCUGUUGCGGAGCGGUGUUGGGAUUGCUGCUGUUGUCCCUGUGGCGUGGCACUGUGGGACGGUCAACUCCUGAUCCGGACCUGGUGUUUACCAUCUGAGCGUUAGAGACAAUGGAUUUAGAUAGAUGUGUGAAAGAAUAACUGAGAAAGAUAAAGCGACCAGAUGUAAAAGUAACACAGAUUCUGUUAGCUCCAUUUAAUUAGGUGUGGUCGUCAGAAGAAGUGUCCAUAAAUUCUGAACAAUUACCAAGUCGUAACUUAUUAAAUUUGUAAACCAACCCAACUGGAAUCAUCUCAAUCGGACUUCUGGAUCUCGAGUUACAAAAUUAACAAGCUGACAGUGUCGGUCGAUAGGUUCAGAUUCUGAGUGCUUUACUAAUUCGCAUACACCUCCCAGACAGAUACACCAAAAAUUCUGAAAAAUUUACAGAUAGUACUCCACGAAAUUCUGAAACUAACCCCACUGGUUUCAUGUCAUUUGGACUUCUGUAGCUAGAGAUAUAAAUAAAAAAGUACUGGCGUGUCAGUUAAUGUCGAGAACAGAAUUGAAUGUCGCUUAGCUUGCGUGAUGGAUAGAUUUAGACAGAUGGUAGAUCAUGAUUAAGGAAGAUUAAAUACUGAUUUAGAACAGAAAUAAAACCCAACUAAGCACUUUAUUUAUUAAGACCAGUAUCGUGUGGCAAUUGCCCCACAUACCGCACUCAUUACAAAAUCCAACUCAAACAUGUAGCACAAAACCAAUCAUCUAAGCACACUUUAACUAACACACUCGAACGACGUCUAACGAUUACAAGAAUUUAAACUAAAACACUCCUAAUUUCCUAGAGGUCUUCUGCGGCGGUGCCGGGCGAGUCGUAGCGGGGACGCUUAGGCGACGGCGACGAAGCGGGAUGAACAGCAAACUCCUGCGGCGGCGGUGCUCCCGUCGCGGCAGCCAUAUUCGCAUCCCUCUCCCACCGGAGUUCCUGAACCUCCUGUUGAAGCUCCUGGAUGUGGUUGUUUGCUUCAUUCAAUGCGGUGAGAGCUGCCGACGUGUACUUGCGGAGGAAGUCUGUAGCCAUGUCAACCCCAUCGUUAGUAGCGAUGAAGGUUCUUGCUUCCCCACUAGCUCGGUAAGGAAGGAACCGAUGGUAAGUGUGCUGCAAUCGCGGCCGUUCCUUGUGGGAGACGACCUCAAGUGCCCUCCUGGCGGCCUCGGCAAUGCCGGAUUCCAUGGUCCUCCUUAUGGUCACAUCAUGGUGAAAAGCCUUCACCUCCCAUCCUCCCUCGUGCUCCUCACGAAGGACAACCUUCACCUCCCAAAAAGUGGGAUAGCGAGGGUGGGUGAACCGGGAGCACUUGUAGAGUGGCCUCAUGCCGUACCCCAAGCGGUGACAAGUCCACCUGAGUAUGUCGGCCAUGUGCACUCCUUGGCCAUAAUCUUCCUUCACCCAUUUGAUCCAUGUCUCGGGCUCGGGAUCUGCUUCGGGCUCAUCAUCCGUCAAGUCGACGACCGGUACGGGCGUCGGGGCUGGUGCAGGAGCGGGCGCCGGUGCUGGCGACGGUGCUGGUGACGGCGUGGUCUCCUGCUCCACGGUCACGGCGUCCCCGUCAGAGUCAUCCCCCGGAUGCUGGAAGAUCUCUUCCUCUUCUUCCUCGUCCCAAGGCUCCAUGGGGGCGUACGACGGCGCGAUGCCAUGACGCGGCGGACGGGUGCUCUUGCGUGCGGUCAACCGGGUGCGAGCCAUCUAACAGAAAGAAAGAAGAAAAUUUUAGAAUAAAAUUUUGAACAAAGCUAGAUAAUAAAAUAGCAAUAAGGAUGAGACAAAUCAAGUUUAAGAAUAAUUAAGUAGAUUUAAAUUAAGAAAGGUAGGAAUGGCUACUAGAUUAUUAUAAUCCUUAAAUACGACCAUUUUCUAACUAGGCUAACGUCCUACAGUCAACACGGCUCUGGUACCACUUUUGUCACACCCGAUUUUAAGGACAAAAUCGAGUGCAUUAAAUACAUGUGCGCCAGGAUCAAGUUACACACAUGUACGACAAUAGUGAAUAGUAAAGCCAGUGCUAAAUCGAAUAAAGAGAGUAUUAACCAUUAUUACAUGACCGAAUGUCUCAAAUAAACCACAAAGUCUAAUUAUUACGCAGCGGAACUCCAAAGAUGACGACGACUCCAUAGGCAGCUGACUGAAGAAACGUACGCCUAGAACUCCUCGAAGUCGUGGAAGUACUCCUCUUCCCAAUUAACUUGGUCUGAACAGCGGUUUUGCAAGGGUGAGUACACUUAUGGUUGGUACUCAACAAGUCGUGGGAAGUAGUGUAGUGUAAGGCUAAUUCAAGGUAUGGCUAAGGCGUAAAUAGCAUUCGCUUUUAAUUAAGUUGGUCAAAUUUUAUUAGCAUUUACUAAGUAUAAGUUCAUACCACCCGAAAUUAAACAUGAACAUAAAGUAAACCACAUGUGCAUGAAAUGAUAACAAAUUAAAUCCAUCUUCCGAUAAUAUUAUCAUGUGAGGGUCCAGGCCGCUCUUAACCGUGAGCACGGCUGAUUGAUCAGUUUAACACUCUGCAGAGGUGGCACAUCUUUACCCACAAGUCGCGUAAAAGUUCAAAAGAACUUUGGACCCAACCAUGCGGUGUUUGCAAGGCACCAUACCACACUUCCGAGGUGUGAUUGCAUAGGGACGCUACGAGGCCUUUACAAAGAUUCAUUAAUCAGUGGUAACCCGCUAAGGUUUCGGUGUCUGGCGUGCACCACCCAUCCCAGGUAAAAUGCAACGACUCAGUCCCCCCCCUUGAAUCAUCACGAGUAAGGUCACCCCAGACUAAGGUUUCUAAUUAAUCAGCCAAGACCAGAGCUAUUUAGUCUUGUGGUAGCACUGUUUUCCUGGGUGGUCGCUCCAUGUUCUGAUUAACAAAUAAUGAUCUUGUCUUAAUGAAAGGUAUAACAGAAAUAAGGCAAGAUUAAGCAUUGUUUUUAGUUAAACCACCAUGUACCAAGUAAGCACUAAGCAUGAGCUACCCAACAUAAAGUAAACCGGUUGGUCAAGGCAAAGGUAAAACAAUCUAGGCCAACCUUAAUUGGGACCCAUCAAUUUAAUCUUAAUAUGUGCACAGCAUAAAUGUUGAGUACGAGAAAGUAAAGGUGUAUAGGACAAAAAGGUAGUGAUCAAGGACACGACUUGCCUUCUUGGCCUUGCUCCUGCUGUUCGUACUCCUCGAAGGCUUGAUCGGCAACUCCCUCGAACUGCGGGGCGUCUACACGCAUCACACGAGCACAUACAAGCAAACAUGGGCAAAAGUAAGAAAACAGUAUACCAAACAUAGUCAAACAGAGAAAACAAGCUUGAAAAGAUGAUCUACGCUUUAAAACGAACACGCGGAUAUAAAGAACGCGAAAAACGGAGUUAAGAUGCAAAAGAUAUGAUUAAAACAAAAUCCAGGGACUUUUCUGUAAGAAAAACAAAACUUUUAGGGCCUAUCCGCGAAAACCGAGGGCUUAUACGUAAUUAUGCGUAUAAACCGAGGGUCUGAUGCGUAAAAACAUCAAACCCGGACGGCGGGUUGAUUUCUGGAAAGGUCAAGGGUUAAACCGAAAAAUGCGAGGGCAGAUCUGUAAAUACUUUCAACGCGAUCUGGACCGCGGGUUGAUUUGCGAAAAAGGCGGGGGCUAAAGUGCAAAAACUGCACGGCGCGGCUCGGUUGACCGGUACGCGAUCUUGAUUGACUCGCGUCCGGCCGUCGGAUUAAGAUCCGACGGUCGCGGUGAUCCGCGACAUCGCGGCGGCGGCGGCGAGCGGCGGCGAGCGGCGGCAAGCGGCGGCGGGUCGCCGGAGUUAGGCAAAAUAGCGCCACGAGGCACGGUUUAACGCGCGGGUUGCACCAAAAAAGAGAGGGGAACACGUCGAUCCCGUUUUGGGGGUUCUUGUCGACGGGGGCUCACCGGCGACGGCGAACGGCGGCGAGGAAGAGGCGGCGGCGCUAGGAGCUCGGGCGGCUAGGGUUUCGGGGAGCUGCGGCGCUGGUUUUGGGCGGAGGAGACUGGGAGGAGGCGGCGGCUUUUAUAGGGCUUGGAGAUAGAGCCGGCGCGGGUUCAAAUCCCCCGGAGGAGUCGGAGCGGAUGGAGUCCGGGGCGGAGACGGCGCGCGGCGGUUGCGGAGUUCUGACCGGAUUCGGCCGGAGGUGGGAGACGAUGGGUGGGGUCCACCCGUCAGUGGCGGAGGGGAGCGGUAGACGGGCCGGCGCGACCGUGGGCUGGCGCGCGCUCGUGGGCUGCGGGGAGCGGGAGAGAAGCGGCGAGCGGGCGCUGGCGGAGCAGGCCGAGCGGAGGUAGAGCUGGGCCGCGGAGAAAAAGGAGGAGGCCGGCGGGCUGCUUCGCAGGCCGGUAAGGAUGAGGCGGCCGGGCCGAAGAAGAAAAAGAAAAGGAGGGACAAGGAGCUUUCGGCCGAGGGAAAAGAAGAAGAAAAAGAAAAGGAAGAAGAAAAGGGAAAAGGUUUUGGAAUUUGAAUUUAAAUCUGAAAUUCAAAAUUUGAUUCAAACUCAAGCAACCAAAAAUUAUGCUCCAGCAUGAAUGCACAAAUAAUUCCUAUGAUGAAUUAAUUGAAUUAAAGAAAAUGAAUUUAAAUGCCUAGAAAUUAAAUAACACCCUAAUUUGAGCAAAUUUUAAUGAAUUUGAAUUAUUGAAAUUUUGGGUGUUACAUUGGUACUACAUCUCAUGUAGUAGAGGCGAUUGUAAGAAGCAACUUGAAAAGAAGUUUGAUCACUACUAUUGCAAUAAAUGUGACAAGAGAGCCGAACCUAAAGCCCAGUAAAUUAUUUAGUAGUUUACAAUCUUAUUAUAAUACUUCUAUUUCUAAUAGGAGAAUAAUAUUUUCAGAUUCAAAUUAAGCUUCAAAUAAGUGAUCCAACAACAAGUGCAACUUGUGUACUUUUGACAAGGAAGCAGAAAUGAUAAUUAAUGAAUGAGCAGAUUCGAUGAUCACCUCAGUUGAUCAUGAUAAUAAGUAGCUACCAAAAUCAAUUCAGGAAAUAUGUGAAGAAACAUUGAUUUCUCAAUUCAGAUUGACCGAGUACAACUUGACAAGUUUUAGACCUGAUUAUACUGUUUCAAAGAUAUUUUUUCCAAAAGAAAAGGGCAGUUCAAGAAUUGGUAUGGAAAGUGUAAAAAAGGUAACACUUUAUUAUUAAUUUUUUAUUGCACUUUUUUCUUUUGAAUCCGUAAUACUUAAUAAUUUUACUAUAUCAAUGAAACAAAUUCUAACCUAAAUUUAUUUUCUUUUUUAUUAUUUGUAGGAAGUAGAAGACAACUCAGACAAAUGCUACACGAUAACUACCGAGAAUGAAGAGGUAGACACUGAUGACUCUUUUACCGAGAAAGUAACAUUCGUAGAAGAAGCCAUAAGGACUGGGGAAAGAUUGGCUAGAAAAGUAUACUCACUUCCAUGUCAGUGUUCAUUCUAUUUACAAUACAUGCAAAAAAAAUAUUAUUCAUGCAAAAUUGCAGGUCUACUAAGCAUUAAAGGAAUAGCGGAUAGUGCAAUAUGUAAUCUGAGCAGCAUGCAUUACAAAGUGCUCUACUGCAAUUAAAUUAAAAAACAUGAUAUAUGUUGAAUUCUUAGACUUUAUUAUUAUACUUUUCUACGUGACAAUUCACAAUUUUUUAGAAAAAAGAAGAUCCCAGAAGAAGUGACCAUGAAAAAAGGUCUAUGACCAGCAAUAAGAAAAAAUGCAAGCAUAGAAACAAAUCCGUAGAAAACAUAGAAAAUAAGGUACUCCAUAAACAAAAGUAUUCUCUUAUAUUUUUAUUAAAUAUUUUUUUAACACUUGACAAGUUCUUUUUUAGGAUCAAUAUAUCAGCAAUUCAGAUGUCAUUGGAGAUGAAACCUUAGUUCAUCCAAAAGGUCAAAAAAAAACAUCUGAAGAAAGGUGUUUGGCUGAAAAGGAAAAGCAAAAAAGUGGUAAUGCAGACAAACACAUGCAGAAAAAUAUAAAAACAUGUCAUAGGGAGGCAGACCAAUCUUGCAAGGAGGUAUAGACGAAACGUGAUACACGACCUGCCUACCUUGUCGUGGAUACCCCAAGAAGAUGUCAUAGAGGUGCAGACCAAGCUAGCAAGGAGGUCGAAACGUGAUACACGGCCUGCCUACCUUGCCGUGGAUAUUAGCCCUGAGAUCAUUCUACUGUUCAAGGAAUAACACUCAAUGCUGCUGCUGCUGCUGACCUGGCUCCAUAAAGUUAUACUCCUCUAGGUGCUUGCACUAACUUUAUCUGAAGUAUUAUUCUCUCUGCACUGUAUAUAUGGUUAUGGAGUUUGCUGGAGUAUCCGGGGCGAAGAACCUACAUAAUACGUCUUGGAACUAAUUGACAUUGAUUCACAGACAAACUCUACAAGGUGCUGUUCUUGCCAUUUUAGAGCAUCCAAAGGACUAUAAAUAACAUAGUUUACCAUAUACCAUAUACCAUAUACCAUAAUAUGUUAGCUAAAAUAAGAGCAUACACAUGUUGCAGGAGUCCAAAAGCACCGGUUGAGGACCAGGUACAUUGAAUUACUAGAAAAAGACAGGGGACAAGGUUUAGGUAACCACAUGAAACAUUUGAAUUUAUUGUACUAUGAACACUUAGUUACCAUGCCAGGAGCACAUAGUUAACACUAACAUUUAGCCACUUUAGAUCAUCCCGAAUCACCAAUGACCCUCAAUAGUGACAAAUUUUGGUUUAAAUGCCAUCACCAAUGAUCCUCAAUAGUGACGUAUUUAGGUUUAAAUCCCGUCACUAAUAACCCUCAAUAGUGACCUGUUUUGGUUUAAAUCUCAUUACCACUGAUCCUCAAUAGUGAUGUGUUUUAGCAAAACAUGUUAUCAAUGACUUGUCAUUGGUGACGUGUUAAAACGCGUUAUCUCAAUGGCAAAUCAUUGGUGACGUGUUAUCUCAAUGUUAUCAAUGUUCUAUUCUUUUCAACAAUACCAGCUCGUUCCUCCGUUUUUAUUCCACCAAUACAAGCACCACCUUGUAACAUUUCCUAUGUUUUUUUUCCUUUUGUCUGUUUUCUCACUACAUGCGUUGCUCUUUCAUGCAUUUUUUUCCAUUCCUGUAUUCCAAAUAGGUCUACAUGAACACAAAAUGAACUAGGGGACAGAAAAAGCCAGUGAAGCCAAUUUUGAGCUUCACCAGCUACUUGCUACAUAAAGUGUGCUAUAGUGACGUGUUUUAGCAAAACAUGUUAUCAAUGACUUGUCAUUGGUGACGUGUUAAAACGCGUUAUCUCACUGGCAAAUCAUUGGUGACGUGUUUUAAAAAAACAUGUCACCGUGAGAGUCAUUGGUGAAGGGUAAUUAAAAUGCGUCACUAAUGUUGUAGCAUUAGUUAUGAUAAUUUAGUAACGCAAAAAUCUACCAUCAGUAUUGAGCUUUAGAGCCAUCGCUAAUGUGGGUUUCUUACAUAGUGAUGCAAGCUCUACAAGGUGCUGUUGCUGCCAUUUUAAAGCAUCCCAUGACUACAUGUUAAUAACAUAGUUUACCAUAUAUCAUAAAAAUAUUAGUUACAAUAAGCACAUACGCAUGUGGAAGAGUCCGAAUGCACCGGUUGAGGACUAAACACAUUGAAUUACUAGAACCAAAUGUAUGUUUAGAACAAAGACAGGGGUCAAGGUUUGGGUAACCGCAUUAAAAACAUUGGAUUUUACUGUACAUGAACACUUAGUUACCAUUACCAUGCCUUGAGCACCUAGUUACAACAAACAUUAAUUUAGCCACUUUAGAGCUUCCAGAAUCGCUAUAAAUAAUAUACCUACGCCGUACCAUGAAAACAUCAAGAAGAGAGACGGAUACAUGGACCACCAUCAAGCGAGUAGUGACAGCACGCACAAGAAUACCCGGAACCUGUUAGCUUGUCUGUAGUGAUCUGUUUUCUUCCCCAUAAAAUCCAUGAGUAUUGCCACAAAUAAUGAAAGAGGCUGACCAAGCUAGCAAGGAGGUAGAGCAAACGUGAUACACGGCCUGCCAAGAUUGCCCUGGAUACGCCAAUAAGAGCGACAGAUACAUGGAUCACACCAAUAUGGUGAAACGUAUAUUCAUCACACAAGCAAAGCUGGUCAGUUUAUCCAUGGUCAAAUUGUGGUCUUUGUUUUCACUUGAGAGCUAAUUGAGGCACUAUAAUAUGGGCAGGCCUAUCUUCAACAGACAUGACAGCUACAGGGAACUUGACAUAAUUUGCUGGGCCGCCUGUGCACAAUUAUUUGUUUUAUUGUCCUUGCAUAGAAUGCUAAAAUACUCUUUACAAAAUGUUGGAUCUAAUAUUUGAAAUAUAGAGUAGUAAUCAUAUAUUGAUCAACAACUUGAAAUUAUCUGUACAUUCUCGGUGAAGCUGUUGAACUAAUUUUUGCAAAUUAUUAAUUCAUCUCAUUACGUAAAGAAAAAAGUAAGUGGAUAAGAUAUUUCGUGGACCACAUCACUGCAAACAUGUCAUGGAGAGACAGACCAAGGAGGCAGGACGUGAUACACGACUUACCCUAGGUUGCCGUGGAACCGCCAAGAAGAGAUACAGAUACAUGGACCACACCAUCUUGGGAGUAGUGACAGCAUAUAUGCAGAAGAAUACCCCGUGCCUAUUUGCAUGCAUGUCUCAAGUGAUCUGUUUUCUUCAGAAAAUACAUGAGCAUUGCCAGAAAGAAUGGCAAGAGACAAACAUGUCAUAGAGACUUGCAUGUCUUGCCUUGGAUACGCCAAGAAGAGGGACACAUACAUGGAUAACACAAAUCUAGUGACACGUAUAUUCAUCACAAAGGCAAAUCUGAUAAUUUUAUCCAUGGAGCAGACCAAGGAGAAAUUGAUGACGGACAUGUGAUCUCUGUAUUCAGUUGAAAGCUAAUUGAGCUACACUAAUAUGAGCAGGACUAUAUUCAAGAGACUUGUUGAGAGCUACAGGGAACUUGUAAUAAUUUGCUGGGCGGCCUGCGCACAAUGAUUUGUUAUACAUAGUUGAAAUAUUUCAAGAAUUUAUCAACCUCAUACUCUGAAACCCUUGGUGCAAUGUACUCUGCUUUCCGAGGUAGACUGUUCACGUAAAAUGAGGUCAUGCGUAAGACGGAAUCGGAUUGGAUUCACAGGGAAUCAGAUUUGGAUAGCACCUUUUAGCAGGUUUUUAGUCAAAUGCAAAUUCGGAUCCACAUGUGGUUGAAUGCGAGUUCAAAAUUCUACUUGGAUAUCCAUUUAAUUUAGGUGAUAGCAAUUAGCACAAAAUGUUGGAUGAACAAAAUCAUAGUUAGACAUACAAUUACAUGUAUGGUUAAAGUAUAAUACAAUACACCAAGAUUAUUCCUUGAAAAUAUUUCUUAAAAAUAUUAUAAUAAAUGAAUAAAUAUAAUUGUGGCCACCAACAAAUAGUCGGUGGUCGCUAAGUUGGAGCCAUUUCUGGUUACUAAUGCGGCCUUCUCCUCGACCAGCGACGACAGCUGAGCUUGUUCCUUCUGACACUAAAUCAUCAGAGUCUUCCCUCCACUACUAUAGAAUGCACCUUUAGCACCAAUUGGGAAAUCCCCUUCAGUAUUGGAUGCUGCAACCAGUGCUAUAUAUCAAAAUGGAGACUAAAAGCCUCGGUCUUGGGUACCGGUUGCAUAACGCAUUACUAAAGGAGGCAAAAGAGAAAUGUAACAAAAAAAAUAUUUUGAAUUCCAAGAAUGUUUCACUAUUCAAGAUGACUAGCUGAGAGUCAACAGACAAGAUACUAGGAAUGUGGGUGCUUGAAUGCAUUUGUACAGAGGUCAUACUAUUUACAAACUCUUCUAUGUUUCCAUAUGACUACCUACUUCAAUGUCACGCGAGCCAUUCAGCUGGACACAUGGCACACUAGCUUGCAUGUCGAAUCCAUGAUUAAUUAUUUGCACUUGUGAUCUCUUACCAGUAUUUGUCCAGACUAGAAACGUGCAACACAUUUUUAGGAUAUGGACACGCAUAUAUUUGGACUAGUAUACAGGUCACCUUUGGAUGCGUACAAGGAUGACCGGGAGGGACUAAUGGAUACAAGGAAGGGACCAUCAGGAUUAAUAUUGACAUAUGCCACAUGACAAUCUUCAUUGUCAUGCAAUCCCUAUCAACAAUCAUGGAAUCCCUAGUGUACUAAUCCCUGGAGGGUUGUGUGGAAAUUUAUUUUACCUUGCGGUGAAAAUCUCAUGAGCAGUCAUUAGUUAAGCUGACUAGCUGAGAUAUAAUAGACAAGCUAGUAAGAUUGGGAGCAUCAAUGCAUCCAUACAGGGUCACAAUAUCCUUUCCAUUCACUUUUAUAUAUAACCCUACGAAUACAAGUCCAACGAAAUGCGGGCCUUUCGAUCAAGAUAAAUUAAAUGGCCCACUUGUAUUUCUAAUCCAGGAUUAACUAUGCCCUCUGUUCAUCUCUUGCAAGCACGUGCAACACAUUUUCACGAUAUGGACAUGCAUGGAGGUUAUUAUACUGUUUGGACAAACUCUGAUGUGCCAUGACCUAAAUGCUUAGGGCCUGUUUGGUUUGAGUUGCUUAUUAUAAGCAACUUAAAGUUGCUUAAAGUUGCUUAUUUGAAGUUGCUUAUUUUUAGUCUAAACUGUUUGGAUACCCUUGCUUAUGAGCAUUGAAUGAGUUGGACAUUGUCAAAUUUGCCCCAUGUGUUGCUACCCCUCCAAUUUGCCUCCCCACCCUUCUUCUUCCUGCACACGUCCGAUCCCGGGGGCCGACGGCGGGCAGGGAGCAGCAGCAGCUGGCCAGGGCGGCGGUGGGGCGGGAGCGGCGGCGCACACCAGCACGCGCUCGCACGCCAGGUGCUAGGGCGCGGCGAGGCAGUCGUCGUAGCCCACCGGGAGCGGGUGCUCGGGCGCGAGGCGGUACUCGACGGAGAUGCCGAGCGUCGGGCGCGCGGCGGCGAGCGCGUUGAGGAAGCGAUGGUAGUGCGGCGACGUCGCGGACUCCGCCACGAAGCCGCCGCCGUGGACGUACACCACCACGGGCAGCUUCGUCUUGCCGUCGGCGGCCGCGGCCGCGGCCUGGGGUGGCAGGUAGAGGCGGACGGAGCAGGAGCCGAGGUCGACGUCCCUGGAGUCGACGCCCGUGGCGGCGUCCAGGCUGGGCCCGACCGGCGGCGGCACGAGCGGGCGCUCGAUGCGGCCGCUCUUGUAAAUCCGACGGGUCUGUGCGGAGGCGGGCGGCGGGCGGGAGCGGCGGGUGGGAGCGGCGGCAGGUGGUGCGGAGGCCGGCGGCGGCGGGUGGCGCGGAGGAAGGGGAGCUGGUGAGUGGUGACAGGGGAGGGGGGGAGAGAGAGGGGGGGUAGGGUGCAUUGAAUGAGGGCAGGAGGUGUAAAGUGCACCUUUUAGUCCCCAUGAGCAACCAUAAGCAGCCCAAGAGUUGCUUAUUUGCUUAUAAUAAGCAACCUCAUAAGCAAGAGUGAUUGGUUUCAUAAGCAACUUAUUUGCUUAUUUUAAGUUGCUUAUGCAUAAGCAUGUGAAACCAAGCAGGUCCUUAACCUAUGGUUGUGGCACCACACAGUACAUAGUAUUUAAUAAUGCUAUUCGUUUGGUAUGUGCACAAGGGCACGCAUGAAAUGUCUGGCCCACGGUAAACAAGUACGGACGCUGCAAAUAAUCUACUCUGCUCGUCCAGUCCCUAGCCUAUAAAUAGAUGCCAUGCUAGCUCUUGUUGUGCUCACAAUUAAUCCUGACUACACACGAGCUUCUCUCCCUGGCCAAGACACAAUCAUAGUAUGAUGAAGAACAUGGCACUAGCCGGCAAUGGUAUGAAGAACUUAAUCCUCGCUGUUCUCUUACUGUGUCUAGUUAUAGGGCAGAUACAAGUGGAAGCUAAGAGCUGCUGCCCAUCCAUUACUGCAAGAAAUAUCUACAAUGCCUGCCGUAUCACGGGUACAUCCCGUCCAACGUGUGCAAAACUGUCAGGCUGCAAAAUUAUCAGCGGGGACAAAUGCAAGCCCCCUAACGACCACCUCACCCUUGACCCGGACACUGGUAAAUAAUAAAUUUAUCUCACUUGAUUUCUUCGUGUUUUGAGUCGUUAAUGUAUUUUCCAUCUGAUGAAACGUAUUGGUUUUGCAUUGAAGAGGAAGUUAAUGUGCUUAACUUCUGCAAGUUGGGGUGUGCGUCGUCUGUGUGCAACAACAUCAACGCUGGUAAGCACCUUUUGCUCAGACGGAGAAAACAAUAAUCAUUAAUUAGCGGCAGCUAGAAUCCUAUAAUCUAAUAUAUUUAUAUAUAUAUAUAAUUUUAUCAGCUCUGGGAAAUGAAGAGGCGAACGAUGCCGUUGAGAGUUGCGACCAAGCCUGCUCUAGCUUCUGCAACGUGCACGUUGGCGCUGCCACCGUGGUUGCUUAAGCAAAUGCAUCCAACUGGAUCGUCCUUGUGCUAAAUAAUUGGAUAUCGUAUCCACUUAAAGCUGCCUUGUGUAGUACGUUUUUGUUUGUGUCUCUCUUUAUAUUCCAAUAAGGUCGGUGAUCUUGAUGCCACACACUCAGACGUGUGUUCAUCUCCAGAUACUACUCCAUGCUACCUGCCCUUUGUGUUUUGUUCAAUAACUGGGUAUCAUAUCCCAGCCAGUGUGCCAUCUGUUUUGUGUUUAUUUCCUUCUAGUUUCAAAGGGGUUAUCAUGAUGUUACCUUCUUUCGAUAUGGUGCUUUGCAUGACUACUGUUGUAUGGUACCAUCUUGUUGGCCAAUAAAUACAUCUUAUCCUAUGACCCUUUGCUAUGACCCUUUGCAAAUAAGUACAAGAUUGUUAAAUACUCGGUAUAAAUUGACUACUGCUGUGAGUUCCCUUUCAGCUUAUCGUAGGCAUACAUUAUUGCUAGCACGGUGAAGACAACCAACACGAAUGGUCAAGUAAACGUACCGGUACUUUUGUAUACCAACACCCUUGCUUAAAUGUACCGGUGUUACUCCCCACUAGCACAUAUAUUCUUAUAUGCUAGCCGGCUUGAAAAUUAACCGAUUAAAAUAAUUAUUUCAAGACAGAAAUAACUUAUCGGCUUCUCGAAGCAUGUGUAAUGUGAAUUCAAGGACUUGAUGGAAGUUGAAUCGCUUAAUCUAGAUUGCUUUCAGGAUUUUGGGUAACUAAAUUUAACAUUUGCACAUACAAAUGUUAAUGUACAAAUAUUAAAUAUAGUUACCCAAGCAGAAUAUGAAGAUACUCUAUAGUAUAUAUAUACUAUAUAAAUCUAGUUAACAUUUAGUCUAAAUGUUAAAUCUAGUUACCUAAAAUCCUGAAAGCAAAAUGUAUAAAUAUAUAUCUUUUAAGGAAUCCCAAAGCAAGAGUUCAGUGGCAUUCUAUAGUCCCAUGCUGCUAGUUUGAGUUGGUCGAAGCCAACUUAAAUAGGAGAGCUCUCUCACUUCUCUAAAUACGUAACUGAAGGAGAGAAGGGGGCUUGGUUACACAACGCACGCACGCACGCAUAUUUGCGUUCUUUUCGCGUAACCAACCGCGUGACUUGAAACUUGCGACGUAGCGUGCUGCCAAGUCAAGUUGAUAUAACCUUUUUGCCGUAGGCGUGUAAUCUUUUGACAACGGUCAUUGGAGGUGAUAAGCACGCAGUCAAUACCUUAAUCCUGAGUUAAUAGGGCGGUUACUACUGCCAAUUAGUGGGGCAAUUUUGUAGGGGAAACGGUUAGCAGAGGGCUACCAUCUUCUCUAUAAGAAGUUCUGGAGACGUCCAGGAACACACAUGUACAUGUGAGAGACCCACGAAUUCCUUCCCAUCUCCCUUUUCCAUCUGGUGAAGUGUGCUAUGGUACUGAGCUGCUGGAUCUCGCCGGCUCUUCUCCUUGGCGUGCACCGAGGAGGAGGGUGAGCGGUAUCUCCGAGCUAUUGCCGUCAGGAAGCCUGCACGAGGGACAACAAUAAAGUUUUUGGGUAGCGCAACUACGCAACCGCUCGAUUCGAUCGACUAUGUUCUGCGCUGCCUCAUCUUCGAUCUGCACUGCAACACGUAACCCUGCAGCAAGUCUACACAAGGACGGAGCACUAAUCUGUAAGUCCUAGAUUGGUUUCUUACAGAGUUGUAGGUUACACAAGAUCUAGAAUUGUUACAUACUUAUUAUUAUGGGUUACAUGAUGUUUUGUACGGUUACGUCUAUUUUGCAUAUGCUAUUUUUACAUACCGUUUACAUGCAUAUGUAAUGGUUACGCCUAGCUAUUUGAAUCUAGAAUUGGGUUACAUAGCAGUAGCAAUGACUUACGUAAUAUGCCUCAUGUUUAUAUCUGGUAGAAUUUAACACGUAUCUCCAACAUAUUUUGAGGCAGUAUAAAUUUCAAUUCCUUUUGCUGCUCUGUUAAAUCCCGUCUUUCGUGUGGCCCAACACUCUAGUAUGCAUGUAGCACCAAGCUUGUUUGAGCCGCUUUGUGCUCUGAUUUUGCUGUCUGUAUCAGGUUGGACUGUUUCUUUGUCUUGCGAUGUAUAGCUUCAUAUCUUCUAGAGGUUAGACAGCAAAACCCGCGUUCUCUUAAGGCAACAACUCGAAGAAUCUGCAGCGCUCCUGAUAUAUCACUGCUGCAGAAACAAUCUUUAGUACUGAUUUCCAACCCCCUUUAGUAUCGGUUUGGCAAUCAGUACCACUACGUCGGUACUAAAGGGAGUUCUCUAGAAUCGGGUCAAAUAACUGGUACUAAAAGUGCUCCUCUACUACCAGUUGGUAACACCAAUAGGUAGUAACUUUUUUUGCACCCAAAAAAUUAAAGAAAAACAGCCGGGAGGCUCGCGCACACACGCAUCAUGAGUAAUAUGCGCGUGCAUGGUUUGUGGGAUUCCAACCCACGACCAAGCUAUAAGCACGUAGUUACAAAAAAAUUAAACACUUAGACAUUUUAGAGCAUCCCAAAUAACUACAAAUUCUUUAGUUUACCAUAUACCAUAAAAUAUUAGUUAAAAUAAGAGCAUACGCACGUCGGAAGAGUCCCAAUGCACCGGUUGAGGAUCAGACCAGGCACUUUGAAUGCACAUGCCAUAAGAUAAUUCUGCAGGACGAUGAUUGCAAUAAUGGACCAUCGAGAAGAUAGGGGCGAUGGGGUUGCCUCAUCAAUUAUGACUUGGCGCAACAAGACCAGCAAAGUCUUUAUCGACAGGGGUGGAUCAAGGGGUGGGGCGGGUAGAGCUCCAAUCUUCCUACCGCCGCUCGAACAAUGGAGCCCCCCUUAGCCCCUCCAUAAAUUUUUAGGUAGAAGAAAAAAGAAGAGAAGGGAAGGAAGGGGAAGAAUAGGGAGCCCCUCCUAAGUAGGUCGCCAUCGUGCUUCCCAACGCAUGAUCGCCGCACCGCAUCCAUUCCUCUACAAGCCUCCAGCGUCUCUCCUGCCGCUACCUCUGAACCAUGUGCAGCUGCAGACCCAACUAGUGUCUUGUCACCCAUCUCAAUCCCAACAGAGCGGCGGCUCCUGCCAGCACAAAUCUCCCUCCGCCUGUUCUUCACGAUCGAUGGCCACCACAAGCAUAAACCUCGCCUUCGCAUCCACGCAAAAGGGUCGCCGGUGUGCCUUCUCGCAUCGCUUCUCAGCCUCCUUCACUUGCGGCUGGCCAAGAACCGUGCCACCACCUCGGGUGCGCGCCACCGCUCCAGGGCCGCUACCCCAUGCGUGCGGCCGCCGCCGGCCACCACGCGUGUGCAACCGUGUCGCACCGCUUCCCUGCUCUGUGCCACCACUGCUACUGCACCACCAGCUCCACCACCUUGGGCUGGUCGCCAGGGUGACUGAUUGGUGGAUUAUUACUACAAAUAAGUUCCUUAUUAUCUGCAACUACUAUUAACUCAGGGAUACAUGCGUCUUUUGCUUCUCCUGUUAAUAUGUCCUAAAAUAUCUAGAAUGCCUUAUAUUUCUGGACGGAGGAAGUAUUUGAAUAAAAUGAACCAAUUUUAAAAAAUGUGUUGUACACUACUACAGAAAGAACUAUCAGUGUCAAACCCAAAAAUGUCGUCACUGCCAGUUUUGGGCAUCGUUGGUGAAAGGUUGGCGGUGAUGGGUAUCCCCUUCAACAACGGCACUAGAGCUAACAGUGAUUGACAUUAGAAAACGAAAAAGGGGACCCACCUAGCCACCCCUGCAACCCGGCUGGCCGUGCCUCCCGUCAUCCCCACCACCUCGCCUCCCCCGUGACCCCCCGCCGGCGCCCUUGCGCCUAGCCCCCUCGCCUGCCUGGCCGGCCACCCUCGUCACGAGAGAGAGGGGUGCAUGUUGUAUAAUUGCGUGAAUUUUUAAUGUUUAAUUUCAUGUAAGUUUCAUAUAAUAAAUUGUACAAGUUUUAUUGUAUAUAUGAAUUCCAUAUAUAUAUAUUUAUAAUUUAAUGUAUGGUUUCAUGUGUAUAUUUCAAUAAUGUGUAUAUUUAGUAGAUAGCCGAUUUUCUUUUUCUACAAGACAAGGGUUGAUGUAUAAUUACGUGUAUAUGUUUAUUGUACGGGCAAUUAGGACAAGUUUUGUAUAAAUUUCUUUUAUUUCAUGGUUGUUGUAUGGUUUCAUGUAUAUACAUUUAUUGUACUACUUGAGACAAUUUUUAAUUUAAUGUUUCUAUGGUUACAUGUGUGUAUAACUAAUUGUAUUAUUAGUUAAGAUGGGAGCCAAAGAGGAUGAAAGGUAUAUAAUGGAGCAGAUUAUUGCUGGCGGUAGUGGCUCAAACGUUGCAAGAACCUACAUCAAGGGUGAGGGUAGCUAGGUGGACAUGUACCUCAACAUGUCCAGUGAUGGCAAUGACGAUGAGGAGCACGAGCAUGACGUUUAUGAUAGUGCGGAACAAGACAUUGCAGAAUUGGAAGGUUCUAAUGAGGUGUGCUUCAUGUUGAUGAUCUGGUUGGCUUUUUUUCUUUGGUCACACCUUAGUUACCAUAGAACUUCGUCUCGGGAGAAGAUUGGAGGUGCUAUGGUGAUUGGAAUUUUAUUGCCUCCAAAUAUGAUUUCCAUCGAAUCAUAUCCCUUGUAUUUAUCUUCUUUUUAUUUGUGAGAGCAUCUUCUUUAUGCUUGCAAAACAAUUCAAGUGCACAUACUACACCUAGGGUGAUGAUUAGGAGUAGAAACAAUUGCCAACAAACGAACACCACAUCCUAAGAUUCUUAACUUGUGGUAUAAUUAGUCUAGUAAAAAGAAAGAUAAAAACCUAAUGGGUGUACGUGAGUGCAAUGCGUAUAUGCAUAUGAGUGGAAGGCAUAUAAGCAAAGAUAAUAUUUACACAUAGAUCUAAGCACCAUGUUUACAACUAAGUUGCUGAAUUUCUCCAUAGCUAUAGAGAUUAAUGAACCAAGGUCAAAACACCAUGUCUAUCCCAAGAUCAGUAAUUCUUUAUAGCACAAGAAAAAGAAAGCGCAUUGCAAAGUUUAUAAACCAACCAAUGCAGCAUGAAAACAAGAUGAAUAGCUAGCAAGGUUUAUUAAACUGAAUGAUGACGGUCUGCAAGCAAGUUUGAACACCAUCUUUACACAAGAUUGCAAAUGGAAAAUUCCCAUAUGAAGAACUAACAUGGAUAUGAAAUCAUUCAUCAUAAAGCGUAAAGAACAACCAAGCCAACCAUAUGCAAAGCAUGAAUGGAAUGCAAUGAAGGUGCAAGAGAACAUUUUUGGAUGAACCCAUUAUGAUGAUGGCAAAAUGCGCCGUGCCCCCCAGCCCCCGCGGUGAGAUCCCGCCGCUCGCUGCCGCCAGACCCUAUUAGGCCUCCACCGGCAGGUCCACCCACGGUCCCGCGCGACGUGGCAGCCUCUUGGCUCUCGGCGCUCGCGGCACGCCAGUGCUGGCGCAGCCCCACCAGGCGACUACCCUCCCCCCAUAAGGCCUCGGCCCCUCCCCAGCGCCGCCCCCCAACACCAGGACUGCCUGCUGCCCCCCACCGUGAGGUAAUCGAAAUCGACUGCUCAAUCUCUCAAUCUGUUGAUAUGAUGCACACGGUUGCAAAAAUAGAUGUGUCAAAAUAGAUGUUUUGCCAAUUGCUAUAGAUGCAUACGGUUGACAUGAAGUCAAAAAUGACAUUUGGUUCCUUGUAGGCAGUCAAAAAUGAAGAAGUCAAAAAAUAUUGAUCUGAAAUCAAUGUGGGAAAGGGCUAUGAAGACACGCAGGUAGAUUCCCUUGUGAACUUUUUAUGUCGUUCGUCUAAAUAAUUUUUUGCAAUGGGCAUACCCUACUCUGAAAUCCUGGGUCCGCCACUGAUGAUGAUGGUCUAAAAAUAAACCAAGCCUAGAUUAAUUAGCCACAACUGAAAUUAAGCAAAGGUUAAUGUCAUUGACCCUAGCUCUAUCCUAGCUUUUACCAAAGUUCCGGCACAUAUAGUGGUUGGGCCCACUCUCUCUGCUUCCCUCUCUGCUGCAUGCACGCACACGAGCAACGGGAGGCCCGACGAAGCCCAGAAGGGUUCGGCCGAACCAGUAUGAGCGCCGCUCCCUCCCAGCCUUCGCGCAGAUGCUCCUCCAACGUUCCUUGACCCCUCCCUCAGCGUCCCGUUGGGUUUAACAUUGCAGGAGAGGAGUCCCUUUUUUAAAAUCUCAACCACCUCCUCUCCCCAUUCACUCCACUCUCAUCUCCAUCAAACUCACCAAGAUCCGCACCGGAAAUCCCUGCUUACCACCAUGGCUGGCAAAGCCCUCAUCCCUUUCACCAACUUGGGCUUGACCACUGAUCUCGAUGGGGAAAUCACUCUGGCAAAUAUGCGUGUAACACUGCCCCCUUUGCCGAGGGUUAAAGCCAAAACACUCAGCAAAGUGGAUAGUACCCCCCUUUUUACCCGUUUUGUCAUGUAUAACGGACCCCUCUCAAUUCACAAUAGACAUCAUCAUAGGCAUUUAUAAUAAACAAUCACAGGCAUAAUUCACAAUCACCAUUACAAGCAUUAUUCAUAAAUAUCACAGACAUAAUCCAAAGUAAGCAUGAAACAAGCCAUAAAUCCAAGUUCAAGUCACAACUAAGUUUCAUCCAAGUUCAAGUCACAAAUGCAAUGUCUAAAUCCAUGGAGGCCAAGGAGACCACUGCGACAAAUCUUGGUCUUCAUUAUUCGAAGCCGCCGAUUGAUUCUGCACAUAGGAUAGGACAUUCUGAGCUAACAUCUAAAGUUGUCAAAAUUAAAGUAUUCAAUCUUAAGCACAAUGUGUCAAAUGACUCACAGGAGUAGUUGUGGGUGGCUGAGGCGGAGGGAACAGCAUCGAUGGCGGUGGCAAAGAUUGACCCAUGCUCGAAGCAAAAUUCUGCAUGUACUGGAACAUCUGGUCCAUCCUCAUCCGAUUUUCUUCCUCCAUCCUCUGCCGCUCGGCCUCUAACCUCCGCUGAACCAUCUGCUCCAUCCUCGCCGCCAUCUCCUCUUGUUGCUUCCUUGCUGCUUCCACCUGGGCCUACAAUAUUUCAUUGCAAUGUUACAAUGCAAAGCUAAAGUAUAGCAACCAACGAACAAUGAAUGGAAGAGAAAGAACCUGGAGAGCCUCCAUCUGGAACUGUCCAAUGGUUGGUCGUAGCCGUAUCGCCGGGCUCGAGUCCGUGCUCCUUGCUUGGAUCUGGGAGAGAGUGGCAGUAGAGGCCGUGUUGAUUACGCCGUCGCCAAUCCAAUAUCGGCCAUGCUUCUUGCCUCCUCCCACCCUCAUCACGAUUUCUCCAUCAAUAUCCUCAGAGCUUGAAUCGAAGUCUGGCCCGUGAACCUCCCUUGCCAUCACUGUAUAUUCCUUUGCCGAGUGCCCGAGAUAAAGCACUCGGCAAAUAGAAAACACUCGGCAACUUUACUGUUUCCCGUAGUGUCGCUAUUUUUGCAGGUUCUCGACCAGGCCAGUUCUUUGGGCCAACCUAUCAUUCACGACUUAAACAUACGGUGGCUGUAGAAAUGUUCUAUUCUUUUCAACAAUACCAGCUGGUUCCUCCGUUUUUAUUCCACCAAUACAAGCACCACCUUGUAACAUUUCCUAUGUUUUUUUUUCCUUUCGUCUGUUUUCUACAUGCGUUGCUCUUUCAUGCAUUUUUUUCCAUUCCUGUAUUCCAAAUAGGUCUACAUGAACACAAAAUGAACUAGGGGACAGAAAAAGCCAGUGAAGCCAAUUUUGAGCUUCACCAGCUACUUGCUACAUAAAGUGUGCUAUAGUGACGUGUUUUAGCAAAACAUGUUAUCAAUGACUUGACAUUGGUGACGUGUUAAAACGCGUUAUCUCAAUGGCAAAUCAUUGGUGACGUGUUUUAAAAAAACAUGUCACCGUGAGAGUCAUUGGUGAAGGGUAAUUAUAAUGCGUCACUAAUGUUGUAGCAUUAGUUAUGAUAAUUUAGUAACGCAAAAAUCUACCAUCAGUAUUGAGCUUUAGAGCCAUCGCUAAUGUGGGUUUCUUACAUAGUGAUGCAAGCUCUACAAGGUGCUGUUGCUGCCAUUUUAAAGCAUCCCAUGACUACAUGUUAAUAACAUAGUUUACCAUAUAUCAUAAAAAUAUUAGUUACAAUAAGCACAUACGCAUGUGGAAGAGUCCGAAUGCACCGGUUGAGGACUAAACACAUUGAAUUACUAGAACCAAAUGUGUGUUUAGAACAAAGACAGGGGUCAAGGUUUGGGUAACCGCAUUAAAAACAUUGGAUUUUACUGUACAUGAACACUUAGUUACCAUUACCAUGCCUUGAGCACCUAGUUACAACAAACAUUAAUUUAGCCACUUUAGAGCUUCCAGAAUCGCUAUAAAUAAUAUACCUACGCCGUACCAUGAAAACAUCAAGAAGAGAGACGGAUACAUGGACCACCAUCAAGCGAGUAGUGACAGCACGCACAAGAAUACCCGGAACCUGUUAGCUUGUCUGUAGUGAUCUGUUUUCUUCCCCAUAAAAUCCAUGAGUAUUGCCACAAAUAAUGAAAGAGGCUGACCAAGCUAGCAAGGAGGUAGAGCAAACGUGAUACACGGCCUGCCAAGAUUGCCCUGGAUACGCCAAUAAGAGCGACAGAUACAUGGAUCACACCAAUAUGGUGAAACGUAUAUUCAUCACACAAGCAAAGCUGGUCAGUUUAUCCAUGGUCAAAUUGUGGUCUUUGUUUUCACUUGAGAGCUAAUUGAGGCACUAUAAUAUGGGCAGGCCUAUCUUCAACAGACAUGACAGCUACAGGGAACUUGACAUAAUUUGCUGGGCCGCCUGUGCACAAUUAUUUGUUUUAUUGUCCUUGCAUAGAAUGCUAAAAUACUCUUUACAAAAUGUUGGAUCUAAUAUUUGAAAUAUAGAGUAGUAAUCAUAUAUUGAUCAACAACUUGAAAUUAUCUGUACAUUCUCGGUGAAGCUGUUGAACUAAUUUUUGCAAAUUAUUAAUUCAUCUCAUUACGUAAAGAAAAAAGUAAGUGGAUAAGAUAUUUCGUGGACCACAUCACUGCAAACAUGUCAUGGAGAGACAGACCAAGGAGGCAGGACGUGAUACACGACUUACCCUAGGUUGCCGUGGAACCGCCAAGAAGAGAUACAGAUACAUGGACCACACCAUCUUGGGAGUAGUGACAGCAUAUAUGCAGAAGAAUACCCCGUGCCUAUUUGCAUGCAUGUCUCAAGUGAUCUGUUUUCUUCAGAAAAUACAUGAGCAUUGCCAGAAAGAAUGGCAAGAGACAAACAUGUCAUAGAGACUUGCAUGUCUUGCCUUGGAUACGCCAAGAAGAGGGACACAUACAUGGAUAACACAAAUCUAGUGACACGUAUAUUCAUCACAAAGGCAAAUCUGAUAAUUUUAUCCAUGGAGCAGACCAAGGAGAAAUUGAUGACGGACAUGUGAUCUCUGUAUUCAGUUGAAAGCUAAUUGAGCUACACUAAUAUGAGCAGGACUAUAUUCAAGAGACUUGUUGAGAGCUACAGGGAACUUGUAAUAAUUUGCUGGGCGGCCUGCGCACAAUGAUUUGUUAUACAUAGUUGAAAUAUUUCAAGAAUUUAUCAACCUCAUACUCUGAAACCCUUGGUGCAAUGUACUCUGCUUUCCGAGGUAGACUGUUCACGUAAAAUGAGGUCAUGCGUAAGACGGAAUCGGAUUGGAUUCACAGGGAAUCAGAUUUGGAUAGCACCUUUUAGCAGGUUUUUAGUCAAAUGCAAAUUCGGAUCCACAUGUGGUUGAAUGCGAGUUCAAAAUUCUACUUGGAUAUCCAUUUAAUUUAGGUGAUAGCAAUUAGCACAAAAUGUUGGAUGAACAAAAUCAUAGUUAGACAUACAAUUACAUGUAUGGUUAAAGUAUAAUACAAUACACCAAGAUUAUUCCUUGAAAAUAUUUCUUAAAAAUAUUAUAAUAAAUGAAUAAAUAUAAUUGUGGCCACCAACAAAUAGUCGGUGGUCGCUAAGUUGGAGCCAUUUCUGGUUACUAAUGCGGCCUUCUCCUCGACCAGCGACGACAGCUGAGCUUGUUCCUUCUGACACUAAAUCAUCAGAGUCUUCCCUCCACUACUAUAGAAUGCACCUUUAGCACCAAUUGGGAAAUCCCCUUCAGUAUUGGAUGCUGCAACCAGUGCUAUAUAUCAAAAUGGAGACUAAAAGCCUCGGUCUUGGGUACCGGUUGCAUAACGCAUUACUAAAGGAGGCAAAAGAGAAAUGUAACAAAAAAAAUAUUUUGAAUUCCAAGAAUGUUUCACUAUUCAAGAUGACUAGCUGAGAGUCAACAGACAAGAUACUAGGAAUGUGGGUGCUUGAAUGCAUUUGUACAGAGGUCAUACUAUUUACAAACUCUUCUAUGUUUCCAUAUGACUACCUACUUCAAUGUCACGCGAGCCAUUCAGCUGGACACAUGGCACACUAGCUUGCAUGUCGAAUCCAUGAUUAAUUAUUUCCACUUGUGAUCUCUUACCAGUAUUUGUCCAGACUAGAAACGUGCAACACAUUUUUAGGAUAUGGACACGCAUAUAUUUGGACUAGUAUACAGGUCACCUUUGGAUGCGUACAAGGAUGACCGGGAGGGACUAGAAAUGGUCUAGUUUUGAUUGGACUACAAAACUUUUUGUACAGUGAAUAGAGAAUAUAUAUUAUUGUUGGAAUACGAGGUAGGCUACACUAUCGCAAUUCUGAUAUUCUACCGCGUAUAACCAAGAAGAACUGUCGUAUAAGGAUCACGGGAUUACCACUCGACGCACUACUGGUGCGGAAGAUGUAGAUAUGCGUCGAUGCAGUGAAGACGAUCACGUAGUCGUAUGUAGUCGAUCAACGUAGUCGUACAUAGUCGAUCACGUCCAGCAGCUCCUCAGCAGCUCGUCCACGUGCAGCAAGAUCGCCUCCGGUACCGCGGCUCGUCGUUGGCUUGUCGUGGCUCGUCGACGGCUCGUCGGCGGCUCGUCCAAGUGCUGCAGGCGCAACACCUCCAAGGUAUCCACACGUGCAGGGAGGAAGCGUCGCAAGCCGGACUGCUAGAUCCACGAGUUGCAACAGGCGAGGGCGUGGGAGGCGCGGCAGGUGUGUUUCGCCAAAAAGGUGUAAACCCUAGGGCGCCCCCACCCCUCUAUUUAUAGAGGUUCCUGACGGGCCUCUGGAUCCGAGGCCCAUUAGUACUUCUAAACCUAAUCCAACUCGGAUCAGAUCCGAAUUGGGCUUCCAGCCCCUUAAGUGUGUGACCCUAUAAGUUCGGAUACGUAUAGACAUGGCCCGAGUACUCCUACUCGGCCCAAUAGUCGGUAGCGGCCUCUAGCAAGACGUGCCAACUCCUAUACGCACACGAAGAUCAUAUCAGACGAACCAUCACAACAUAAUAUACAUGCUAUUCCCUUUGCCUCACGAUAUUUGGUCUAGCUUCAAGCCGACCGCUCUUUCUCAGUCCUGUGAUUCGGAAUCCCUUUGUAGGUUAACUCUUAACCGUACGUAGCAUGGCCAUGCAUUUUCGGAUCUGAUCACUCGAGGGGCCCAGAGAUAUCACUCUCAAUCAGAGAGGGGCAAAUCCCAUCUUGAUUGACCAUGUCUCAUAGCAUGCUUCUUGACAAACCUAAAAACUACCUUUAUAACUUCCCUGUUACGGCGUAGUGUUUGAUAGCUCCUAAGUAGGUCGAUCCACAUCUAGAAUACAUGCGACAAUUUCAGGUCUAAGGACAAAGCGUAUAUGUUGUUUAAAGAGAGAACUACUUCUCGUGUUGGGUCAGUCCCAGCACAUGUCUCCACAUGUGUCCACAUUAUUAGUUCAACAUCUCCAUGUCCAUGACUUGUGAAACAUAGUCAUCAACUAAUACAUGUGCUAGUCUAAUAUUCAUGUGUGUCCUCACAUGAACUCCGACUAGGGACAACUUUAGAAUAACCAUACAAGUAAAGAGUUUCACAUACAAUUCACAUAAUUGCAAAUCAAUUCAAGUAGCCUUCAAUGGAUAUUCAAUGAACACAACAUACAAAUCAUGGAUACAAAUGGAAUAUCAUCAUCUCUAUGAUUGCCUCUAGGGCAUACCUCCAACAGUCUCCCACUUGCACUAGAGUCAAUCUAGAAGGUACCUAAUACCCAUAGCUCUUACAUGCGCAUCAUGCUUAGCCUGCGGGAGUGGUUUUGUCAACGGAUCAGAAAUGUUCAGAUCCGUGUGUAUUUUGCAUAUCUUGAUCUCACCCCGGUUAACGAAGUCUCGAAUGAGAUGAAAUCGCCGCAUUACAUGUUUGUUCUUCUGGUGGUUCCUUGGCUCCUUUGCUUGCGCAAUUGCCCCAUUGUUAUCACAGUAGAGAUUCAAUGGGCUGGACCCAUUCGGGAACACACCAAGCUCAAUGAGGAAAUUCCUUAUCCAAACACCUUCCUUCGCGGCUUCCGAAGCCGCGAUGUACUCGGCUUCUGUCGUAGAAUCGGCCACCGUCUCCUGCUUGGAACUCUUCCAACUAACAGCACCACCAUUUAGCGUGAACACAAAUCCUGUUUGUGACUUUGAAUCAUCUCUGUCGGUUUGGAAACUAGCAUCGGUGUAACCUGUUACAACGAGCUCCUCCUCACCUCCAUAGACGAGGAAUAUAUCUUUAGUCCUUCUCAAGUACUUAAGAAUGUUUUUCACCGCUGUUCAGUGACUCUCACCUGGAUCAGAUUGGUGUCUGCUUGUCAUACUUAGCACAUAUGAAACAUCUGGGCGAGUACUUAUCAUUGCAUACAUGAUAGAUCCAAUAGCCGAGGCAUAUGACACUCUACUCAUGUGAUCCCGCUCAUCAGCAGUCGAAGGACACUGAGUCUUGCUGAGAUGUAUGCCAUGUGACAUAGGCAAGAACCCUUCCAUGCUGAACCGCUUCAACACUUUGUCAAUGUAAGUAUCUUGGCUUAAACCUAUAAGCCUUCUCGAUCUAUCUCUAUAGAUCUUAAUGCCCAGAAUAUAUGCCGCUUCCCCUAAGUCCUUCAUCGAAAAACUAUUUUUCAGUGAAGUCUUUAUGGACUCAAGCAUAGGAAUGUUAUUUCCAAUCAGUAAUAUGUCAUCCACAUAUAAGAUUAGAAAUACUACAGAGCUCCCACUAACCUUCUUGUAAACACAAGACUCUUCUUCGUUCUUGGUGAAGUCAAACCCUUUGACCACUUCAUCAAAACGAAUGUUCCAACUCCUAGAUGCUUGCUUCAAUCAAUAAAUGGAUCUCUGAAGCUUGCAUACCUUUCCAGCAUUUUUCGGAUCGACAAAACCCUUGGACUGUAUCAUAUACACGUCCUCAGUUAGGUUUCCAUUCAGGAAAGCUGUCUUGACAUCCAUCUGCCAUAUCUCAUAAUCGAAAUAUGCAGCCAAACUUGAUUGUCUCCCAUGGACUCUAUUUCGGAUUGCAUGGCAUUCUGCCAUUUUUCGGAGUCUGGGUCCAUCAUUGCUUCUGCAUAUGUCACAGGCUCAUCAUUGUCCAACAAUAAUAUUUCCUGCAUUUCGCGGAGCCUUGCCGACCUUCGUGGUUGUGGCGGUGCUUCUCUUGCCAUGGGUAUCUCAACUUGUUCUGCUACGUUAGCAUCACUCAUUGAUUCUUGCCCGAUCGGCUCAUCUUGAACUUCUUCAAGAUGCACUGUCUUUCCACUCUUUUCUCCUUUGAGAAACUCUUUCUCUAGGAAAACCCCGUUCCGAGCGACAAACACUUUGCCUUCUGAUCAGUUGUAAAAAUAAUAUCCCAAAGUUUCCUUUGGAUAUCCCACGAAAAUGCACUUAUCCGACUUGGGUGCGAUCUUGUCCGACUGAAGUCGCUUGACAAACACAUCACAUCCCCAAAUCUUUAGAAAAGACAAACUAGGAACCUUUCCAGUCCAUAUCUCAUAUGGUGUCUUAACUACGGAUUUAGAUGGUACCCUAUUAAGUGUGAAAGCUGCUGUUUCUAGAGCGUAUCCCCAAAAUGACAACGGUAGGUCCGACUGGCUCAUCAUUGAUCGAACCAUGUCUAACAAAGAUCGAUUACGUCGCUCGGACACACCGUUUCUCUGAGGUGAUCCAGGCGGCGUAAGUUGUGGAACAAUUCCGCAACUCUUUAGAUGAUUGCUAAACUUGUGGCUCAAAUACUCGCCUCCACGAUCAGAUUGUAAGGCCUUAAUUUUCUUGACACGCUAAUUUUCAACUUCAUUCUGAAAAUCCUUGAACUUUUCAAAGGUUUCAGACUUGUGCCUCAUCAAGUAGACAUAGCCAUAUCUACUAAAAUCAUCAGUGAAAGAUAUGAAGUAUUGGAAUCCUCCUCUAGCCGUCGUGCUCAUUGGUCCGCAUACAUCACUAUGUACGAGUUCCAACAAGUCUACUGCUCUCUCAGGAAAUCCUGUGAAAGACGUCUUGGUCAUCUUGCCUAGCAAGCAAGCCUCACAUGUCUCGUAUGAUUCAAAAUCAAACGAAGUUAGAAGUCCAUCAGAAUGGAGCUUCUUCAUGCGUUUUUCACUUAUAUGACCCAAACGACAAUGCCACAAGUAGGUAGGACUCAAAUCAUUAGGCCGAGGCCUUUUAGCACUUACAUUACAGACAGGUGAACCAUCAAGAUUUAAAACAAAUAAUCCAUUCACAAUGGGUGCAAAAGCCAUAAACAUAUUAUUCUUAGAGAUCACACAACCAUUGUUUUCACUCGCAAAUGAAUAACCAUCCUUCAUCAAGCAUGAAGGAGACAAAAUGUUUCGACUUAAACUAGGAACAAAAUAACAAUUAUUCAACUCCAUAAUAAAUGCUGACGGGAGGUGGAGUUGCAUCGUCCCGACGGUCAACGCAGCAACUCUUGCAUUAUUGCCCACGCGGAAAUCAACUUCUCCUCUUUCCACGCUUCUACUUCUUAUCAUUCCCUGCAUCGAAUUGCAAAUAUGAGCAACCGAUCCGGUAUCAAAUACCCAAGAAUUAAUAAUUGUAUCAGCGAGAAAUAUGUUGUCUAUGACAUUAACAACAAGCGUACCUGAGGUAGAAGUACUCUUACUUCCUCCAUUCUUCAACGAAGCUAGGUACUGCUUGCAGUUUCUCUUCCAGUGACCAAGUUCAUGACAGUAAAAGCACUCUUUGUCUGGAGCAGGUCCAGGUCCAGCUUUAACCUUGGGCGCUCGCUGGGUUUGGCUUGGAAAUUCCAGCCUUGCCCUUCUUCUUCCAAGAAUUGCCCUUCUUCUUAAAGCUAGGCUUGUUCUGUAUAGCCAUCACAUGGCUAGUACAAGCGCUUUUCUUGAUGUCUACCUCUGCUGUCUUGAGCAUACCACACAGUUCAUUCAAACCCUUCUCCGUCCCAUGCAUAUGGUAGUUCGAGAUGAAGUUCCCAUAGCUAGGCGGAAGAGAUGAAAGAAUGAAGUCAGUGGCCAACUCUUUGCCCAUUGGGAAGCCCAGCUUCUCCAAUCGCUGAGUGUAACCAACCAUGUUGAUUACAUGUGGUCCUACUGCUGCGUCUUCUGCUAGCUUGCACUCCAGAAAAGCUUUGGACACAUUGAACCUUUCAGUCCUAGCCUGUGUCUGGAACAUGUCCUUGAGCGCCACGAUCAUAUCGUGUGCCUCAUGAUUUGUUUCGAACUGCAUCUGCAGCUCGGGUUCCAUGCAAGCAAGCAUAAGGCAGCUUACCUCAAGAUUAGCAUCAAAUGCCUUCUUGUAAGCAGCCUUAACGGCAGCAGAUGCAUCAUCAGCAGGUACUGGUGGUAGUGGGGUAUCUAGAACAUCUUCCUUUUUAUCGGCCCUGAGAACAAUUCUCAGGUUACGGAUCCAAUCCGAGUAGUUUGUUCCAUUCAACUUGUCCUUCUCAAGGACCGAGCGCAAAGCAAACGAUGUGGUGGUGUUGCUAGGUGCCAUUUAAUCUACAACAAAAGUAAUGCAAAAUACACUAAGACAAACGUAUCCAUGAUAGAGCAAAUUACAUUAAACUAUUUUAACAGAAUCUACUCCCACUAAAAUCAAUAUCCCUCUAUUGAAACUUAGUGAUUCAGGAUCCACAACUAACAAGUCUACUAGUGAGCUUUAGCAUCACCGCUAGCAAACGAGGUAGAUCGGUAAGCAACUUUUGCUAAUCAUAUCACAUAUGACUCCUGUUGUUGGGUGACAUCUCCAUGUCUCGGCGCCCAACCAUUAUGCCCCAAGGUCCUUAACCGUUAAGAUGACCUCGUUAAGCAAACCAACCCUUAUGCGUGUAAGUGUCCGACACAAACCCGUCUAGUCAAGGAAAACUAGUGGCACCCUAAUUUCAUAGACCCACCACUAAUUGUACAAGACAUGGGACGGUGCAAGUUUUAGUUGGGAGGGCAUACUAACUUAAAUUUUUUGUGAGGGAUCGUUCUACUUCUAACAUCACAGCAUGCAGAAAGUAAAACAUAAACAGAAUAGCAUUCACACAGCUGUGACACAGUAUGGCCCGUUUUUAUAUGGUGAUCUCCAUCUCCAUAGAACCUGUUCACCAUGGUGAUCUCCAUCUCCAUGUUCCAUGUGCGCCAUCCUCCUGGUGAGGAGUCCUCCAAGAACUAGAACAUGCUAUUACACCUAAUAGCUAGUAAAGAAUCUAGUAAUGAAGAUUACAUAGUUGCUUGGAUCAUCACAGAUUGGUACGCAGACCAUUAAAUACAAUAAAGUGACAACACAUAUGGCUCCUGCCGUGUUGCCGUACGCGCGACACGCAGGUCACGAAUGAGUUACACACAUGCAUCACAUACACAAGGGGGCCAUACUGAUCACAAGAUACAUACAUACAUCCUGCAAAACAGAGUUAGGCGUCCUAACGUUCCAAACUUCGAAGGCCCGAAACUCCAUCUUCCAAGCCGAAUUUGGGAAAUCUAAUUUUGCCGAAAACGGCAAAGCGGUUGAAUUUCAUGUGUAACUUUUUCUGUAGAUCAAUUUUCAUAUAAAAUUCGCCCCGAUCCGAGAUCGUACCGAAAAGUUACGGCUGAUUUACCGAAGCAUACGCAUACGGCAAAAAUUCCGACCCCGGCAGUAGAUCCCAUCUACUAUUGCACAUCUAAUGCGCCUGGCGUAUGAUCCUGGAUUUCGAUUCGACCAAUCAUAUUGAUCUUCGCUCACUGCAACUGGAAUUACGUGUAUCACUUAACUCGUCGGCGGCUCGUCGGCGGCUCAUCCAAGUGCUGCAGGCCCAACACCUCCAAGGUAUCCACACGUGCAGGGAGGAAGCGUCGCAAACCGGACUGCUAGAUCCGCGAGUUGCAAUAGGCGAGGGCGUGGGAGGCGCCGCAGGUGUGUUUCGCCAAAAAGAUGUAAACCCUAGGGCGCCCCCACCCCUCUAUUUAUAGAGGUUCCUGACGGGCCUCUGGAUCCGAGGCCCAUUAGUACUUCUAAACCUAAUCCAACUCGGAUCAGAUCCGAAUUGGGCUUCCAGCCCCUUAAGUGUGUGACCCUAUGGGUUCGGAUACGUAUAGACAUGGCCCGAGUACUCCUACUCGGCCCAAUAGUCGGUAGCGGCCUCUAGCAAGACGUGCCAACUCCUAUACACACACGAAGAUCAUAUCAGAUGAACCAUCACAACAUAAUAUACAUGCUAUUCCCUUUGCCUCACGAUAUUUGGUCUAGCUUCAAGCCGACCGCUCUUUCUCAAUCCUGUGAUUCGGAAUCCCUUUGUAGGUUAACUCUUAACCGUACGUAGCAUGGCCAUGCAUUUUCGGAUCCGAUCACUCGAGGGGCCCAGAGAUAUCACUCUCAAUCAGAGAGGGGCAAAUCCCAUCUUGAUUGACCAUGUCUCAUAGCAUGCUUCUUGACAAACCCGAAAACUACCUUUAUAACUACCCUGUUACGGCGUAGCAUUUGAUAGCCCCUAAGUAGGUCGAUCCACAUCUAGAAUACAUGCGACAAUCUCAGGUCUAAGGACAAAGCGUAUAUGUUGUUUAAAGAGAGAACUACUUCUCGUGUUGGGUCAGUCCCAGCACAUGUCUCCACAUGUGUCCACAUUAUUAGUUCAACAUCUCCAUGUCCAUGACUUGUGAAACAUAGUCAUCAACUAAUACAUGUGCUAGUCUAAUAUUCAUGUGUGUCCUCACAUGAACUCCGACUAGGGACAACUUUAGAAUAACCAUACAAGUAAAGAGUUUCACAUACAAUUCACAUAAUUGCAAAUCAAUUCAAGUAGCCUUCAAUGGAUAUUCAAUGAACACAACAUACAAAUCAUGGAUACAAAUGGAAUAUCAUCAUCUCUAUGAUUGCCUCUAGGGCAUACCUCCAACAAUUAUUUCAUGUAAAUUUUUGACAAUUUUUUAAAAUUGUUUGAUAUUUUUUAAAUUUUUUUUAAAAUAACUUUGCCGAGUGUCCUAUUGUAGACACUCGGCAAAGCAGCCUUCACCGAGUGUUACCCCUGGGACACUCGGCGAAUUAAUGCCCGGCCGCUCAAGAAUAUGUGCCCGGCCCCCUCACUCUCCCGGCCCCCCUCACUCUCACUCCCCUCACUCCCUCCUCUCUCCCUCCUCUCUCCCUCUCGCCGCCGCCCGAAACCCCCGCCGCCGCCCGCCGCCCGGCAUGCCGCCCAGCGCCCCCCGCCGCCGCCCGGCGCUCCCGAAUCCGCCGCCGCCCGCCCGGCGCCCGGCCCCCGGAUCCGCCGCCGCCGGCCGCCCGGCGCCCCCGGAUUCGCCGCCGCCCGCCCGGCCCCCGGCCCCCGGAUCAGCCGCCGCCCGCCGCCCGGCGCACGGCGCCCCCGGAUCCGCCGCCGCCUGCCCGGCGCCCGGCCCCUGGCCCCCUGAUCCGCCGCCGCCCGCCCGGAUCCGCCGCCGCCCGCCCGGCGCCCGGCCCCCGGCCCCCGGAUCCACCGCCGCCCCCCCGGCCCCCGGAUCCGCCGCCCGCCCGUCCCCUCCACCGGAUCCGCCGGCGCCGGGGCCUGAAGAGAAGAGAAGAGGAGAGGAUGGUGGCGGCGGCGGCCGCGGCGGCGGAGCAGGUGGCAGAGCAUGCAUGAUUUUUUUUUAUUUUUUCAAUAAUUGUUCGCCAAGUGUUUUCUGGGCACUCGGCAAAGUCUUUGCCGAGUGCCCGACACAAAACACUCGGCGAACCAGUGUUUGCCGUCAAGAUUUUUGCCGUGUGUCGUUUGCCGAGUGUUACACUCGGCAAACGCUUUGUCGAGUGUUUUUGGGGUUUCGCGGAGUGACCCUGGCACUCGGCAUCACGCAUGUUUCCCUUAGUGAACUUGAAAUUAUCUGUACAUUCUCGGUGAAGCUGUUGAACUAAUUUUUGCAAAUUAUUAAUUCAUCUCAUUACGCAAAGAAAAAAGUAAGUGGAUAAGAUAUUUCGUGGACCACAUCACUGCAAACAUGUCAUGGAGAGACAGACCAAGGAGGCAGGACGUGAUACACGACUUACCCUAGGUUGCCGUGGAACCGCCAAGAAGAGAUACAGAUACAUGGACCACACCAUCUUGGGAGUAGUGACAGCAUAUAUGCAGAAGAAUACCCCGUGCCUAUUUGCAUGCAUGUCUCAAGUGAUCUGUUUUCUUCAGAAAAUACAUGAGCAUUGCCAGAAAGAAUGGCAAGAGACAAACAUGUCAUAGAGACUUGCAUGUCUUGCCUUGGAUACGCCAAGAAGAGGGACACAUACAUGGAUAACACAAAUCUAGUGACACGUAUAUUCAUCACAAAGGCAAAUCUGAUAAUUUUAUCCAUGGAGCAGACCAAGGAGAAAUUGAUGACGGACAUGUGAUCUCUGUAUUCAGUUGAAAGCUAAUUGAGCUACACUAAUAUGAGCAGGACUAUAUUCAAGAGACUUGUUGAGAGCUACAGGGAACUUGUAAUAAUUUGCUGGGCGGCCUGCGCACAAUGAUUUGUUAUACAUAGUUGAAAUAUUUCAAGAAUUUAUCAACCUCAUACUCUGAAACCCUUGGUGCAAUGUACUCUGCUUUCCGAGGUAGACUGUUCACGUAAAAUGAGGUCAUGCGUAAGACGGAAUCGGAUUGGAUUCACAGGGAAUCAGAUUUGGAUAGCACCUUUUAGCAGGUUUUUAGUCAAAUGCAAAUUCGGAUCCACAUGUGGUUGAAUGCGAGUUCAAAAUUCUACUUGGAUAUCCAUUUAAUUUAGGUGAUAGCAAUUAGCACAAAAUGUUGGAUGAACAAAAUCAUAGUUAGACAUACAAUUACAUGUAUGGUUAAAGUAUAAUACAAUACACCAAGAUUAUUCCUUGAAAAUAUUUCUUAAAAAUAUUAUAAUAAAUGAAUAAAUAUAAUUGUGGCCACCAACAAAUAGUCGGUGGUCGCUAAGUUGGAGCCAUUUCUGGUUACUAAUGCGGCCUUCUCCUCGACCAGCGACGACAGCUGAGCUUGUUCCUUCUGACACUAAAUCAUCAGAGUCUUCCCUCCACUACUAUAGAAUGCACCUUUAGCACCAAUUGGGAAAUCCCCUUCAGUAUUGGAUGCUGCAACCAGUGCUAUAUAUCAAAAUGGAGACUAAAAGCCUCGGUCUUGGGUACCGGUUGCAUAACGCAUUACUAAAGGAGGCAAAAGAGAAAUGUAACAAAAAAAAUAUUUUGAAUUCCAAGAAUGUUUCACUAUUCAAGAUGACUAGCUGAGAGUCAACAGACAAGAUACUAGGAAUGUGGGUGCUUGAAUGCAUUUGUACAGAGGUCAUACUAUUUACAAACUCUUCUAUGUUUCCAUAUGACUACCUACUUCAAUGUCACGCGAGCCAUUCAGCUGGACACAUGGCACACUAGCUUGCAUGUCGAAUCCAUGAUUAAUUAUUUGCACUUGUGAUCUCUUACCAGUAUUUGUCCAGACUAGAAACGUGCAACACAUUUUUAGGAUAUGGACACGCAUAUAUUUGGACUAGUAUACAGGUCACCUUUGGAUGCGUACAAGGAUGACCGGGAGGGACUAAUGGAUACAAGGAAGGGACCAUCAGGAUUAAUAUUGACAUAUGCCACAUGACAAUCUUCAUUGUCAUGCAAUCCCUAUCAACAAUCAUGGAAUCCCUAGUGUACUAAUCCCUGGAGGGUUGUGUGGAAAUUUAUUUUACCUUGCGGUGAAAAUCUCAUGAGCAGUCAUUAGUUAAGCUGACUAGCUGAGAUAUAAUAGACAAGCUAGUAAGAUUGGGAGCAUCAAUGCAUCCAUACAGGGUCACAAUAUCCUUUCCAUUCACUUUUAUAUAUAACCCUACGAAUACAAGUCCAACGAAAUGCGGGCCUUUCGAUCAAGAUAAAUUAAAUGGCCCACUUGUAUUUCUAAUCCAGGAUUAACUAUGCCCUCUGUUCAUCUCUUGCAAGCACGUGCAACACAUUUUCACGAUAUGGACAUGCAUGGAGGUUAUUAUACUGUUUGGACAAACUCUGAUGUGCCAUGACCUAAAUGCUUAGGGCCUGUUUGGUUUGAGUUGCUUAUUAUAAGCAACUUAAAGUUGCUUAAAGUUGCUUAUUUGAAGUUGCUUAUUUUUAGUCUAAACUGUUUGGAUACCCUUGCUUAUGAGCAUUGAAUGAGUUGGACAUUGUCAAAUUUGCCCCAUGUGUUGCUACCCCUCCAAUUUGCCUCCCCACCCUUCUUCUUCCUGCACACGUCCGAUCCCGGGGGCCGACGGCGGGCAGGGAGCAGCAGCAGCUGGCCAGGGCGGCGGUGGGGCGGGAGCGGCGGCGCACACCAGCACGCGCUCGCACGCCAGGUGCUAGGGCGCGGCGAGGCAGUCGUCGUAGCCCACCGGGAGCGGGUGCUCGGGCGCGAGGCGGUACUCGACGGAGAUGCCGAGCGUCGGGCGCGCGGCGGCGAGCGCGUUGAGGAAGCGAUGGUAGUGCGGCGACGUCGCGGACUCCGCCACGAAGCCGCCGCCGUGGACGUACACCACCACGGGCAGCUUCGUCUUGCCGUCGGCGGCCGCGGCCGCGGCCUGGGGUGGCAGGUAGAGGCGGACGGAGCAGGAGCCGAGGUCGACGUCCCUGGAGUCGACGCCCGUGGCGGCGUCCAGGCUAGGCCCGACCGGCGGCGGCACGAGCGGGCGCUCGAUGCGGCCGCUCUUGUAAAUCCGACGGGUCUGUGCGGAGGCGGGCGGCGGGCGGGAGCGGCGGGUGGGAGCGGCGGCAGGUGGUGCGGAGGCCGGCGGCGGCGGGUGGCGCGGAGGAAGGGGAGCUGGUGAGUGGUGACAGGGGAGGGGGGGAGAGAGAGGGGGGGGUAGGGUGCAUUGAAUGAGGGCAGGAGGUGUAAAGUGCACCUUUUAGUCCCCAUGAGCAACCAUAAGCAGCCCAAGAGUUGCUUAUUUGCUUAUAAUAAGCAACCUCAUAAGCAAGAGUGAUUGGUUUCAUAAGCAACUUAUUUGCUUAUUUUAAGUUGCUUAUGCAUAAGCAUGUGAAACCAAGCAGGUCCUUAACCUAUGGUUGUGGCACCACACAGUACAUAGUAUUUAAUAAUGCUAUUCGUUUGGUAUGUGCACAAGGGCACGCAUGAAAUGUCUGGCCCACGGUAAACAAGUACGGACGCUGCAAAUAAUCUACUCUGCUCGUCCAGUCCCUAGCCUAUAAAUAGAUGCCAUGCUAGCUCUUGUUGUGCUCACAAUUAAUCCUGACUACACACGAGCUUCUCUCCCUGGCCAAGACACAAUCAUAGUAUGAUGAAGAACAUGGCACUAGCCGGCAAUGGUAUGAAGAACUUAAUCCUCGCUGUUCUCUUACUGUGUCUAGUUAUAGGGCAGAUACAAGUGGAAGCUAAGAGCUGCUGCCCAUCCAUUACUGCAAGAAAUAUCUACAAUGCCUGCCGUAUCACGGGUACAUCCCGUCCAACGUGUGCAAAACUGUCAGGCUGCAAAAUUAUCAGCGGGGACAAAUGCAAGCCCCCUAACGACCACCUCACCCUUGACCCGGACACUGGUAAAUAAUAAAUUUAUCUCACUUGAUUUCUUCGUGUUUUGAGUCGUUAAUGUAUUUUCCAUCUGAUGAAACGUAUUGGUUUUGCAUUGAAGAGGAAGUUAAUGUGCUUAACUUCUGCAAGUUGGGGUGUGCGUCGUCUGUGUGCAACAACAUCAACGCUGGUAAGCACCUUUUGCUCAGACGGAGAAAACAAUAAUCAUUAAUUAGCGGCAGCUAGAAUCCUAUAAUCUAAUAUAUUUAUAUAUAUAUAUAAUUUUAUCAGCUCUGGGAAAUGAAGAGGCGAACGAUGCCGUUGAGAGUUGCGACCAAGCCUGCUCUAGCUUCUGCAACGUGCACGUUGGCGCUGCCACCGUGGUUGCUUAAGCAAAUGCAUCCAACUGGAUCGUCCUUGUGCUAAAUAAUUGGAUAUCGUAUCCACUUAAAGCUGCCUUGUGUAGUACGUUUUUGUUUGUGUCUCUCUUUAUAUUCCAAUAAGGUCGGUGAUCUUGAUGCCACACACUCAGACGUGUGUUCAUCUCCAGAUACUACUCCAUGCUACCUGCCCUUUGUGUUUUGUUCAAUAACUGGGUAUCAUAUCCCAGCCAGUGUGCCAUCUGUUUUGUGUUUAUUUCCUUCUAGUUUCAAAGGGGUUAUCAUGAUGUUACCUUCUUUCGAUAUGGUGCUUUGCAUGACUACUGUUGUAUGGUACCAUCUUGUUGGCCAAUAAAUACAUCUUAUCCUAUGACCCUUUGCUAUGACCCUUUGCAAAUAAGUACAAGAUUGUUAAAUACUCGGUAUAAAUUGACUACUGCUGUGAGUUCCCUUUCAGCUUAUCGUAGGCAUACAUUAUUGCUAGCACGGUGAAGACAACCAACACGAAUGGUCAAGUAAACGUACCGGUACUUUUGUAUACCAACACCCUUGCUUAAAUGUACCGGUGUUACUCCCCACUAGCACAUAUAUUCUUAUAUGCUAGCCGGCUUGAAAAUUAACCGAUUAAAAUAAUUAUUUCAAGACAGAAAUAACUUAUCGGCUUCUCGAAGCAUGUGUAAUGUGAAUUCAAGGACUUGAUGGAAGUUGAAUCGCUUAAUCUAGAUUGCUUUCAGGAUUUUGGGUAACUAAAUUUAACAUUUGCACAUACAAAUGUUAAUGUACAAAUAUUAAAUAUAGUUACCCAAGCAGAAUAUGAAGAUACUCUAUAGUAUAUAUAUACUAUAUAAAUCUAGUUAACAUUUAGUCUAAAUGUUAAAUCUAGUUACCUAAAAUCCUGAAAGCAAAAUGUAUAAAUAUAUAUCUUUUAAGGAAUCCCAAAGCAAGAGUUCAGUGGCAUUCUAUAGUCCCAUGCUGCUAGUUUGAGUUGGUCGAAGCCAACUUAAAUAGGAGAGCUCUCUCACUUCUCUAAAUACGUAACUGAAGGAGAGAAGGGGGCUUGGUUACACAACGCACGCACGCACGCAUAUUUGCGUUCUUUUCGCGUAACCAACCGCGUGACUUGAAACUUGCGACGUAGCGUGCUGCCAAGUCAAGUUGAUAUAACCUUUUUGCCGUAGGCGUGUAAUCUUUUGACAACGGUCAUUGGAGGUGAUAAGCACGCAGUCAAUACCUUAAUCCUGAGUUAAUAGGGCGGUUACUACUGCCAAUUAGUGGGGCAAUUUUGUAGGGGAAACGGUUAGCAGAGGGCUACCAUCUUCUCUAUAAGAAGUUCUGGAGACGUCCAGGAACACACAUGUACAUGUGAGAGACCCACGAAUUCCUUCCCAUCUCCCUUUUCCAUCUGGUGAAGUGUGCUAUGGUACUGAGCUGCUGGAUCUCGCCGGCUCUUCUCCUUGGCGUGCACCGAGGAGGAGGGUGAGCGGUAUCUCCGAGCUAUUGCCGUCAGGAAGCCUGCACGAGGGACAACAAUAAAGUUUUUGGGUAGCGCAACUACGCAACCGCUCGAUUCGAUCGACUAUGUUCUGCGCUGCCUCAUCUUCGAUCUGCACUGCAACACGUAACCCUGCAGCAAGUCUACACAAGGACGGAGCACUAAUCUGUAAGUCCUAGAUUGGUUUCUUACAGAGUUGUAGGUUACACAAGAUCUAGAAUUGUUACAUACUUAUUAUUAUGGGUUACAUGAUGUUUUGUACGGUUACGUCUAUUUUGCAUAUGCUAUUUUUACAUACCGUUUACAUGCAUAUGUAAUGGUUACGCCUAGCUAUUUGAAUCUAGAAUUGGGUUACAUAGCAGUAGCAAUGACUUACGUAAUAUGCCUCAUGUUUAUAUCUGGUAGAAUUUAACACGUAUCUCCAACAUAUUUUGAGGCAGUAUAAAUUUCAAUUCCUUUUGCUGCUCUGUUAAAUCCCGUCUUUCGUGUGGCCCAACACUCUAGUAUGCAUGUAGCACCAAGCUUGUUUGAGCCGCUUUGUGCUCUGAUUUUGCUGUCUGUAUCAGGUUGGACUGUUUCUUUGUCUUGCGAUGUAUAGCUUCAUAUCUUCUAGAGGUUAGACAGCAAAACCCGCGUUCUCUUAAGGCAACAACUCGAAGAAUCUGCAGCGCUCCUGAUAUAUCACUGCUGCAGAAACAAUCUUUAGUACUGAUUUCCAACCCCCUUUAGUAUCGGUUUGGCAAUCAGUACCACUACGUCGGUACUAAAGGGAGUUCUCUAGAAUCGGGUCAAAUAACUGGUACUAAAAGUGCUCCUCUACUACCAGUUGGUAACACCAAUAGGUAGUAACUUUUUUUGCACCCAAAAAAUUAAAGAAAAACAGCCGGGAGGCUCGCGCACACACGCAUCAUGAGUAAUAUGCGCGUGCAUGGUUUGUGGGAUUCCAACCCACGACCAAGCUAUAAGCACGUAGUUACAAAAAAAUUAAACACUUAGACAUUUUAGAGCAUCCCAAAUAACUACAAAUUCUUUAGUUUACCAUAUACCAUAAAAUAUUAGUUAAAAUAAGAGCAUACGCACGUCGGAAGAGUCCCAAUGCACCGGUUGAGGAUCAGACCAGGCACUUUGAAUGCACAUGCCAUAAGAUAAUUCUGCAGGACGAUGAUUGCAAUAAUGGACCAUCGAGAAGAUAGGGGCGAUGGGGUUGCCUCAUCAAUUAUGACUUGGCGCAACAAGACCAGCAAAGUCUUUAUCGACAGGGGUGGAUCAAGGGGUGGGGCGGGUAGAGCUCCAAUCUUCCUACCGCCGCUCGAACAAUGGAGCCCCCCUUAGCCCCUCCAUAAAUUUUUAGGUAGAAGAAAAAAGAAGAGAAGGGAAGGAAGGGGAAGAAUAGGGAGCCCCUCCUAAGUAGGUCGCCAUCGUGCUUCCCAACGCAUGAUCGCCGCACCGCAUCCAUUCCUCUACAAGCCUCCAGCGUCUCUCCUGCCGCUACCUCUGAACCAUGUGCAGCUGCAGACCCAACUAGUGUCUUGUCACCCAUCUCAAUCCCAACAGAGCGGCGGCUCCUGCCAGCACAAAUCUCCCUCCGCCUGUUCUUCACGAUCGAUGGCCACCACAAGCAUAAACCUCGCCUUCGCAUCCACGCAAAAGGGUCGCCGGUGUGCCUUCUCGCAUCGCUUCUCAGCCUCCUUCACUUGCGGCUGGCCAAGAACCGUGCCACCACCUCGGGUGCGCGCCACCGCUCCAGGGCCGCUACCCCAUGCGUGCGGCCGCCGCCGGCCACCACGCGUGUGCAACCGUGUCGCACCGCUUCCCUGCUCUGUGCCACCACUGCUACUGCACCACCAGCUCCACCACCUUGGGCUGGUCGCCAGGGUGACUGAUUGGUGGAUUAUUACUACAAAUAAGUUCCUUAUUAUCUGCAACUACUAUUAACUCAGGGAUACAUGCGUCUUUUGCUUCUCCUGUUAAUAUGUCCUAAAAUAUCUAGAAUGCCUUAUAUUUCUGGACGGAGGAAGUAUUUGAAUAAAAUGAACCAAUUUUAAAAAAUGUGUUGUACACUACUACAGAAAGAACUAUCAGUGUCAAACCCAAAAAUGUCGUCACUGCCAGUUUUGGGCAUCGUUGGUGAAAGGUUGGCGGUGAUGGGUAUCCCCUUCAACAACGGCACUAGAGCUAACAGUGAUUGACAUUAGAAAACGAAAAAGGGGACCCACCUAGCCACCCCUGCAACCCGGCUGGCCGUGCCUCCCGUCAUCCCCACCACCUCGCCUCCCCCGUGACCCCCCGCCGGCGCCCUUGCGCCUAGCCCCCUCGCCUGCCUGGCCGGCCACCCUCGUCACGAGAGAGAGGGGUGCAUGUUGUAUAAUUGCGUGAAUUUUUAAUGUUUAAUUUCAUGUAAGUUUCAUAUAAUAAAUUGUACAAGUUUUAUUGUAUAUAUGAAUUCCAUAUAUAUAUAUUUAUAAUUUAAUGUAUGGUUUCAUGUGUAUAUUUCAAUAAUGUGUAUAUUUAGUAGAUAGCCGAUUUUCUUUUUCUACAAGACAAGGGUUGAUGUAUAAUUACGUGUAUAUGUUUAUUGUACGGGCAAUUAGGACAAGUUUUGUAUAAAUUUCUUUUAUUUCAUGGUUGUUGUAUGGUUUCAUGUAUAUACAUUUAUUGUACUACUUGAGACAAUUUUUAAUUUAAUGUUUCUAUGGUUACAUGUGUGUAUAACUAAUUGUAUUAUUAGUUAAGAUGGGAGCCAAAGAGGAUGAAAGGUAUAUAAUGGAGCAGAUUAUUGCUGGCGGUAGUGGCUCAAACGUUGCAAGAACCUACAUCAAGGGUGAGGGUAGCUAGGUGGACAUGUACCUCAACAUGUCCAGUGAUGGCAAUGACGAUGAGGAGCACGAGCAUGACGUUUAUGAUAGUGCGGAACAAGACAUUGCAGAAUUGGAAGGUUCUAAUGAGGUGUGCUUCAUGUUGAUGAUCUGGUUGGCUUUUUUUCUUUGGUCACACCUUAGUUACCAUAGAACUUCGUCUCGGGAGAAGAUUGGAGGUGCUAUGGUGAUUGGAAUUUUAUUGCCUCCAAAUAUGAUUUCCAUCGAAUCAUAUCCCUUGUAUUUAUCUUCUUUUUAUUUGUGAGAGCAUCUUCUUUAUGCUUGCAAAACAAUUCAAGUGCACAUACUACACCUAGGGUGAUGAUUAGGAGUAGAAACAAUUGCCAACAAACGAACACCACAUCCUAAGAUUCUUAACUUGUGGUAUAAUUAGUCUAGUAAAAAGAAAGAUAAAAACCUAAUGGGUGUACGUGAGUGCAAUGCGUAUAUGCAUAUGAGUGGAAGGCAUAUAAGCAAAGAUAAUAUUUACACAUAGAUCUAAGCACCAUGUUUACAACUAAGUUGCUGAAUUUCUCCAUAGCUAUAGAGAUUAAUGAACCAAGGUCAAAACACCAUGUCUAUCCCAAGAUCAGUAAUUCUUUAUAGCACAAGAAAAAGAAAGCGCAUUGCAAAGUUUAUAAACCAACCAAUGCAGCAUGAAAACAAGAUGAAUAGCUAGCAAGGUUUAUUAAACUGAAUGAUGACGGUCUGCAAGCAAGUUUGAACACCAUCUUUACACAAGAUUGCAAAUGGAAAAUUCCCAUAUGAAGAACUAACAUGGAUAUGAAAUCAUUCAUCAUAAAGCGUAAAGAACAACCAAGCCAACCAUAUGCAAAGCAUGAAUGGAAUGCAAUGAAGGUGCAAGAGAACAUUUUUGGAUGAACCCAUUAUGAUGAUGGCAAAAUGCGCCGUGCCCCCCAGCCCCCGCGGUGAGAUCCCGCCGCUCGCUGCCGCCAGACCCUAUUAGGCCUCCACCGGCAGGUCCACCCACGGUCCCGCGCGACGUGGCAGCCUCUUGGCUCUCGGCGCUCGCGGCACGCCAGUGCUGGCGCAGCCCCACCAGGCGACUACCCUCCCCCCAUAAGGCCUCGGCCCCUCCCCAGCGCCGCCCCCCAACACCAGGACUGCCUGCUGCCCCCCACCGUGAGGUAAUCGAAAUCGACUGCUCAAUCUCUCAAUCUGUUGAUAUGAUGCACACGGUUGCAAAAAUAGAUGUGUCAAAAUAGAUGUUUUGCCAAUUGCUAUAGAUGCAUACGGUUGACAUGAAGUCAAAAAUGACAUUUGGUUCCUUGUAGGCAGUCAAAAAUGAAGAAGUCAAAAAAUAUUGAUCUGAAAUCAAUGUGGGAAAGGGCUAUGAAGACACGCAGGUAGAUUCCCUUGUGAACUUUUUAUGUCGUUCGUCUAAAUAAUUUUUUGCAAUGGGCAUACCCUACUCUGAAAUCCUGGGUCCGCCACUGAUGAUGAUGGUCUAAAAAUAAACCAAGCCUAGAUUAAUUAGCCACAACUGAAAUUAAGCAAAGGUUAAUGUCAUUGACCCUAGCUCUAUCCUAGCUUUUACCAAAGUUCCGGCACAUAUAGUGGUUGGGCCCACUCUCUCUGCUUCCCUCUCUGCUGCAUGCACGCACACGAGCAACGGGAGGCCCGACGAAGCCCAGAAGGGUUCGGCCGAACCAGUAUGAGCGCCGCUCCCUCCCAGCCUUCGCGCAGAUGCUCCUCCAACGUUCCUUGACCCCUCCCUCAGCGUCCCGUUGGGUUUAACAUUGCAGGAGAGGAGUCCCUUUUUUAAAAUCUCAACCACCUCCUCUCCCCAUUCACUCCACUCUCAUCUCCAUCAAACUCACCAAGAUCCGCACCGGAAAUCCCUGCUUACCACCAUGGCUGGCAAAGCCCUCAUCCCUUUCACCAACUUGGGCUUGACCACUGAUCUCGAUGGGGAAAUCACUCUGGCAAAUAUGCGUGUAACACUGCCCCCUUUGCCGAGGGUUAAAGCCAAAACACUCAGCAAAGUGGAUAGUACCCCCCUUUUUACCCGUUUUGUCAUGUAUAACGGACCCCUCUCAAUUCACAAUAGACAUCAUCAUAGGCAUUUAUAAUAAACAAUCACAGGCAUAAUUCACAAUCACCAUUACAAGCAUUAUUCAUAAAUAUCACAGACAUAAUCCAAAGUAAGCAUGAAACAAGCCAUAAAUCCAAGUUCAAGUCACAACUAAGUUUCAUCCAAGUUCAAGUCACAAAUGCAAUGUCUAAAUCCAUGGAGGCCAAGGAGACCACUGCGACAAAUCUUGGUCUUCAUUAUUCGAAGCCGCCGAUUGAUUCUGCACAUAGGAUAGGACAUUCUGAGCUAACAUCUAAAGUUGUCAAAAUUAAAGUAUUCAAUCUUAAGCACAAUGUGUCAAAUGACUCACAGGAGUAGUUGUGGGUGGCUGAGGCGGAGGGAACAGCAUCGAUGGCGGUGGCAAAGAUUGACCCAUGCUCGAAGCAAAAUUCUGCAUGUACUGGAACAUCUGGUCCAUCCUCAUCCGAUUUUCUUCCUCCAUCCUCUGCCGCUCGGCCUCUAACCUCCGCUGAACCAUCUGCUCCAUCCUCGCCGCCAUCUCCUCUUGUUGCUUCCUUGCUGCUUCCACCUGGGCCUACAAUAUUUCAUUGCAAUGUUACAAUGCAAAGCUAAAGUAUAGCAACCAACGAACAAUGAAUGGAAGAGAAAGAACCUGGAGAGCCUCCAUCUGGAACUGUCCAAUGGUUGGUCGUAGCCGUAUCGCCGGGCUCGAGUCCGUGCUCCUUGCUUGGAUCUGGGAGAGAGUGGCAGUAGAGGCCGUGUUGAUUACGCCGUCGCCAAUCCAAUAUCGGCCAUGCUUCUUGCCUCCUCCCACCCUCAUCACGAUUUCUCCAUCAAUAUCCUCAGAGCUUGAAUCGAAGUCUGGCCCGUGAACCUCCCUUGCCAUCACUGUAUAUUCCUUUGCCGAGUGCCCGAGAUAAAGCACUCGGCAAAUAGAAAACACUCGGCAACUUUACUGUUUCCCGUAGUGUCGCUAUUUUUGCAGGUUCUCGACCAGGCCAGUUCUUUGGGCCAACCUAUCAUUCACGACUUAAACAUACGGUGGCUGUAGAAAUGUUCUAUUCUUUUCAACAAUACCAGCUGGUUCCUCCGUUUUUAUUCCACCAAUACAAGCACCACCUUGUAACAUUUCCUAUGUUUUUUUUUCCUUUCGUCUGUUUUCUACAUGCGUUGCUCUUUCAUGCAUUUUUUUCCAUUCCUGUAUUCCAAAUAGGUCUACAUGAACACAAAAUGAACUAGGGGACAGAAAAAGCCAGUGAAGCCAAUUUUGAGCUUCACCAGCUACUUGCUACAUAAAGUGUGCUAUAGUGACGUGUUUUAGCAAAACAUGUUAUCAAUGACUUGACAUUGGUGACGUGUUAAAACGCGUUAUCUCAAUGGCAAAUCAUUGGUGACGUGUUUUAAAAAAACAUGUCACCGUGAGAGUCAUUGGUGAAGGGUAAUUAUAAUGCGUCACUAAUGUUGUAGCAUUAGUUAUGAUAAUUUAGUAACGCAAAAAUCUACCAUCAGUAUUGAGCUUUAGAGCCAUCGCUAAUGUGGGUUUCUUACAUAGUGAUGCAAGCUCUACAAGGUGCUGUUGCUGCCAUUUUAAAGCAUCCCAUGACUACAUGUUAAUAACAUAGUUUACCAUAUAUCAUAAAAAUAUUAGUUACAAUAAGCACAUACGCAUGUGGAAGAGUCCGAAUGCACCGGUUGAGGACUAAACACAUUGAAUUACUAGAACCAAAUGUGUGUUUAGAACAAAGACAGGGGUCAAGGUUUGGGUAACCGCAUUAAAAACAUUGGAUUUUACUGUACAUGAACACUUAGUUACCAUUACCAUGCCUUGAGCACCUAGUUACAACAAACAUUAAUUUAGCCACUUUAGAGCUUCCAGAAUCGCUAUAAAUAAUAUACCUACGCCGUACCAUGAAAACAUCAAGAAGAGAGACGGAUACAUGGACCACCAUCAAGCGAGUAGUGACAGCACGCACAAGAAUACCCGGAACCUGUUAGCUUGUCUGUAGUGAUCUGUUUUCUUCCCCAUAAAAUCCAUGAGUAUUGCCACAAAUAAUGAAAGAGGCUGACCAAGCUAGCAAGGAGGUAGAGCAAACGUGAUACACGGCCUGCCAAGAUUGCCCUGGAUACGCCAAUAAGAGCGACAGAUACAUGGAUCACACCAAUAUGGUGAAACGUAUAUUCAUCACACAAGCAAAGCUGGUCAGUUUAUCCAUGGUCAAAUUGUGGUCUUUGUUUUCACUUGAGAGCUAAUUGAGGCACUAUAAUAUGGGCAGGCCUAUCUUCAACAGACAUGACAGCUACAGGGAACUUGACAUAAUUUGCUGGGCCGCCUGUGCACAAUUAUUUGUUUUAUUGUCCUUGCAUAGAAUGCUAAAAUACUCUUUACAAAAUGUUGGAUCUAAUAUUUGAAAUAUAGAGUAGUAAUCAUAUAUUGAUCAACAACUUGAAAUUAUCUGUACAUUCUCGGUGAAGCUGUUGAACUAAUUUUUGCAAAUUAUUAAUUCAUCUCAUUACGUAAAGAAAAAAGUAAGUGGAUAAGAUAUUUCGUGGACCACAUCACUGCAAACAUGUCAUGGAGAGACAGACCAAGGAGGCAGGACGUGAUACACGACUUACCCUAGGUUGCCGUGGAACCGCCAAGAAGAGAUACAGAUACAUGGACCACACCAUCUUGGGAGUAGUGACAGCAUAUAUGCAGAAGAAUACCCCGUGCCUAUUUGCAUGCAUGUCUCAAGUGAUCUGUUUUCUUCAGAAAAUACAUGAGCAUUGCCAGAAAGAAUGGCAAGAGACAAACAUGUCAUAGAGACUUGCAUGUCUUGCCUUGGAUACGCCAAGAAGAGGGACACAUACAUGGAUAACACAAAUCUAGUGACACGUAUAUUCAUCACAAAGGCAAAUCUGAUAAUUUUAUCCAUGGAGCAGACCAAGGAGAAAUUGAUGACGGACAUGUGAUCUCUGUAUUCAGUUGAAAGCUAAUUGAGCUACACUAAUAUGAGCAGGACUAUAUUCAAGAGACUUGUUGAGAGCUACAGGGAACUUGUAAUAAUUUGCUGGGCGGCCUGCGCACAAUGAUUUGUUAUACAUAGUUGAAAUAUUUCAAGAAUUUAUCAACCUCAUACUCUGAAACCCUUGGUGCAAUGUACUCUGCUUUCCGAGGUAGACUGUUCACGUAAAAUGAGGUCAUGCGUAAGACGGAAUCGGAUUGGAUUCACAGGGAAUCAGAUUUGGAUAGCACCUUUUAGCAGGUUUUUAGUCAAAUGCAAAUUCGGAUCCACAUGUGGUUGAAUGCGAGUUCAAAAUUCUACUUGGAUAUCCAUUUAAUUUAGGUGAUAGCAAUUAGCACAAAAUGUUGGAUGAACAAAAUCAUAGUUAGACAUACAAUUACAUGUAUGGUUAAAGUAUAAUACAAUACACCAAGAUUAUUCCUUGAAAAUAUUUCUUAAAAAUAUUAUAAUAAAUGAAUAAAUAUAAUUGUGGCCACCAACAAAUAGUCGGUGGUCGCUAAGUUGGAGCCAUUUCUGGUUACUAAUGCGGCCUUCUCCUCGACCAGCGACGACAGCUGAGCUUGUUCCUUCUGACACUAAAUCAUCAGAGUCUUCCCUCCACUACUAUAGAAUGCACCUUUAGCACCAAUUGGGAAAUCCCCUUCAGUAUUGGAUGCUGCAACCAGUGCUAUAUAUCAAAAUGGAGACUAAAAGCCUCGGUCUUGGGUACCGGUUGCAUAACGCAUUACUAAAGGAGGCAAAAGAGAAAUGUAACAAAAAAAAUAUUUUGAAUUCCAAGAAUGUUUCACUAUUCAAGAUGACUAGCUGAGAGUCAACAGACAAGAUACUAGGAAUGUGGGUGCUUGAAUGCAUUUGUACAGAGGUCAUACUAUUUACAAACUCUUCUAUGUUUCCAUAUGACUACCUACUUCAAUGUCACGCGAGCCAUUCAGCUGGACACAUGGCACACUAGCUUGCAUGUCGAAUCCAUGAUUAAUUAUUUCCACUUGUGAUCUCUUACCAGUAUUUGUCCAGACUAGAAACGUGCAACACAUUUUUAGGAUAUGGACACGCAUAUAUUUGGACUAGUAUACAGGUCACCUUUGGAUGCGUACAAGGAUGACCGGGAGGGACUAGAAAUGGUCUAGUUUUGAUUGGACUACAAAACUUUUUGUACAGUGAAUAGAGAAUAUAUAUUAUUGUUGGAAUACGAGGUAGGCUACACUAUCGCAAUUCUGAUAUUCUACCGCGUAUAACCAAGAAGAACUGUCGUAUAAGGAUCACGGGAUUACCACUCGACGCACUACUGGUGCGGAAGAUGUAGAUAUGCGUCGAUGCAGUGAAGACGAUCACGUAGUCGUAUGUAGUCGAUCAACGUAGUCGUACAUAGUCGAUCACGUCCAGCAGCUCCUCAGCAGCUCGUCCACGUGCAGCAAGAUCGCCUCCGGUACCGCGGCUCGUCGUUGGCUUGUCGUGGCUCGUCGACGGCUCGUCGGCGGCUCGUCCAAGUGCUGCAGGCGCAACACCUCCAAGGUAUCCACACGUGCAGGGAGGAAGCGUCGCAAGCCGGACUGCUAGAUCCACGAGUUGCAACAGGCGAGGGCGUGGGAGGCGCGGCAGGUGUGUUUCGCCAAAAAGGUGUAAACCCUAGGGCGCCCCCACCCCUCUAUUUAUAGAGGUUCCUGACGGGCCUCUGGAUCCGAGGCCCAUUAGUACUUCUAAACCUAAUCCAACUCGGAUCAGAUCCGAAUUGGGCUUCCAGCCCCUUAAGUGUGUGACCCUAUAAGUUCGGAUACGUAUAGACAUGGCCCGAGUACUCCUACUCGGCCCAAUAGUCGGUAGCGGCCUCUAGCAAGACGUGCCAACUCCUAUACGCACACGAAGAUCAUAUCAGACGAACCAUCACAACAUAAUAUACAUGCUAUUCCCUUUGCCUCACGAUAUUUGGUCUAGCUUCAAGCCGACCGCUCUUUCUCAGUCCUGUGAUUCGGAAUCCCUUUGUAGGUUAACUCUUAACCGUACGUAGCAUGGCCAUGCAUUUUCGGAUCUGAUCACUCGAGGGGCCCAGAGAUAUCACUCUCAAUCAGAGAGGGGCAAAUCCCAUCUUGAUUGACCAUGUCUCAUAGCAUGCUUCUUGACAAACCUAAAAACUACCUUUAUAACUUCCCUGUUACGGCGUAGUGUUUGAUAGCUCCUAAGUAGGUCGAUCCACAUCUAGAAUACAUGCGACAAUUUCAGGUCUAAGGACAAAGCGUAUAUGUUGUUUAAAGAGAGAACUACUUCUCGUGUUGGGUCAGUCCCAGCACAUGUCUCCACAUGUGUCCACAUUAUUAGUUCAACAUCUCCAUGUCCAUGACUUGUGAAACAUAGUCAUCAACUAAUACAUGUGCUAGUCUAAUAUUCAUGUGUGUCCUCACAUGAACUCCGACUAGGGACAACUUUAGAAUAACCAUACAAGUAAAGAGUUUCACAUACAAUUCACAUAAUUGCAAAUCAAUUCAAGUAGCCUUCAAUGGAUAUUCAAUGAACACAACAUACAAAUCAUGGAUACAAAUGGAAUAUCAUCAUCUCUAUGAUUGCCUCUAGGGCAUACCUCCAACAGUCUCCCACUUGCACUAGAGUCAAUCUAGAAGGUACCUAAUACCCAUAGCUCUUACAUGCGCAUCAUGCUUAGCCUGCGGGAGUGGUUUUGUCAACGGAUCAGAAAUGUUCAGAUCCGUGUGUAUUUUGCAUAUCUUGAUCUCACCCCGGUUAACGAAGUCUCGAAUGAGAUGAAAUCGCCGCAUUACAUGUUUGUUCUUCUGGUGGUUCCUUGGCUCCUUUGCUUGCGCAAUUGCCCCAUUGUUAUCACAGUAGAGAUUCAAUGGGCUGGACCCAUUCGGGAACACACCAAGCUCAAUGAGGAAAUUCCUUAUCCAAACACCUUCCUUCGCGGCUUCCGAAGCCGCGAUGUACUCGGCUUCUGUCGUAGAAUCGGCCACCGUCUCCUGCUUGGAACUCUUCCAACUAACAGCACCACCAUUUAGCGUGAACACAAAUCCUGUUUGUGACUUUGAAUCAUCUCUGUCGGUUUGGAAACUAGCAUCGGUGUAACCUGUUACAACGAGCUCCUCCUCACCUCCAUAGACGAGGAAUAUAUCUUUAGUCCUUCUCAAGUACUUAAGAAUGUUUUUCACCGCUGUUCAGUGACUCUCACCUGGAUCAGAUUGGUGUCUGCUUGUCAUACUUAGCACAUAUGAAACAUCUGGGCGAGUACUUAUCAUUGCAUACAUGAUAGAUCCAAUAGCCGAGGCAUAUGACACUCUACUCAUGUGAUCCCGCUCAUCAGCAGUCGAAGGACACUGAGUCUUGCUGAGAUGUAUGCCAUGUGACAUAGGCAAGAACCCUUCCAUGCUGAACCGCUUCAACACUUUGUCAAUGUAAGUAUCUUGGCUUAAACCUAUAAGCCUUCUCGAUCUAUCUCUAUAGAUCUUAAUGCCCAGAAUAUAUGCCGCUUCCCCUAAGUCCUUCAUCGAAAAACUAUUUUUCAGUGAAGUCUUUAUGGACUCAAGCAUAGGAAUGUUAUUUCCAAUCAGUAAUAUGUCAUCCACAUAUAAGAUUAGAAAUACUACAGAGCUCCCACUAACCUUCUUGUAAACACAAGACUCUUCUUCGUUCUUGGUGAAGUCAAACCCUUUGACCACUUCAUCAAAACGAAUGUUCCAACUCCUAGAUGCUUGCUUCAAUCAAUAAAUGGAUCUCUGAAGCUUGCAUACCUUUCCAGCAUUUUUCGGAUCGACAAAACCCUUGGACUGUAUCAUAUACACGUCCUCAGUUAGGUUUCCAUUCAGGAAAGCUGUCUUGACAUCCAUCUGCCAUAUCUCAUAAUCGAAAUAUGCAGCCAAACUUGAUUGUCUCCCAUGGACUCUAUUUCGGAUUGCAUGGCAUUCUGCCAUUUUUCGGAGUCUGGGUCCAUCAUUGCUUCUGCAUAUGUCACAGGCUCAUCAUUGUCCAACAAUAAUAUUUCCUGCAUUUCGCGGAGCCUUGCCGACCUUCGUGGUUGUGGCGGUGCUUCUCUUGCCAUGGGUAUCUCAACUUGUUCUGCUACGUUAGCAUCACUCAUUGAUUCUUGCCCGAUCGGCUCAUCUUGAACUUCUUCAAGAUGCACUGUCUUUCCACUCUUUUCUCCUUUGAGAAACUCUUUCUCUAGGAAAACCCCGUUCCGAGCGACAAACACUUUGCCUUCUGAUCAGUUGUAAAAAUAAUAUCCCAAAGUUUCCUUUGGAUAUCCCACGAAAAUGCACUUAUCCGACUUGGGUGCGAUCUUGUCCGACUGAAGUCGCUUGACAAACACAUCACAUCCCCAAAUCUUUAGAAAAGACAAACUAGGAACCUUUCCAGUCCAUAUCUCAUAUGGUGUCUUAACUACGGAUUUAGAUGGUACCCUAUUAAGUGUGAAAGCUGCUGUUUCUAGAGCGUAUCCCCAAAAUGACAACGGUAGGUCCGACUGGCUCAUCAUUGAUCGAACCAUGUCUAACAAAGAUCGAUUACGUCGCUCGGACACACCGUUUCUCUGAGGUGAUCCAGGCGGCGUAAGUUGUGGAACAAUUCCGCAACUCUUUAGAUGAUUGCUAAACUUGUGGCUCAAAUACUCGCCUCCACGAUCAGAUUGUAAGGCCUUAAUUUUCUUGACACGCUAAUUUUCAACUUCAUUCUGAAAAUCCUUGAACUUUUCAAAGGUUUCAGACUUGUGCCUCAUCAAGUAGACAUAGCCAUAUCUACUAAAAUCAUCAGUGAAAGAUAUGAAGUAUUGGAAUCCUCCUCUAGCCGUCGUGCUCAUUGGUCCGCAUACAUCACUAUGUACGAGUUCCAACAAGUCUACUGCUCUCUCAGGAAAUCCUGUGAAAGACGUCUUGGUCAUCUUGCCUAGCAAGCAAGCCUCACAUGUCUCGUAUGAUUCAAAAUCAAACGAAGUUAGAAGUCCAUCAGAAUGGAGCUUCUUCAUGCGUUUUUCACUUAUAUGACCCAAACGACAAUGCCACAAGUAGGUAGGACUCAAAUCAUUAGGCCGAGGCCUUUUAGCACUUACAUUACAGACAGGUGAACCAUCAAGAUUUAAAACAAAUAAUCCAUUCACAAUGGGUGCAAAAGCCAUAAACAUAUUAUUCUUAGAGAUCACACAACCAUUGUUUUCACUCGCAAAUGAAUAACCAUCCUUCAUCAAGCAUGAAGGAGACAAAAUGUUUCGACUUAAACUAGGAACAAAAUAACAAUUAUUCAACUCCAUAAUAAAUGCUGACGGGAGGUGGAGUUGCAUCGUCCCGACGGUCAACGCAGCAACUCUUGCAUUAUUGCCCACGCGGAAAUCAACUUCUCCUCUUUCCACGCUUCUACUUCUUAUCAUUCCCUGCAUCGAAUUGCAAAUAUGAGCAACCGAUCCGGUAUCAAAUACCCAAGAAUUAAUAAUUGUAUCAGCGAGAAAUAUGUUGUCUAUGACAUUAACAACAAGCGUACCUGAGGUAGAAGUACUCUUACUUCCUCCAUUCUUCAACGAAGCUAGGUACUGCUUGCAGUUUCUCUUCCAGUGACCAAGUUCAUGACAGUAAAAGCACUCUUUGUCUGGAGCAGGUCCAGGUCCAGCUUUAACCUUGGGCGCUCGCUGGGUUUGGCUUGGAAAUUCCAGCCUUGCCCUUCUUCUUCCAAGAAUUGCCCUUCUUCUUAAAGCUAGGCUUGUUCUGUAUAGCCAUCACAUGGCUAGUACAAGCGCUUUUCUUGAUGUCUACCUCUGCUGUCUUGAGCAUACCACACAGUUCAUUCAAACCCUUCUCCGUCCCAUGCAUAUGGUAGUUCGAGAUGAAGUUCCCAUAGCUAGGCGGAAGAGAUGAAAGAAUGAAGUCAGUGGCCAACUCUUUGCCCAUUGGGAAGCCCAGCUUCUCCAAUCGCUGAGUGUAACCAACCAUGUUGAUUACAUGUGGUCCUACUGCUGCGUCUUCUGCUAGCUUGCACUCCAGAAAAGCUUUGGACACAUUGAACCUUUCAGUCCUAGCCUGUGUCUGGAACAUGUCCUUGAGCGCCACGAUCAUAUCGUGUGCCUCAUGAUUUGUUUCGAACUGCAUCUGCAGCUCGGGUUCCAUGCAAGCAAGCAUAAGGCAGCUUACCUCAAGAUUAGCAUCAAAUGCCUUCUUGUAAGCAGCCUUAACGGCAGCAGAUGCAUCAUCAGCAGGUACUGGUGGUAGUGGGGUAUCUAGAACAUCUUCCUUUUUAUCGGCCCUGAGAACAAUUCUCAGGUUACGGAUCCAAUCCGAGUAGUUUGUUCCAUUCAACUUGUCCUUCUCAAGGACCGAGCGCAAAGCAAACGAUGUGGUGGUGUUGCUAGGUGCCAUUUAAUCUACAACAAAAGUAAUGCAAAAUACACUAAGACAAACGUAUCCAUGAUAGAGCAAAUUACAUUAAACUAUUUUAACAGAAUCUACUCCCACUAAAAUCAAUAUCCCUCUAUUGAAACUUAGUGAUUCAGGAUCCACAACUAACAAGUCUACUAGUGAGCUUUAGCAUCACCGCUAGCAAACGAGGUAGAUCGGUAAGCAACUUUUGCUAAUCAUAUCACAUAUGACUCCUGUUGUUGGGUGACAUCUCCAUGUCUCGGCGCCCAACCAUUAUGCCCCAAGGUCCUUAACCGUUAAGAUGACCUCGUUAAGCAAACCAACCCUUAUGCGUGUAAGUGUCCGACACAAACCCGUCUAGUCAAGGAAAACUAGUGGCACCCUAAUUUCAUAGACCCACCACUAAUUGUACAAGACAUGGGACGGUGCAAGUUUUAGUUGGGAGGGCAUACUAACUUAAAUUUUUUGUGAGGGAUCGUUCUACUUCUAACAUCACAGCAUGCAGAAAGUAAAACAUAAACAGAAUAGCAUUCACACAGCUGUGACACAGUAUGGCCCGUUUUUAUAUGGUGAUCUCCAUCUCCAUAGAACCUGUUCACCAUGGUGAUCUCCAUCUCCAUGUUCCAUGUGCGCCAUCCUCCUGGUGAGGAGUCCUCCAAGAACUAGAACAUGCUAUUACACCUAAUAGCUAGUAAAGAAUCUAGUAAUGAAGAUUACAUAGUUGCUUGGAUCAUCACAGAUUGGUACGCAGACCAUUAAAUACAAUAAAGUGACAACACAUAUGGCUCCUGCCGUGUUGCCGUACGCGCGACACGCAGGUCACGAAUGAGUUACACACAUGCAUCACAUACACAAGGGGGCCAUACUGAUCACAAGAUACAUACAUACAUCCUGCAAAACAGAGUUAGGCGUCCUAACGUUCCAAACUUCGAAGGCCCGAAACUCCAUCUUCCAAGCCGAAUUUGGGAAAUCUAAUUUUGCCGAAAACGGCAAAGCGGUUGAAUUUCAUGUGUAACUUUUUCUGUAGAUCAAUUUUCAUAUAAAAUUCGCCCCGAUCCGAGAUCGUACCGAAAAGUUACGGCUGAUUUACCGAAGCAUACGCAUACGGCAAAAAUUCCGACCCCGGCAGUAGAUCCCAUCUACUAUUGCACAUCUAAUGCGCCUGGCGUAUGAUCCUGGAUUUCGAUUCGACCAAUCAUAUUGAUCUUCGCUCACUGCAACUGGAAUUACGUGUAUCACUUAACUCGUCGGCGGCUCGUCGGCGGCUCAUCCAAGUGCUGCAGGCCCAACACCUCCAAGGUAUCCACACGUGCAGGGAGGAAGCGUCGCAAACCGGACUGCUAGAUCCGCGAGUUGCAAUAGGCGAGGGCGUGGGAGGCGCCGCAGGUGUGUUUCGCCAAAAAGAUGUAAACCCUAGGGCGCCCCCACCCCUCUAUUUAUAGAGGUUCCUGACGGGCCUCUGGAUCCGAGGCCCAUUAGUACUUCUAAACCUAAUCCAACUCGGAUCAGAUCCGAAUUGGGCUUCCAGCCCCUUAAGUGUGUGACCCUAUGGGUUCGGAUACGUAUAGACAUGGCCCGAGUACUCCUACUCGGCCCAAUAGUCGGUAGCGGCCUCUAGCAAGACGUGCCAACUCCUAUACACACACGAAGAUCAUAUCAGAUGAACCAUCACAACAUAAUAUACAUGCUAUUCCCUUUGCCUCACGAUAUUUGGUCUAGCUUCAAGCCGACCGCUCUUUCUCAAUCCUGUGAUUCGGAAUCCCUUUGUAGGUUAACUCUUAACCGUACGUAGCAUGGCCAUGCAUUUUCGGAUCCGAUCACUCGAGGGGCCCAGAGAUAUCACUCUCAAUCAGAGAGGGGCAAAUCCCAUCUUGAUUGACCAUGUCUCAUAGCAUGCUUCUUGACAAACCCGAAAACUACCUUUAUAACUACCCUGUUACGGCGUAGCAUUUGAUAGCCCCUAAGUAGGUCGAUCCACAUCUAGAAUACAUGCGACAAUCUCAGGUCUAAGGACAAAGCGUAUAUGUUGUUUAAAGAGAGAACUACUUCUCGUGUUGGGUCAGUCCCAGCACAUGUCUCCACAUGUGUCCACAUUAUUAGUUCAACAUCUCCAUGUCCAUGACUUGUGAAACAUAGUCAUCAACUAAUACAUGUGCUAGUCUAAUAUUCAUGUGUGUCCUCACAUGAACUCCGACUAGGGACAACUUUAGAAUAACCAUACAAGUAAAGAGUUUCACAUACAAUUCACAUAAUUGCAAAUCAAUUCAAGUAGCCUUCAAUGGAUAUUCAAUGAACACAACAUACAAAUCAUGGAUACAAAUGGAAUAUCAUCAUCUCUAUGAUUGCCUCUAGGGCAUACCUCCAACAAUUAUUUCAUGUAAAUUUUUGACAAUUUUUUAAAAUUGUUUGAUAUUUUUUAAAUUUUUUUUAAAAUAACUUUGCCGAGUGUCCUAUUGUAGACACUCGGCAAAGCAGCCUUCACCGAGUGUUACCCCUGGGACACUCGGCGAAUUAAUGCCCGGCCGCUCAAGAAUAUGUGCCCGGCCCCCUCACUCUCCCGGCCCCCCUCACUCUCACUCCCCUCACUCCCUCCUCUCUCCCUCCUCUCUCCCUCUCGCCGCCGCCCGAAACCCCCGCCGCCGCCCGCCGCCCGGCAUGCCGCCCAGCGCCCCCCGCCGCCGCCCGGCGCUCCCGAAUCCGCCGCCGCCCGCCCGGCGCCCGGCCCCCGGAUCCGCCGCCGCCGGCCGCCCGGCGCCCCCGGAUUCGCCGCCGCCCGCCCGGCCCCCGGCCCCCGGAUCAGCCGCCGCCCGCCGCCCGGCGCACGGCGCCCCCGGAUCCGCCGCCGCCUGCCCGGCGCCCGGCCCCUGGCCCCCUGAUCCGCCGCCGCCCGCCCGGAUCCGCCGCCGCCCGCCCGGCGCCCGGCCCCCGGCCCCCGGAUCCACCGCCGCCCCCCCGGCCCCCGGAUCCGCCGCCCGCCCGUCCCCUCCACCGGAUCCGCCGGCGCCGGGGCCUGAAGAGAAGAGAAGAGGAGAGGAUGGUGGCGGCGGCGGCCGCGGCGGCGGAGCAGGUGGCAGAGCAUGCAUGAUUUUUUUUUAUUUUUUCAAUAAUUGUUCGCCAAGUGUUUUCUGGGCACUCGGCAAAGUCUUUGCCGAGUGCCCGACACAAAACACUCGGCGAACCAGUGUUUGCCGUCAAGAUUUUUGCCGUGUGUCGUUUGCCGAGUGUUACACUCGGCAAACGCUUUGUCGAGUGUUUUUGGGGUUUCGCGGAGUGACCCUGGCACUCGGCAUCACGCAUGUUUCCCUUAGUGAACUUGAAAUUAUCUGUACAUUCUCGGUGAAGCUGUUGAACUAAUUUUUGCAAAUUAUUAAUUCAUCUCAUUACGCAAAGAAAAAAGUAAGUGGAUAAGAUAUUUCGUGGACCACAUCACUGCAAACAUGUCAUGGAGAGACAGACCAAGGAGGCAGGACGUGAUACACGACUUACCCUAGGUUGCCGUGGAACCGCCAAGAAGAGAUACAGAUACAUGGACCACACCAUCUUGGGAGUAGUGACAGCAUAUAUGCAGAAGAAUACCCCGUGCCUAUUUGCAUGCAUGUCUCAAGUGAUCUGUUUUCUUCAGAAAAUACAUGAGCAUUGCCAGAAAGAAUGGCAAGAGACAAACAUGUCAUAGAGACUUGCAUGUCUUGCCUUGGAUACGCCAAGAAGAGGGACACAUACAUGGAUAACACAAAUCUAGUGACACGUAUAUUCAUCACAAAGGCAAAUCUGAUAAUUUUAUCCAUGGAGCAGACCAAGGAGAAAUUGAUGACGGACAUGUGAUCUCUGUAUUCAGUUGAAAGCUAAUUGAGCUACACUAAUAUGAGCAGGACUAUAUUCAAGAGACUUGUUGAGAGCUACAGGGAACUUGUAAUAAUUUGCUGGGCGGCCUGCGCACAAUGAUUUGUUAUACAUAGUUGAAAUAUUUCAAGAAUUUAUCAACCUCAUACUCUGAAACCCUUGGUGCAAUGUACUCUGCUUUCCGAGGUAGACUGUUCACGUAAAAUGAGGUCAUGCGUAAGACGGAAUCGGAUUGGAUUCACAGGGAAUCAGAUUUGGAUAGCACCUUUUAGCAGGUUUUUAGUCAAAUGCAAAUUCGGAUCCACAUGUGGUUGAAUGCGAGUUCAAAAUUCUACUUGGAUAUCCAUUUAAUUUAGGUGAUAGCAAUUAGCACAAAAUGUUGGAUGAACAAAAUCAUAGUUAGACAUACAAUUACAUGUAUGGUUAAAGUAUAAUACAAUACACCAAGAUUAUUCCUUGAAAAUAUUUCUUAAAAAUAUUAUAAUAAAUGAAUAAAUAUAAUUGUGGCCACCAACAAAUAGUCGGUGGUCGCUAAGUUGGAGCCAUUUCUGGUUACUAAUGCGGCCUUCUCCUCGACCAGCGACGACAGCUGAGCUUGUUCCUUCUGACACUAAAUCAUCAGAGUCUUCCCUCCACUACUAUAGAAUGCACCUUUAGCACCAAUUGGGAAAUCCCCUUCAGUAUUGGAUGCUGCAACCAGUGCUAUAUAUCAAAAUGGAGACUAAAAGCCUCGGUCUUGGGUACCGGUUGCAUAACGCAUUACUAAAGGAGGCAAAAGAGAAAUGUAACAAAAAAAAUAUUUUGAAUUCCAAGAAUGUUUCACUAUUCAAGAUGACUAGCUGAGAGUCAACAGACAAGAUACUAGGAAUGUGGGUGCUUGAAUGCAUUUGUACAGAGGUCAUACUAUUUACAAACUCUUCUAUGUUUCCAUAUGACUACCUACUUCAAUGUCACGCGAGCCAUUCAGCUGGACACAUGGCACACUAGCUUGCAUGUCGAAUCCAUGAUUAAUUAUUUGCACUUGUGAUCUCUUACCAGUAUUUGUCCAGACUAGAAACGUGCAACACAUUUUUAGGAUAUGGACACGCAUAUAUUUGGACUAGUAUACAGGUCACCUUUGGAUGCGUACAAGGAUGACCGGGAGGGACUAAUGGAUACAAGGAAGGGACCAUCAGGAUUAAUAUUGACAUAUGCCACAUGACAAUCUUCAUUGUCAUGCAAUCCCUAUCAACAAUCAUGGAAUCCCUAGUGUACUAAUCCCUGGAGGGUUGUGUGGAAAUUUAUUUUACCUUGCGGUGAAAAUCUCAUGAGCAGUCAUUAGUUAAGCUGACUAGCUGAGAUAUAAUAGACAAGCUAGUAAGAUUGGGAGCAUCAAUGCAUCCAUACAGGGUCACAAUAUCCUUUCCAUUCACUUUUAUAUAUAACCCUACGAAUACAAGUCCAACGAAAUGCGGGCCUUUCGAUCAAGAUAAAUUAAAUGGCCCACUUGUAUUUCUAAUCCAGGAUUAACUAUGCCCUCUGUUCAUCUCUUGCAAGCACGUGCAACACAUUUUCACGAUAUGGACAUGCAUGGAGGUUAUUAUACUGUUUGGACAAACUCUGAUGUGCCAUGACCUAAAUGCUUAGGGCCUGUUUGGUUUGAGUUGCUUAUUAUAAGCAACUUAAAGUUGCUUAAAGUUGCUUAUUUGAAGUUGCUUAUUUUUAGUCUAAACUGUUUGGAUACCCUUGCUUAUGAGCAUUGAAUGAGUUGGACAUUGUCAAAUUUGCCCCAUGUGUUGCUACCCCUCCAAUUUGCCUCCCCACCCUUCUUCUUCCUGCACACGUCCGAUCCCGGGGGCCGACGGCGGGCAGGGAGCAGCAGCAGCUGGCCAGGGCGGCGGUGGGGCGGGAGCGGCGGCGCACACCAGCACGCGCUCGCACGCCAGGUGCUAGGGCGCGGCGAGGCAGUCGUCGUAGCCCACCGGGAGCGGGUGCUCGGGCGCGAGGCGGUACUCGACGGAGAUGCCGAGCGUCGGGCGCGCGGCGGCGAGCGCGUUGAGGAAGCGAUGGUAGUGCGGCGACGUCGCGGACUCCGCCACGAAGCCGCCGCCGUGGACGUACACCACCACGGGCAGCUUCGUCUUGCCGUCGGCGGCCGCGGCCGCGGCCUGGGGUGGCAGGUAGAGGCGGACGGAGCAGGAGCCGAGGUCGACGUCCCUGGAGUCGACGCCCGUGGCGGCGUCCAGGCUGGGCCCGACCGGCGGCGGCACGAGCGGGCGCUCGAUGCGGCCGCUCUUGUAAAUCCGACGGGUCUGUGCGGAGGCGGGCGGCGGGCGGGAGCGGCGGGUGGGAGCGGCGGCAGGUGGUGCGGAGGCCGGCGGCGGCGGGUGGCGCGGAGGAAGGGGAGCUGGUGAGUGGUGACAGGGGAGGGGGGGAGAGAGAGGGGGGGUAGGGUGCAUUGAAUGAGGGCAGGAGGUGUAAAGUGCACCUUUUAGUCCCCAUGAGCAACCAUAAGCAGCCCAAGAGUUGCUUAUUUGCUUAUAAUAAGCAACCUCAUAAGCAAGAGUGAUUGGUUUCAUAAGCAACUUAUUUGCUUAUUUUAAGUUGCUUAUGCAUAAGCAUGUGAAACCAAGCAGGUCCUUAACCUAUGGUUGUGGCACCACACAGUACAUAGUAUUUAAUAAUGCUAUUCGUUUGGUAUGUGCACAAGGGCACGCAUGAAAUGUCUGGCCCACGGUAAACAAGUACGGACGCUGCAAAUAAUCUACUCUGCUCGUCCAGUCCCUAGCCUAUAAAUAGAUGCCAUGCUAGCUCUUGUUGUGCUCACAAUUAAUCCUGACUACACACGAGCUUCUCUCCCUGGCCAAGACACAAUCAUAGUAUGAUGAAGAACAUGGCACUAGCCGGCAAUGGUAUGAAGAACUUAAUCCUCGCUGUUCUCUUACUGUGUCUAGUUAUAGGGCAGAUACAAGUGGAAGCUAAGAGCUGCUGCCCAUCCAUUACUGCAAGAAAUAUCUACAAUGCCUGCCGUAUCACGGGUACAUCCCGUCCAACGUGUGCAAAACUGUCAGGCUGCAAAAUUAUCAGCGGGGACAAAUGCAAGCCCCCUAACGACCACCUCACCCUUGACCCGGACACUGGUAAAUAAUAAAUUUAUCUCACUUGAUUUCUUCGUGUUUUGAGUCGUUAAUGUAUUUUCCAUCUGAUGAAACGUAUUGGUUUUGCAUUGAAGAGGAAGUUAAUGUGCUUAACUUCUGCAAGUUGGGGUGUGCGUCGUCUGUGUGCAACAACAUCAACGCUGGUAAGCACCUUUUGCUCAGACGGAGAAAACAAUAAUCAUUAAUUAGCGGCAGCUAGAAUCCUAUAAUCUAAUAUAUUUAUAUAUAUAUAUAAUUUUAUCAGCUCUGGGAAAUGAAGAGGCGAACGAUGCCGUUGAGAGUUGCGACCAAGCCUGCUCUAGCUUCUGCAACGUGCACGUUGGCGCUGCCACCGUGGUUGCUUAAGCAAAUGCAUCCAACUGGAUCGUCCUUGUGCUAAAUAAUUGGAUAUCGUAUCCACUUAAAGCUGCCUUGUGUAGUACGUUUUUGUUUGUGUCUCUCUUUAUAUUCCAAUAAGGUCGGUGAUCUUGAUGCCACACACUCAGACGUGUGUUCAUCUCCAGAUACUACUCCAUGCUAC